rnacentral:lncRNA from 1 species
UGCAUACAAUGCUCAAUCUCCAUUGUUCUACCCUUUUCCCAAACAUAUCAUUACACAAUCAUUCCCAAAUGUCAAACCCAACUCACAUCUCUCACCAAAAGAUCUUAAGAACUUUAACUCUUUCUUUUUGAAAUCUACAAGGGAUUUUUCUACAACCUCAAAACAUUUCUUAGCUCCUAACAACUUUGCUAGCCCCCUUUUCUUUCUUUUCUUUUUUUUUUUUUCGAUUUCUUUUUUUUUUUUUUUUUUCUUAGCUCCUAACAACUUUGCUAGCCCCCUUUUCUUUCUUUUCUUUUUUUUUUUUUCGAUUUCUUUUUUUUUUUAUAUAUAUUUUUUUUUUAGGUUGGGGGCCAAGACUUUUCAAAACUAGAGCUAGAGGUUCUCUACUUAUCCCAGAAAAUCAAUUCACUUAAGCACAAAGAGUCUAUCCUUUUUAUUUUUCAUUUCUCCCAAAUCAUGAUCACAACACUCACCCUCCCACCUAUAGCUAGACAAAAGAGUGUCCAAUCUAGCAAAAAUGAAGAUCAAGCAUUGUCGUUCCCGAUACUCUCAACAUUAUGCGCAUGUAAGACUUUCCGAAGAAGGCCUCACUCAUCAAACAAUGAAAGCUUAAAAGGAAGGAAAGGUUUUGGGAGUGGUCUACCACUAGAGUUUGUCAAAAAGAUUGGCAUAAAAGAUGUGACAACUCCAGUGUGUAUAGCCAUGACUCGGUACACAAGGGACCCUAAGCAAGAAGCAUUAAGUUCAUUCAUUUCUAAUAAGGUUGUAGUUGGCUUCAAAGACUGAGUUUCAGCAAUCAACAAGUUUCAGGAAGAGUUUUCAAGGCUCGAAACAUACAAGUCUUUUUGAGAGGUGCAAAAGCUAGUCAAGUGCAACGUAGUGUUCUUUACAAGGCAUUCAAAUCAUUGCUCCCAAUGCAAGUGAAUGCAACCUAUAUGCUCUAGACUCUCCUAAAAAUGCAAAUGAUGCAAACUAAAUGAUUGAUUUUUUUUUUUUUUUUAUCUAUGCAAAUAAGUAUGCCAUGCAUGACUCAAUGAAACAACAUCAAAGCAAACAUGAUCAAAUACUUGGUACCUCCCCCAAACUUGAGUGACACAGUCUCUGUGUCGUCAAGUAGAGAGAGAGAUACCGAAAAGAAGACUAAUAUGCAAAAAUGAAAUGGUAUAUACAAGGGAGUGUGGUGGGUUACCUUCUAUAGGGAAUGAGUAGAGGGAGAUGCUCCCUCCUCGUCGUCCUCAGGUGGUAACUCUUCAAGGUGCUCAUCAGCAGGGGUGUCCAUCUCUUCAAUGUAGAAGGCUUGCCCGAACACAGUUGGUUUCCUCAUUUUCCUCUUGAUGUCAAAGUGGAGGAUGUUCUCUUUACCCAAAUGGAGAUCAAUCGUGCCUUCCUUCACAUUAACAAUAGCUCCUGCUGUAGCUAAGAAUGGCCUUCCUAGAAUCAAUGGGUCUUGAGCCUCUUCACCCAUCUCAAGCACCACAAAAUCUGUAGGGAUCUCAUACCUUCCAAUCUUCACAGGGAGGUCCUCUAAGAUGCCCACAGGAUACUUCACUGAACGAUCAGCUAACACCAGAGAGAGUCUACACUUCUUGUACUGAGUGAAUCCAAGCUUCUUUGCAACAGACAGGCAUCAAGCUGACACUAGCUCCCAAAUCGCAGAGACUUUUCUCAAAUACCAUAGGUCCAAGAGCACAAGGUAGUGUGAAGCUUCCUGGAUCCUCUAAUUUCUCUGAAGCAUCAAGCCUCUGGAUGAUGGCAUUGCACUCAUGGGUAAGAAUCAUCAUGCCUUCCAUCUCCUCCUUCUUUGCAGCUACAGCAUCUUUCAAGAACUUGCUGUAUUGAGGAAUCAACAUAAAAGCAUCGAUGAUGGGCAUUGCAACCUGAGCUUCACUCAUUUGCUUCUCAAACAGAGCCUUGUAUUUCUCUAGCAGCUGCCUCUUGAAUCUACCAGGGAAUGGUAGUUUGGGUUCAUAGGGAGGAGGAACAAAAGAACUUUCACUUGCUGGAGUAACAACUUCACCAUCUUUUACUGUCUUCUUCUCUUCCCCAACCUUUCCUUUACCUUUGGCUUCUACUAUCUUUUCCAAGAUCUCGUCAUUGAUCUUCUCAUCAACAAUCACCACUUCAUCAUCUAUGUUGAUGGCAACCCCCUCACCUAGUUUCUCAGCAUCCUUGGUGAGGGUUUUAGGAGGUAACUGUUUACCACUCCUAAGGGUGAUAGCUUUGGCCUCCUUGGGGUUUUGGUCAGACUUUCCAGGUAGAGAUCCUUGCUGGCGAUUCUGGUGAGUGUUCAUGGAAGCAAACUGAUUCUCUAAAUUCCUGACUGUAGAAGCAAGGUGAGAGAAUUUGUUGUUGAGCUCAUUGUAGCUCCCAUCAAUCUUGGUAUGAAGGUUCUUCAACUCAUAACCAACAUGCUUCUCACUUCUAGUCUGAGACUCCAAGAUUUGUUUCAGUAAGGUAUCAGUGCUGCUCUCUUGAGGAGCAGAGGAGCCAGACGAGGGGUUUUGCUGAGGCUGAUAGCUGCCUUGCUGGUUGUUUCUAGGCGGAUAACCACUCUGUUGGUUGUUGGGAUAGGAUUUCUGUUGGUAGUUGUUGUACUGAAAGUUGGGCUCCUUUUUGUACCAGCUACCAUUGUUGUUGAUGAAGCACAACUCUUCCUGACCUUCCAAACCCUCAACCUCAUUGACAGCAAGUGGAUCUUCCUGCCUGGAGUUACCAACAAACUUCAGCUGCUCUUGGGUGGCUUUUUCAGCAAUGAGAAGGUCGAUCUUGUCUUCCAAAGCUUUGAUCUCUUUCCUCGUCUGCUUAUCAUCUGUUCUACUGCUUCUGUCGUGGUCUCCACUGUAGACUGCAUCACUCUUUACCAUGUUGUCAACCAGCUCUUCUGCAUCCUCCUCAGUUCUCCCCAAGAAAAACCCAUUGCUAGCUGUAUCCAGUCUAGCUCUGUACUUAGGAAGAGCACCACGGUAGAAUGUGCUCAGCAAGCUCUCCUUAGAAAAGCCAUGGUGUGGGCAUUGAGCUUGGUAGCCCUUGAAUCUCUCCCAGGCUUCACUGAAGCCUUCCAAGUUCUUCUGUUGAAAGCUGGAAAUCUCGUUUCUCAGCUUAGCAGUUCUUGAAGUAGAGAAGAACUUCUCCAAGAAUGCUUUCUUGCAGUCAUCCCAAGUAGUGAUGGAGUCACUGGGUAGAGACUUCUCCCACUGACGUGCCUUAUCCCCCAAAGAGAAAGGGAAUAGCUUGAGCUUUAAGGCAUCUUCGGACACACCAUUGGUUUUUGACAACCCACAGUAGCUGUCAAACCUGUCCAAGUGAUCAAAUGGAUCCUCUAGAGCCAAGCCAUGAUACUUGUUGUUCUCGAUCACGUUGAGGAGUCCUGANNNNNNNNNNNNNNNNNNNNNNNNNNNNNNNNNNNNNNNNNNNNNNNNNNNNNNNNNNNNNNNNNNNNNNNNNNNNNNNNNNNNNNNNNNNNNNNNNNNNNNNNNNNNNNNNNNNNNNNNNNNNNNNNNNNNNNNNNNNNNNNNNNNNNNNNNNNNNNNNNNNNNNNNNNNNNNNNNNNNNNNNNNNNNNNNNNNNNNNNNNNNNNNNNNNNNNNNNNNNNNNNNNNNNNNNNNNNNNNNNNNNNNNNNNNNNNNNNNNNNNNNNNNNNNNNNNNNNNNNNNNNNNNNNNNNNNNNNNNNNNNNNNNNNNNNNNNNNNNNNNNNNNNNNNNNNNNNNNNNNNNNNNNNNNNNNNNNNNNNNNNNNNNNNNNNNNNNNNNNNNNNNNNNNNNNNNNNNNNNNNNNNNNNNNNNNNNNNNNNNNNNNNNNNNNNNNNNNCCAUAGAGACGCGAGCGACCUCGGGGUGUCGCUUUGGGAGGUCGCUCCGAGAGGGGUGUGAGAUGCGAGCGACUUCGUGGUGUCGCUCCGGGAGGUCGCUCCGGGCUCGUUCUCGCGUCUCCGAGUGAUGAAACCGCGAGCGACUUCUCCCUGUCGCUCUGGUAAGGUCGCUCCAAUAGGGAAGUCAGAGCGACUUGGUGGUGUCGCUCCGGACUGGUCGCUCCAUGCCUUGCUCGCCCAAUGACCACUCUAAACACUCCUUUUUGAGCUCCAAAUGCACCCAAAUGUCUCCAGAAACUCGAUGUGGUACUCAAAUACCUGAUAGAGACAUAUGUAUGCAAAAUGCAACCUAAACAUGUCUAAAUCCUAAUCUAUAUGAUGAAAAUGUUUAUGAAUGAAUGGAUAAAACAAUGUAAAUAUGCAAGAUAUCAAUACAUUUUGUUCUUUAAGUUAUUGUUACUUUUAUUUCCUUUUAUACAUUUCUCUUAAUAUUUAUGUAUGCAUCCUUAAUAUUUUUUUAAAAAAAAUUUUCAUUAACUAAUGUAUUUAUUGUAGUUUUAAAUAUAUUAUAGUUUUCGUGCACUUGAUUAAAUUUUUUUUGACGUUGGUGAUAUUUGUAGUUGUUGAGAACCUCAAUACAUAUUUACUUUCAUAAAAUUUUUGGUGUAUGUUUAAAAAUAAAAAAAUUUAAAGGCUUUUAAAUCAUAUAAAUAUAAUAUUCAACACACUACUGUUGACUGUUUAUAUAUUUAAAAUUCUGAAGUAAGUAAUUGCAAAUUUGCUGAACUUAUAGAUUCGUUGCUAUUUUAUAAAUUAUCACACGAUGAGGUACAUAUGGUAAAAAUUGCUUUGAUGAUAAUAUAACGUCCAUAUCGUAAUGUGUGUUUUUUUGUUUUAUCUACUAUAUAUUAAGAAAUAAUUAACCCAUUCAAUAAUAUUAAAGAGUAAAAAGUCCUGCCAAUUGUUCAUUGUAUAAGCCUAAAGUAAAAUUCAAAUCUAGCCACAUAAAUAAAAUUCAGAGACACAUGUCGGUCUGUCAGAGAGUGACUUUCCACGUGGAUAACUUAGGAGAGAGGCAAACAUAUUUUUAUAUAUAUAGAUUCAUUACUAAAAUAGAUCUUAAAAUAACUCAAUAUUAUAUUUUUAAUUAUAUAAUUAAAAAAAUUAUUUGAUUAAUAUUUAAUUAUAUAAUUUAUGUUUUAAAGUUUUACUAAAAUUUUUCAUAUAAUAAUACAAUAUAUAUAUAUAUAUAUAUAUAUAUAUUAUCUUUUUUAAUUAUAAUUUUUAGGUUUUGGAUAAUUGUUUGAUUGAUAUUUAAUUAUAUAAUUUAUGUUUUUAACGUUUUACUAAAAUACUUUUUCAGAUAACAAUACAAUAUAUAUAUAGAAAUUAUCUUUUUAAAUUAUCUUUUUAGAUUUUGGAUAAUUCAAUAUUUCUGUUUUUAAUUAUAUAAUUAAUAAUUUUAUUUAAUUAAUAUUUAGUUAUAGAAUUUAUGUUUUUAACUUUUUACUUAAAGACUUUUUCAGAUAACAAUACAAUAUAUAUAUAAGUUAUCUCUUUUCUAAAUUAUAUUUUCAGAUUUUAGAUAAUUCUUAUUAUUCUUCAUAAUAAUCAAUUAUCUAAUCAAAAUCAAUUAAAAUUUCGUUUUUAUUUUUUAAUUUAUUUAUACAUUUUAUUCAUUAAGGAUAUAAACGGUAUUAAUCACUUUAAUUUUCAACGUGAGAGUUUCAUUGCAAAAAUUUACUUCGCAAAUAAUAGUAUAGAUAUAAGAAGUAAUGUACGUAUGUGUUGUCCAAUUGUACUUGCGCCCUGGUCUUUGGAACCUUGGUAUUUCGUGAUUUGAUGAAACCCUAUUUCAUGGUUUUCUUUAUUAUGUAUUAAUGAAUGCUCAAGUUAUAUGUCUAUAAUCUCAAGGCUAAACACGAUUAUACGAAUAUAUAUAGUUUACUGUCAAUAAACUCAAGGCUAAACACUAUUUUUUCUAGUGUAGACGAUGGUUACUUAUAUCAUUAUAUGAGAGAAACCUGUGUUUCACUCAAAUUUAGACCAUGCGAAGUUUCACUUAAAUUCCUAUAAAUCUUAUCAAUAUUUGAUUCAUAAAGCGUUCGAAUUAAAUGGUUAACUAUUAAUAGAUGUUUUCAUUAAUAGUUAACUCUUAAUAGAUGUUUUCAUAUUCUUCAUCUAUAUGAAUACCAUUUAGAGAAAAAUACCAAAAUAGCACUAAAUCAAGUUUUUGUUCCCAAACUAGCAUUCAAGGCCAAAAGUCACAAAAAUAGCACUCAAGGAGUGGGGUUUAGGGUUUAGAAUUUAGAGUUUAGGGUUUAGAGUUUAGGUUUUAGGGUUUAGAGUUUAGAAGUGAGGCUUUGGGGAUAAGAUUUCAAAUUUUGAAAAAUAAAAAAAUUUAAAUUUUUCAAAAGAUAAAAUGCUAUUUUGGUCAUUUUAGUUUUUGAGUGCUAUUUUUGUGAUAUAAACUUAGAAAUGUGCUAUUUUGGAGAUUUGCCCUACCAUUUAAUUAUGUUGUUAAAAAUGCCAUUAAUAGUCAUUAUAUUCUGAUUCAUCCCCAGCAUCCUGGCUUAUUGUUCCUCGAUAAUCGUCUUCAAAUGGUCGUGAUCAGAACUAGUAGAAGAAGACGAAACCGGAGCAGAUGCUAGAGAUUUCUUGAUAGAACCGACAACGUCAGUGCACCCUUUUUACGAGGAGCGAGCAAAUUUUCAAGGGAUUUACGAAGGAAUUCUUUCGCUUCAAAAUUUCGUCGCAAAUCUCUUGCGGAUCACUCGCAAAUUUGCGACAAAAUUUAUCCCUAAAACGUUCUCUUUCAAUCUUGCAAAUCGGCUGUUUUCUUGUAAUGUUUAGAUUAACUAUUCAAAGGGAUUUUUAACGACACGAUUAAAUGGUACUCAUAUGGAUGAAGAAUAUGAAAAAUCAAAAGACGUUUUGGAGGUUCUGACUAAAUCUUAACAAAUGAAAGAGAAAUUUAAUCGUAAGAAUAUUAGAAGAUCCAACUUCUAUUUUAUAUGCAUAAAAGUAAAAUAUAAUAAUUAGAAAAAUGCAGUUUGCCAAAUGUAUAAGUUAGUCAUACCAGGAAUCCUGGUAACAAUGCUAAUUUGUCGACCAAACAACUAAAACAGCUCAAUUUUGCUAACUCCGCAUCAAGACAUCAACCCCUGGUACUUUCUUUAGGAAUUUUAUAAUAUUUGCAAAAACAAACCUUAAAACCACGUCCAUUCAAUUACUACUGACUUUUACAAAACUACCUAAAAAGAGAUGGUUGAUUAAAAGAAAAAUAAAACGCAGUCAUAUCCUAGUGUGAAGUUGACAGAUGGUUAUAUCCUCCACAAAUUCGCUUACUAGGAAAUGUUCAGUUUAAAAUUUGCUCAGUAAUAAUCUAUCGGAUAAAAAGUAAAAUGCUUCAAAGAUGUGAGUUCAGUAAAAAAGUGAGAGGGAUUUUGAGUGGCAGAAAAAUGUUACUCUCUCUUUGCAAUUAGCCCUAAUUUUCUCGUCUUUGCCUCUCCGCUGGCAUGGUAUUUGGUUCAUGCGGCGGUUUUUCCAUGGUGAAUGUUUGAUUGCUCGGAGUUAAAAAAAAAAAGAUGUUAAUUCAGUAUAACAAUUUUUUAAGGAAUGGAGACGAUCGCAACGUAUCAUUCACGCCAAAAUAUAUGGUCACGCGAGGAAAUCUCGUAACAAUUCUCAAUCGUUAGACAAAGCAACAAGAAAACAGAUCAAUUUUGCUAUCUCCUAAACAAGACAUCCCCUGGUAUCACUUUCUUACCAAGAAUCUCUCAUUUAAGUAACUUAUUCAUCAAGAAAAGUUCGACGGUUGAAUUUAUUUGCGCUGGAUGAUAUUAGUGUGAUGUGUGCAUGUAAGAGAGAUUACUCCACGAUGCAUCUUCUUCUUACGUGACUUGAGAACUCGACAUGAUGUAGUAUUAUCUAUCACCAUGUGUGUAUGGUUCAAGACUAGAUAACUUGACUUAUUGUAGUGUAUACCUAAAGAAAGCCUUUCAUUUAAGCAACUGUGUACUGUCAAAUCUCAAAAUUAUGAUCCUUGUUUACUGGAGAGCAACAUCAUGGAUCAUGUGUUUUUUUAUAUGUUAUAUUUUGAAUUUUUAAAAACGGUUAUAAAUUUUAUAACAGCUUGACAUAUUAGAUUUGAACACUAAUCUGUUAAUAUAGUUUACCGGUGAUUUUUUUUUUUAAGUUUUGAUUCUUAGAUAUGAAUCUAGAGUGAAACUAAUUUUUACAGAUGUCCAUGUUUUUUUAAAUCGGCACUUAUUUAAUUAACUGAAUUCAUAGAAAAAAUUUAAAAAAAAAAACUUAACUCAUAUCAAUAAAACAGAGAUGAAAAUGAAAACACAAGUUUAUAGAAAUGGAAAAUGAACUCACUUAUGAAGAGUCAAUAGUAAACAAAUCGAGAGCAAAAAUCAUAAUUUUCAUUUUUCAUUAUACAAUCGAUGUUGCCUAUUUGGUUUGGUGAUUUGUGUCAGCUGUAAAAUUUAACUUUUUUGUGCAUGUGAAGUCUUAAAAAUAAUUAAAAUACGAUGUAAUACAUUAUAUCUUCAAUAACGAUGAUAUUAAAAAACCAACAUUUGUAUGUGUCAUUUUAUAAUCGAUAAAAAUUGUAGUGUUAUAAAAUAUUAAAAUUAUUUAAUACAUAAAUAUUAUUAUAAAAACUUAUUCUGUGUAUGCGCGCAGAUUAUCAUGUACUCAUUAUUAAUUGGACAGCACAUCAAGAUGAUCAUGUGCUCUAACCUUAUCGGUUGAUACGCUUUUCCAAGUUACUCUUUAUGUCAAUAUUUGGGNNNNNNNNNNNNNNNNNNNNNNNNNNNNNNNNNNNNNNNNNNNNNNNNNNNNNNNNNNNNNNNNNNNNNNNNNNNNNNNNNNNNNNNNNNNNNNNNNNNNNNNNNNNNNNNNNNNNNNNNNNNNNNNNNNNNNNNNNNNNNNNNNNNNNNNNNNNNNNNNNNNNNNNNNNNNNNNNNNNNNNNNNNNNNNNNNNNNNNNNNNNNNNNNNNNNNNNNNNNNNNNNNNGUUACUCUUUUCACAACUCGUAUUUCUCUCUCACAACUGUUUUUUUUUUUUAUUAGUAUAAUUUAGUGAUCACAAACUGCCCUCUAUCUCUAUCCAUGUAGAUCGACACGCUAGCAAUAUACUUUAUCAUCCCUUAUAUAUUAAUUGAAGAACAUUUGAAAAGAUGUAACCUUAAUUUUGUAUUAAUUAAAAGAGGCCCCAAUGCAUAGGUGGCACUCAAUUAGAUAGUCAAUUACAUUCAAUUGAAAAAUAAGUAGGUCCACAUUCGAUUUUUAUAUGUUGUUAGAUAUAUAAGUUGGUCAAACUAUAUGAUAUAAUGAUAUGAUAUGAUAUUUUCUUUCCUUAAAUAAAACCUACGGAAUUACCAUAAAUGACUAAUAUAUAUAUGACAAUUAAUGAGUUUAAUAAUAAAGAUUUGAUAACAAUGUAUAUCUCCUCCAUCAUUUUUUGUUUAAUUUUAUAUUAUUAAAAUAAAUUAAACAAUCAAAUUAGCUAUAAAAAUAAAAUUUAGAUUUUUUCGUAUAUGUUAUAUUUUGAAUUUUUAAAAACGACAAUAAAUGACUAAAACUAUUAAAAUUAUUAUGUUAAAAAUUAAUGAUCAACUGUUUUCUAUUGUGACUGGCACGACAACACUCCAGAUCGAGGUGUGAGAACAGAUGCAUUUGGUGUUACAUCAGUAAAUUCAAGACGGAAGCUGCAAUAUUAUGAUCCUUUCAUUCUUGCUUCUCAGGCCGAUCAGGUUUGUUAUAUCAAGUACCCCCGGGUAAGGAACAGAGAUGAUCCAUGGGUUACUGUUACAAGACUCAACCCGAGAGGCCGAGUUCAGGGAAGUUCUGAGCUGGAAGACCCACUACAACCAAGCACAUCCGGCAACUUAAGUGCAGCAGAAGAUUUAGCUGGAGUUGGCCUUGUAGUCGAUUUAACCGACUUUGGAGAGGAAGCCGUCGUUCACGUAGAGGAUGAACCAGUGAUUGGAGAGUUUCACCAAGAUCCAGAUUCAGAUUCAUCUGGUGAUGAUGACUCGGAAACAGACUACCAUUGAACUUAUUANNNNNNNNNNNNNNNNNNNNNNNNNNNNNNNNNNNNNNNNNNNNNNNNNNNNNNNNNNNNNNNNNNNNNNNNNNNNNNNNNNNNNNNNNNNNNNNNNNNNNNNNNNNNNNNNNNNNNNNNNNNNNNNNNNNNNNNNNNNNNNNNNNNNNNNNNNNNNNNNNNNNNNNNNNNNNNNNNNNNNNNNNNNNNNNNNNNNNNNNNNNUAUUCCCACUCUGAAAAUUUUGUGAUCAAUAGAUUAUUUUUUUGUUAUAAUAAGUUACAAAUGAUCAUAAAAUAUAACGCAUAUGAAUUUUUAUUUAAUAAAUAUUCAAACUAAAUUAUAUAUAUAUAUAUAAACACUAAUGAUUUAAAGCAACAAGAUUGGCUGAUCAAUUUAGUCGUCCAGUUGAAAUCUUUCAAAAGUAUGUGAAGGACUAAAGUCAAAGUAAAUAUGGAUUUAGUAUAAUAGUUAUAUUUUACUAACCAAAUACUGAAAAACCGAACCGAACCGAAACCAACCCGAUAUCCGGAUUGAACACCCGUAAUCCAAAUGAAGCCAAACUAUUGUUUCAUUCUCCAAAAUAUAAUAAAAAUAAUAACUUAAUCUCGCGCAAGGCGCGGGUCUUAUCCUAGUGUCUAUAUAAAUUCAAUCCCCUAUAUAAUUAUUUGAGAAGUAUUGCAGCAUUUUUUGUAGUCACGUGUCAUUUUUAAAAUCUUUAGAUAAAUAGAUUGAUUCAUUUAAAUAUAUAAUAAGCUUUUUAUUAAACCACAAUAAAUACAUUAUUAAUAUGAUUCAUUAUUUCCUUAAAUAAGAUUAUGGAAUUACCUAAUGUGACUAAAGUAUAUAUGACAAUUAAUGAUUUUGAAUAAUAAAGAUUUGAUAAAAAUAAGUGUGUAUUAUAAUUAUAUUUGUGUAAUUUUAAGCUAUUAAAAUAAAUUAAAAAAUCAUAGUAACUAUAUAAUAAAAAAUUUUAAAAAAUAUUUAAAUAUUAUAUUUUGAAUUUUUAAAAACGAGUAUAAAUUACUAAAACUGUUAAAAGUUUCACAUUCAAAUUUUGUGGUCUAUGAUUUAAAACUUUUGUUAUGACAUGAUACAAAUAAUUGAAAAAUAAUAUAAGUUGAAAGUCUCAUUUAAUAAGUAUCAAAAAUAAAAAAUAUAUAAAUAUAUGUAUCAUUUUAAAGUAAACUAUAUGCCAUAUAAAAAUACAUAAAUAUCGUAAUUUUGAAAUUUACUUUGAACAUUUUUUUGAUAAACAAUUUGAAAAAAUAUUGACAACUUAAUUUUUUAAAAUAUUAUAAAUUACUUAAACCAUUAUUCCCACAAUAAAAAUUUUGUUAUCACUAAUUUAGAUUUUUUGCUAUAACAGAUACAAAUGAUAAAAAAAAUAUGAGCAAAAAACAUCAUCUAAUAAAUAUUAAUAUUAACAUAUACCAUAUAUAUGUUAGUAUCAUUUAAGUUUAAUUAUAUAUCAUAUCAAAUAGAAAAAGUAUUUUUUCGAUUUAUUAAAUUUAUUUAUAUGUUCUCACCAAUAUAAUUAUAUAAGUAGUAGAUAAUGAUUUUUUAAUUAUUCAAUAUAUAUUUAUUAUUUCAUAAUAUGCUAUAAACAUAUAAUAUAUAAAAUAAUUUAUAUAUAUAAUGUUCAUCCCGCGCAAGGCACAGAUGUUAAAUUUGUGUUUAUAUAAAUCCAGUUCCUUCUUCUCCUAUACCCACACCCACUAUCAAACUUCCGUAAUGGCUUCCUUUGGCUUAUUUGAAACAUCGAUAUCCCUUUUUUGCUUUCUCAUCUUCUUUUACUUUCUCAUAAAGAAACAUUCUGGUUACAUCAAGAAAACCCUUUGUUACCCUUGGAACUGGCCUGUUCUUGGGAUGCUUCCAACUAUAAUCUUGUGGUACAAGCGAAUCGAUGUUCUCAUCUGGGUCUUAGAGAAGAGCAACUUGACGUUUCUAUUCAAGGGUCCGUGGCUCACUAGAAUGGAUCUGUUGUUCACGGUUGAUCCAGCUAAUAUACAACAUAUAUUGAGCUCGAAUUUCACCAACUACAUCAAAGGAACGGAGAUGAAAGAGAUAUUUGAUGUUUAUGGAGACGCCAUAUUCACUGCCGACGGAGAGCUAUGGAGGAAUAUAAGAAUGUCUUCUAUGGUCAUGUUCAAUCAUCAAGGUUUUCAAAACUUUUUGAUGAGUAUCACAACAAGUAAACUCAAGGAUGUGCUUGUUCCUCUAUUCAAUCACUAUUCAGAGGAAGGGACGGUCGUGGACUUGCAGGAUGUGUUCGGGAGAUUCAUGUUAGAUACAACCCUAGUUGUAAUCACCGGGUCUGAUCCUCAGUCUCUCUCCAUUGAAAUGCCAGAGGUUGAGUUCGCAAAAGCCUUAGAGAAUGCUGGAGAUUCUGUCAUACCAAGAUUCUUGUGGAAGUUGCAAAACCGAAUGGGAUUAGGUCAAGAGAAGAAGAGGAUAGAAGCGGGUGCCACUUUUGAUCGUAUCUGCGCGAAAUAUAUAUUUGCAAAGAGAGAAGAGAUAAGAUCACUAGGGAUUCAUCAUGAUCAUGAUCAUUCCGAUGGAGAGUGUGAAGAUUUUUUAACUUACUUCAUGAAACUAGAUACAAGCAAGUACGAGCACUUGAAAACAAGCGAUGAUAAGUUCCUUAGAGACUCCAUUGUAUCUCUCAUUGUCGCAAUGAGGGAUACCACUUCCGCUGCUCUCACUUGGUUUUUUGCUCUCCUCUUAGAAAACCCUAACGUGGAAACCAAGAUUCGCCACGAGAUCAACACAAACCUACCAAAAACUGCAACUAGUCAAGAGAGGCCAUGGUCGGCUAUCGAUCACAAAGAGUUUUUGAACACGUUGGUGUAUCUACAUGCGGCGUUGUAUGAAGCAAUGAGGCUCUAUCCACCAAUUCCGUUGGAGCGCAAGACUUCUGUUAACUCAGAUGUGCUUCCAAGUGGACACAAAAUUGAUGCAAACUCUACCAUUAUCUACCCUAUUUAUGCGUUAGGGAGGAUGAGAUCCGUAUGGGGAGAAGACGCAUUGGAGUUUAAGCCAGAGAGAUGGAUCUCAGAGACUGGAGGGUUGAGACAUGAGCCUUCUUCCAAGUUCUUAGUGUUUAACUCCGGUCCAAGAUCUUGUUCUGGUAAGCAUUUAGCUAUGACUGCAAUGAAGAUUAUAGUUGUGGAGAUAUUGCAAAACUUUGACAUUAAGCUCGUCAAGGGACAUACGAUUGAGCCAAAGCCUCGUCUGUCUCUACAUAUGAAACAUGGGCUUAGAGUCACGCUUACUAAGAGAUGUUCAGCUUGAAAUGUCUAUGUUAAGAGUUUCUCCAAUAAUAAUCCAUCGGAUAUAUUAUAAAAAAAAGUAUCAUUUAUUGUCCACAUGUACUUGUCCCACUGGUCUUUGGAAAUUUGUUUUUUCGUGAUUUGAUGAAAUUUAUUUCUUUUUUAUUAUGUAAUAGUGAACAGUGAAGUAUUAUUUCUUAUAUAAAAAUGAAUUCAUUGUGACAGGAAGAUAUAUAUAAAGUUUACCGUCAGUAUCUCAGUGCUACACAAAUUCAAAUCACUUAAAAUCCAUAGUUAUAUGAGAGAAACCCGUGAGAUAGAUCUAAUUUACACCUUACGAAGAUUAUAUUUUUUCUGCUUACAAAGUACGUCAUCUUAUAUAUUAAAACAGAAGUCACAACUUUGAUUCAUGUGUGAUUUUAAAAAAAAUAGAUUUAAUGAACAUAUUCAAGUCAUGUUACAUUUAAUAUAUAAUUUUAUCAUUUAAAUUGGAUCUUUCCAAUAUUUAAAGGAUGGUCCAAAUUAAAAAAUAACACAUGAAAUAAAUAUAAUAUAAUUUAAUAUAAUUUAAUGUUGUAAUACUAUACCUCUAUAUGUUAAAUAUUUUAAUAUUUGUCGAUAUUAAAUUUUAAAAUUAUAAAGAUUUUAUUUUAAGUAACAAAAAUCAUAUUAUCUAAAAAUGAUUAAUAUUUACUACCUUAAACCAAUGAAAACAAAUUUUAAACAAUAUAGUUUAUUUUAAAGAUUAAACAAAAACUGAAUGUUUAAUUAUUUACUCGAUAAUAUAAAUUUAUGAAAAAACUAAAGUUGACUCGAAUGUAAAUAUUGGAAGCUCCAACUUCUACUUAUAUAUGCUCAAAAGUUCAAAAUAGUAAUGUAUAAAAAUGGGAAUCGCAAAUGUACUACUUUAACGCCUAAAUAUAUGUUCAUACGAAGAAAUCUCGUAGCAAUGCUAAAUUGUCGAUAAAAACAACUAAAAACAGCUCUGUUUUGCUAGCUCCUCAUCAAGACAUCAACCAUAGUUUUGCUUUCUUUGCAAGAAAUCUCUUCAUCUAAGUUACUUUAUCAUCAAGAAACUCUCAUUUUACUAACUUAUUCAUCAAGAAACAUCGACACUUAAAUUUAUUUGCAUUAGAUACUUGUGAUGUGAUUUGAGCAUGGUAGAUGAAAUGAUCCACUUAAAACAUGUAUUUAAAUAAAAUUUAAAUGAUAAAAUUAUAUAUUAAAUGUAACAUGUCUUGAAUAUGUCCAUUAAGUUCUUUUAAAAAAAAAAAUCACAUAUGAAUCAAAGUUGUGACUUCUGGUUUAAUAUAUAAGAUUUAUAUAGAUGCCGUGUGUUGUGAACAACCACGAAUUAAGCAAGAAGACAAUAGAGAACAAAAAGUAUUGAGGCAAAUACUCGUUUAGGGUUUCUUAUUAUUGCGUGAACUGAAUAAUCUUACAAACCCUUAGACUCAUUUUUAUAUCAGCCUCAAAAUCCGAUUUCCUUUAUUUUUUAAGAAUACAUACUUAUCUAGAAAAGUUAAAUUUUCCUAAACCUAAAAGGCAUACCAACCCACUAGUGCUAAACUUUUACUUGUGCACAGAGAUUUAAGACACACAUAUGCAACCACACAUAUGCAACCGUGAAAACAAGGUACUUGAGAACUCGACUUGUUUCAGUAUUAUAUCCUGUGAGUAUAAUUCAAGAAAGCCUUUCAUUUAAGCAACUUUGCACUGUCAAAUCUCAAAACAUGUCGCACCCAAAUUUUAGCGAAAAAAAAAAUCUGAAAACAUGUGAUGCUUGUUUAUUGGAGACCGCAUCACGGAUCAUUUGUUUAUCCUAUUCUCUAAGAUUUCUCUGGUUCUCUUGCUAUAGAUCAACACACUGUUUUCCAGACAUCUCUGAUAUGAAAUCGAAUAUUUUAGAAUUAGUUAAACAAUAGACUUUUAUCAUGUGUAUAUAAAUCCAGUUCCUUCUUCUUCUCCUCCUCCUCCACCCACUAUCAAACUUCCCUAAUGGCUUCGAUCGGCUUAUUUGAAGCAUCUAUAUCUCUUUUUUGCUUCCUCAUCUUCUAUUACUUCCUCAUCAACAAACAUUAUGGCAACUUGCUCAUUAAGAAAUACCUUCAAAGCUGCCCUUGGAACUGGCCUGUUCUUGGGAUGCUUCCAGCUGUGCUCAUGAGGUUCAAUCGGAUUGAUGAUGCCAUCUAUAUCAUUGAGAAAACCAACUUGACAUUUCUAUUCAAGGGUCCAUGGUUCAGUAGAAUGGAUGCGUUGAUCACCGUUGAUCCAGCUAAUAUACAUCAUAUAUUGACCUCAAAUUUCUCCAACUACGUCAAAGGACCUGAGUUCAAAGAAAUAUUUGAUGUCUAUGGAGAUGCGAUAUUCAACACCGAUGGAGAGCUAUGGAAGAAUCUAAGAAUGUCUUUUCAGGUCAUCCUCCAUCAGCAAGGUUUCCAAAACUUGUCAUUGAGUGUCACAACAAGUAAACUCAAGGACGUGCUUCUUCCUCUAUUCAGUCACUAUUCAGAGGAAGGGACGGUCGUGGACUUGCAGGAUGUGUUCCGGAGAUUCAUGUUCGAUAUAUCCUUAAUUUCAAUUACCGGGUCUGAUCCUCAGUCUCUAUCCAUUGAAAUGCCAGAGGUUGAGUUCGCAAAAGCCUUCGAUAAUGCUGGGGAAGCCAUUUUGUUUAGGCAUGUCAUACCAAAAUUCUUGUGGAAGUUUCAAAGAUGGAUGGGACUGGGUCAAGAGAAGAUGUUGCUAGAAGCCGGUGCAACUUUUGAUCGAAUCUGUGCGAAAUACAUUGAUGCAAAGAGAGAAGAGAUAAGAUCACAAGGGAUCGAUCAUGAUCAUGAUCAUUCCAAUGGAGAAAGUGAAGAUGUUUUAACAGCUUACAUAAAGCUAGAUACAAGCAAGUACGAGCUCUUGGAUCCAAGCAAUGAUAAGUUCAUUGGAGAAACCCUUUUAUCUUUCAUUUUCGCAGGGAGAGUUACCACUGCCACUGCUAUCACUUGGUUUUUCGGACUCCUCACAAAAAACCCUAACGUGGAAGCCAAGAUUCGCCAAGAAAUCAUCACAAAUCUACCGGAAGCUAGUCAAGAGAGGUCAUGGGCGGCUAGUGAUCACAAAGAGUAUUUGAACAAGUUGGUGUAUCUACAUGCAUCACUGUAUGAAGCAAUGAGGCUCUAUCCACCAAUUCCGUUCGAGCGCAAGUCUCCUAUAAAAUCAGAUGUACUUCCAAGUGGACACAAAAUCGAUGCAAACUCUAACAUUAUCAUCCCUAUCUAUGCGUUAGGGAGAAUGAGAUCCGUAUGGGGAGAGGACGCGUGGGAGUUCAAGCCAGAGAGAUGGAUUUCAGAGACUGGAGGGUUGAGACAUGAGCCUUCUUCCAAGUUUUUAGCAUUUAACUCCGGUCCAAGAACUUGUCCUGGUAAGCAUUUAGCUAUGGUGACAAUGAAGACCGUAGUAGUGGAGAUAUUACAAAACUAUGACAUUAAUCUUGUAAAAGGGUAUAAGAUUGAGCCAAAGCCUCGUCUUGCUCUUCAAAUGAAUCAUGGGCUUAGAGUCACGCUUAGUAAGAGAUCUUCGGCUUGAAAUGUUAUCUUUGCUAGAGUUUCUUAAGUAAUCUAUCGGUUAUAGUAUAGCAAGUAAUAAGGUGCGUACGUAUUGUCCAAAUGUACUUGCCUAGUGGUCUUUGCAAGGUUGGUAUAUUUGUGAUUUGAGAAAGUUCACUUCUCUCUUAUUUUUCUUUUGUAUUAAUGAACGCUGAGCUGUUUAUUUCUUAUAUGAAAAUGUAUUGCAUUGUGCCUUAAUAAGAUAUAAAAAUUACUGUCAAUAUCUCGAUGCUACCCGCUGGUUUUGAUUAUAACUACUAUGAUAGUCGAUAUAUAUAUGAGAGGAACUCGUGAGAUGGAUUACUUUAGAUACUUCGUUGUUCUUACAAAGCGCACCUUCUUAAUUAAUUAAAGAAAACCAAAUCACUUACACUCAUAUAAACCUCAUCAGUCUUUGAUUCAUCAACCAUUCAUUUGAGAAAUUUUGAGACUUUCAUGGUUGCUUUUUUUUGGUAACGCGUGAAUUUUAAUUACCUAUGAAAUGACUUGUUAAAACAAUUUCAUCGUGUUACAGAAAAAAAAAAACAAUUUCAUCAAAUCCUUACUAAUAAAAGGGACCUUUGGAGGCUCCAUAGAGCGUCCACAUCAGCAAAAAAAACUUCUCCCAAAAGAUGACACGUGGCAUAAAAUAUAGUUUUACACUUUAAUAUUACUAAUUUUCGCAAAUUAUAAAUAAUAUGUAAACAUACAGCAUAAAAAAUAGAAAAACUACAUUAAACAUAUGUAAGAUUACCAUUUUUCACUUGAAAAAAGACGGCUUAUCUCCAUAAUGUAACAUUACCAUUUUAUAUAAAAAAACAAAAAACAUUAUAUAUAAUUUCGAAAAUAAUAAAUAUAUGUAAACAUACAACAUAAAAAAUGAAAAUACUACAUUAAACAUAUGUAAGAUUACCAUUUUACAUUUUUAAUUUAAAAAAAAAAAUAAUAUGUAAACAUACAACAUAAAAAUAGAAAAACUACAUUAAACAUAUGUAAGAUUACAAUUUUUCACUAAAAAAGACAGUUUAUCUCCAUAAUGUAAAAUUACUAUUUUGAAAAAAAAACAUUAUAUAUAAUUUCGAAAAUAAUAAAUAAUAUGUAAACAUACAACAUAAAAAAAAUGGAAAUACUACAUUAAACAUAUGUAAGAUUACCAUUUUAUAUUUAAGAAUAACAAUAAUAUGUAAACAUACAACAUAAAAAAAAUAGAAAAACUACAUUAAAUAUAUGUAAGAUUUCCAUUUUCCACUAAAAAAAAGCGGCUUAUCUCCAUAAUGUAACAUUACCAUUUUAUAAAAAAAGAAAAAAAACAUAAAUAUAACUAUUUGACUAUUUAUCCAAGUUCUUCUAUUAAACAUUGCCGUUUUACAUUAAAAAUGGAAAAAUACGUAAAGAUUUAAACAUCUAUCUUAAAAUAUAAAAUAUAGACAUUAACUAAAUAUAAAGUAUAAGAAAGAGAAAUACUCAAUAUAUAGAAAAAUAAAUAAUAAGUAAAUAUUAUAAAUAUAUAAAUAUACGAAUUAUAUAUACAAUAAUAAGUAUUUAGUGAUACUUUUUAGAUAAAAAACAAGUUUUUUAAUAUUUGUGUCCCAACCUAAAACUUCAUGUAUUUUGAAACAGAGGGAGUCAAGAAAGUCCCUAUAAAACUCAUUAUUCCAUCAACAUCAACCUCACACUAUCAAGGAAAACUUCAAAGCACUCGAGCAAAAAAAUGGUUCCACCAUCAACUUUUGCCGUCCCAAAAACUUUUAAUGACCUUGAAAGAGAUUUUUUAUAACAAUGAACUUUUUGUUAGGUGGAUUCACUGUUGGGAAACCCGCAACUUUCAAAAACCAAACUUAUUCAUGGGAAUUGAAUUGCUUUUCAUAGACUCAAAGGUAUUCUUACAAAUUUAAAUUAAUCUAAUCCAUAAUUUUAUUGUUAAUAUUCGUACUAGCUCUUUCAUGAUCAAACCAUUACAGUUAAUAAUCAUUCAAGCGUCAUUUAACAAGUAUUAGAUACUUUUUGAUAUAUCAUUAUUUUCUAUUUCCAGAAAACAAUAAAUUGUUAAACAUCAAUAUCAUCUAGGUUAAGUAUACGAACAACACAAAUUCAAACAUCACAAAAAAUAUUUACAUAAACAUUAUAAUACAAUAAUUUAAUCAAAAAAUACAAUUAAAAAAACAAUAUUCAAAAGAAUAGUUAUAUACUUAAUAUUUGAAAAUCAAAGAUAUUUUUGCUAAAAUUUUACUUACCUGGCCAAGGAGAUCGUCCAUCUUUUUACGGAUCGAUAGAUUGUUGAGCAUGUGGUCGAACCGAAAAUACUCUGCAGUUUAAUUAAAUAUCUAAAACAUUUAUUCAAAUACUCAACAAAUAGUUUUGCUAAAUAUGAUAACUAGAUAGCCAACAAAAUUAUAAAAAAAUAUUUAAACAGUAAAAAAUAUGUUACUUUAACGUGUUAAAAUUUAAAAAUAAAUUUUAAUUAUGACAUGCAUCUUAACAUUUAUAUAAAUAUAUAUCAUAACCUAAAUAUAAAUAAUUUAACAACUUAAAUUAGAAAAAAAAUAAAAAUCCCGGGCGUAGCCCGGGUUAAUCCCUAGUAUUAUUCAUAUAGGUGAAUAAUAUGAAAAAAAAGGUAAAAAAAAAAACCAUUUAUGAGCUAGGUUCUCAGUAAAUCGUACAAUAAAUCAAAGAUACAUCUAAAGAUAUAGACUGUUAUAAUUGUAUAUACAUAAAAGUUCAUAUAACAAUAAUUAUAAAACAAAUGUAGAUUUGAAAAUGUACAAAAUAGUCAUAUACGAGGAAAUCUCAUAAUAAUGCUAAAUUGUCGACAAAGUAACUAAAAACAGUUCAAUUUCGCUAGCUCCUCUUCAAGACAUCAUGAUCAACCCCAUGUUAUUACUUUCUUACCAAGAAAUCUCUUCAUGCAAGUUACUUCAUCAUCAAGAAACUCUCAUUACAAUGCUAAAUUGUCGACAAAGCAACUAGGAACACUUCAAUUUUACUAGCUUCUAAAUAAAUACAUAAACCCAUGGGAUAACUCUCUCAACAAUAAAUCUAUUCUUCUAACUUCCUUACGCAACUCUCAUUAUUAAUGUGAUCCGUGUAUGUAGAAGAGGCACUCACAGUCCAGCACGUUCUUUCGAUGAUGGUUAGAUUAAACGAUCCAAACAUAUAUGCAAUGUGAAUUAAGAGGUAAAGCCUUGUUAUAGAGGUGUAGUGAACUCGACUUGUUGUUAUAUUACGUAUCAUGUGUGCAUAAUUCAACUUCAUUUUUAUGUUAUCUUCCCAACACAAAAUCGAAAAUCUCUUAACUAAUGGCGUUUAUCGGUUUAUUUGGAGAAUUCCUAGCUUCCUUUUGCUUUCUUAUCGUCUAUUAUUUUCUCAACAAGAAAACCUUUGGCUACUUACACAUCAAGAAAACUCUACAAAGCUACCCCUGGAACUGGCCGAUUCUUGGAUGUUUCCGGGUCUGCUUGUGAGGACCCAUUCAAGGGUCCAUAGUUUGCUGGAAAUGAUGUAUUAAUCACAGUCGAUCCGUUUGUCUCUCAAAUUAUGAUCUUUCUUUACGCGAUGGGGAGGAUGAGAGCUAUAUGGGGAGAAGACGCAUGGUAGUUUAAGCCAGAGAGAUGGGUUUCAGACACAGGAGAGUUGAGACUUGAACCGUCCCACAAGUUCUUUUCGUUCAAUGCCGGCCCUAGAACUUGUCUAGGUAAGUAUACAGUUAUGACUCAUUUGAAGAUAAUACUGGUGGAGAUAUUACAAUACUAUGACAUCGAGGUAGUUAAAGGACACAAAAUCGAGCCACUUCCUGGUCUUACUCUUCACAUGAAGCAUGGGGUUAAAGUCACACUUAAUAAGAGAUGUUCAGCUUGAAAUGUUAAUGGUACGUAGAGUUUGUUUGAGAACUUUUUUGAAUCGUGUAUGUUAACGUACGGUACGUAGAGUUGUUCCAAUAAUAUAUGGGAAAUAGUUUAGUAGUUAAUAAGGUACAAAUGUAUUGAAGUGUACUUGCCUCCCUGGUCUUUGGAAGCUUGGUACUUUGUGAUUUGAUGAAAUUUUUUAUCAUGUAUUUUGUUUUUGACAACCAUUUUUUUAUCAUGUAUAAAUGGACGCUGAAAUGUUAUUUUAUAAAAAAAACUGUAUGCAUUAGGAAUAUAUAAAGUGAACUAUAUUCUACACAAUAAAAUCAAAUUAUUUUGUUAUUUCUAAGUAUAAAAUAAUUAGAAAUUCUGUAAAAUAUUAUUAAGAUUUUAUUUUAUUAUACAUGUCAUUUUAGUUAUAAUAAUUUAGAUCGGUUUAAUUAUUAUUAUUUUGAUAUAGUGAAUAGCGUUAAGUUUUCUUAAUUAAAUAAUAAAUUUUGCUCUAAUUUAGUUAAAACUGUAUUAACUGUUAAUUAAAUUUUAUUUUUGAAUUGUGUGAGAAUUAAGUGAAAGUGAAUUUUUAAAUAAUACAUUAUAGAAAUAUUCUUAAUUUUUAAAUUAAUAAUAAAUAGAGAUUGGCAAAUAUACCACUUUCACGUCAAAUAUAUGGUCAUACAAGGAAAUCUCUUAACCAUGCUAAACUGUCGACAAAGAAACUAAAAACAGUUCAAUUUUGCUAGCUCCUCGUAAAGACAUAACCUCUUGUAUUACUUUCUUACCAAGAGAUAUCUUCAUCCAUCCAAUCUGCUUCAUCAUCAAGAAACUCUCAUUUAAAUAAGAGAAAAAAACUAGGAUAGCAUCAAAGCAAUUUUUUGUUCACAAACCAAGUUUUUGUUCUCAAACUAUUACUCAAGGCUCAAAGUCACAAAAAUAAGUUUCAUUAUAAAAGUAAAUAUACACUUAUACCUCUUGGGUUAAUUAAUCCAAACCUUAGACUUAGAGUCUAGAGUUAAGGGGUGGAAUUUUGGAAUUAGGAUUUAAAAUUUUAUAAAAUAAAAAAUAAAACCAAAAAAAUUAAAAAUAAAAAUAUAAAAACAGUUUCAAAAAGUAUUUUUGAAUUAUAAAAAGAAAAUUUGAAAAAAAAAAAAAAAAAUUUAAAAAAAAAUUUAAAAAAAGUUUUAAAAAAAUUAUAAAAAAUUUCGAAUCUGAAAAUAUAUAAUCUGGAAUUUUUUUUAUUUUUAUUUUAUUUAUUUUUAUUUGUUUAUUUAAUUUUAAACCAAGAAUAUUAUGAAUAUUUUACCAUUUAAUGAGUGUCAUUUUUGUGACUUUCUCCUUUUAUUGCUAUUUUUGAGACAAAAACUCAAAAUGUGCUAUUAUUGACAAUUUCCCUUUAAAUAACUUACUCGUCAAGAAAUAUUUAACUUAUGUCUUUGCGCUGGAUGCUUUUAACGUGAUUUUUGCAUGUAGGAUAGAUCACUCGACAAUUCAGCUCCUUCUUACGAUAAUUGUUAAAUCAAAUUAUCGGCAUAUGGUUAUUGAAAUACAGACACGCUAUUUCCGGACAUAUCUCCAGUAUGAAUUAAAUGGUAAAUCCUCUAUUUAUAUAUCAUAUGUUUAUAAUUCAACUUCCUUCUUAUGCUCUCUUCUCUGCACAAAAUCAAACAUCUCUAGUUAAUGGCUUCGAUCGGUUUAUUUGAAGCAUUCCUAGCUUUGUUUUGCUUUCUUAUCGUCAAUUAUUUUCUCAACAAGAAACCCUUUGAUUUCUUGCACAUCAAGAAAACCCUUCAAAGCUACCCCUGGAACUGGCCCUUCUAUGGGAUGACUCCAGGUUUGCUUGUGAGGAUCCACCGGAUAAACGACAGCGUUGAGGUUCUCGAGAACUCUAACAUGACGUUCCCAUUCAAGGGUCCAUGGUUUGCUGGGAAGAAUGUAUUAAUCACAGUCGAUCCAGCUAAUAUUCAGCAUAUAGUGAGCUCAAACUUCUCCAACUAUAUCAAAGGUGCAGAGUUCCAAGAGAUCUUUGAAGUUUACGGAGACGGGAUAAUCAACUCAGACGCCGAGCGAGCUAGCAAGCUGAAGAAGUGUUAUCAGGCCCUACUCCAUCAUCAAGGGUUUCAAAAGGAUUCAAUGAGCGUCACAACAAGCAAGCUCAAGGACGUGUUAUUGCCUCUUUUCAAUCAUUUUUCAGAGGCAGGAACGGUCGUGGACUUACAAGAUGUGUUCCGGAGAUUCACGUUCGACACUACCUUAGUUACGAUAACUGGGUCUGAUCCUAGAUCUCUCUCCAUUGACAUGCAUGAAAAUGAGUUCGUUAAAGCAUUAGACGAUGUUGCGGAAGCGAUUGUGUAUAGGCAUUUUACACUAAGAUUCAUGUGGAACCUCCAAAAGUGGAUAGGGUUUGGACCAGAGAAGAAGAUGGUAGAAGCUGAUGCAAUAAUUGAUCGUGUUUGUGCAAAAUAUAUAUCAGCUAAGAGAGAUGAGAUACAACAAGGGACACAAGAUGGAGCCACUUCCUGGUUUUAUUUUUCACAUGAAGCACGGUCUUAAAGUCACAUUUAAGAAAAGAUGCUCUACUUAAAAAUUGAAAUAAUGAAUGCUUAAAAUAGAUGUUUUAGAAGCUCUCAAAACUUGUAUAAAAAUAACAAGGUAAUGGUGUUUCAAGAUUGGUUAAUAGUCAGGACCGGCUCAGAAAGGGACAAGCAGUUCAACCGUCUCAGGUCCAAGCCCGUGCCUCCGUAAAAUAAUAAUUAAGAGAUUCAAUUUUUCUAUAAAUCUAUAUAUUUAUAUAUAUAUAAAAUAAAUAUUAUUGAAAAGGGCCUAAAAUUAUUUGAUAUGUAUAUCGUUUUAUUUUCAUUAUAAAUAUACAAAAUAUUACUGAUUAAAUUUUAAAAACAUUUUAAACAUUAUCUAUAUAUAAAUUUUAAAGGGUAACAUUUUUUUGUCCUAAGGCGUAACAAUUUUGAGCCGUCCUUGUUAAUAGUUGUUUUAUAAUUAUUAUGUUUGAUAAUUGAAAUGUACAAUAUUACGUUAAAAAUCAUGACUGGUAGUUAAAAGAGAUGUAUCUAAUAUCAUGAAUUUUCAUAAUAUAUAUUUUUAUAAAUUAUAUAUUUUAUAUAAUUAAUUAACGUAUACACAACUUCAACGAGAAAUCGGUGACGGGCUUUUACAGUAAUGGCCCAUUACUUCUUUAUGGGCUUAGUGGGUCCUUUAAGGCCCAUAAAUGUGAAGAGCGACGCUUUUAAUCAGACAUCGAAAAAGCCGAAGAAAGUGAACUCUCUGCUCUAUCUCCACCUGCUCCUCUCGCUACUCUACCUACUCAUCCUCUGGUAACUAUACUUUCUAUCCUCUAAUCUGGUCUCUAUAGCAUUGACUACGUUUACUCGUUAUCUCUCUAUAUAUUUGUUUGUGUUGUAUUGUAUUUGUAUGUUUCUUCACUUUGGUUGAAUAGUUUGGGAUUGGUUUUGCGUGUAAUGAAAUUGAAUUUGGUGAAAUUAGGUCAGAGAAGCUUCUGAUGGCUCCUCUUACACUCUCUGUUGAUGUGAAGAGCUCUUCAGCCACUGCUCCCGGUAAUAAAAAAAAAAAGAGAUGUCUCUCUUUUUUUCUAAUUAUUUAUUUAUAUGUUUUGACUCAAUUGAAGGAGAGAAUGUGUUGUGAUAUUUACUUAAAUGGGUUUUUGGCAGAUGUUUCGAAUAGAUUAGUGCAGAUUCCACAGAUCAAAAAGAGCAAAGACUUUGCUUCAGUCAGUUCACAAAACGAAAACGAAAACCCUUUUGAUUUCUUCCGCACUCUCUUUGGUAUGGAACCACUUUGUAGUGUAUCUCUUUUGGUUCGUAAUUUUUAAUGAUUUCAAUGUAAAGAUGCAGUCUUUGGAUCUGAAGAUGUUUACUUUUCUUAUGUUAUUUGAUGAUGCAGAGGGGUUUAUAGCAGGAGGUACAGCUGGAGUUGUAGUUGAAACAGCUUUGUACCCUAUUGAUACUAUAAAGACUAGACUUCAGGCACGUCAAACAAAGUUCAUUUCUUCGUUUGGAUUGAGUUUAACUGUUUGCAAAAAAGAAAAGGUUGAACUUUAGUUCCUAAAUUAUUUUUUACCUUUAUGAUGUAGGCAGCUCGUGGAGGUGGGAAGAUUGUGUUGAAGGGUCUAUAUUCAGGAUUAGCUGGAAAUAUCGCUGGUGUCUUACCGUAAGUGCUCUCAUCCAUAGUGUUCCUAUUUUGUUGAUAUAAAAAAAUCAACUUUCUAGUAACUACAAAUGAUGAGUUUUUGACAAAAUUGUAUCCUUGUCCUGUUUCUAUGUAGGGCUUCGGCUUUGUUCGUUGGAGUUUACGAACCCACAAAGCAGAAACUGCUGAAGACCUUUCCUGAUCAUUUAAGCGCAGUUGCUCACCUGGUUAGAGAUUUUUCUUUAUCUAGACCGUUGAAUUUGUUCCUUGUAUUUUGAGAGUGAAGAACAGUAAUCUUGUCCAUUGUAUCAAAUUCCACAGACUGCAGGGGCAAUCGGUGGACUUGCUGCCUCUCUUAUUCGAGUACCUACAGAGGUAAAAAACUUCCUCUCUAAUCCUAGAAUCCUCCUCCUCAAGUGACAUUUUCAAUGUGUGUGUUGUUUUAGGUUGUGAAGCAGAGAAUGCAGACUGGUCAGUUUGCUUCAGCUCCCAACGCUGUUCGAGUUAUUGCAUCACAAGAGGGCUUUAAGGGUCUCUAUGCAGUUAGUAACACUAACACCUUUUGCUUAAGCUCUUCCUUUUAGUCUGUUGUUUUUUUCUGUGUGGUAACUUAUUUCAUUUUUCUUUCUAGGGAUACCGAUCUUUCCUAUUAAGAGACUUGCCAUUUGAUGCUAUUCAGUUCUGCAUAUAUGAGCAGCUCUGCUUGGGGUAUAAAAAAGCAGUAAGCUUUCUUGGCCAAAAAAUAAUCAAAAAAAUAGGGUAACUGAAUAAUAUUUUGGCAUGAGAUUUAAACUUUGCUCAACUUUUGUUUUGUUUUGGCUAGGCGCGUAGAGAGCUUAAUGAUCCUGAGAACGCUCUAAUUGGUGCAUUUGCUGGUUCGUGAACGCUUUUAAAUACAAAACUUCCGGAUCCAUUAAGUUUUGGUAGAUGUUGCAAAUUUCCCCAUAAUCUGACCUGAGACAGUUAGUUAGGUUUAAUUGACUGAACUGAAAGAAGACUCUGUCUGGUCCAUUAUAAUCAAAACGUUGCUUUGUAUCUUAACAACUUGUUAUUACAGAGGAACCAGUUAGUGACAGUGUGUGAUUAUUAAGUAUAAACUUGGUUUAUGCAGGUGCUCUGACAGGAGCAGUUACCACUCCGCUUGAUGUUAUCAAGACAAGAUUAAUGGUUCAGGUAGUAAUAGUUUUAUCACAUCUUAAAAAGUCUCUCCAAGUUCCAAUCUUCUUUCUUCUUCUUCUCAGGGAUCAGCCAAACAAUAUCAAGGUAUAGUUGACUGUGUUCAAACAAUUGUAAAAGAGGAAGGAGCUUCUGCUCUCUUAAAGGUACGUACACCACACGCACACACUAGUUACCACUUUAUCAUAAGUUGAGCAGAGCUUCUUUUAGUUACUACAAAAACGCUAAUCCUUGGACCACUUUUGCUUCAGCUCCCAACGCUGUUCGAGUUAUUGCAUCACAAGAGGGCUUUAAGGGUCUCUAUGCAGUUAGUAACACUAACACCUUUUGCUUAAGCUCUUCCUUUUAGUCUGUUGUUUUUUUCUGUGUGGUAACUUAUUUCAUUUUUCUUUCUAGGGAUACCGAUCUUUCCUAUUAAGAGACUUGCCAUUUGAUGCUAUUCAGUUCUGCAUAUAUGAGCAGCUCUGCUUGGGGUAUAAAAAAGCAGUAAGCUUUCUUGGCCAAAAAAUAAUCAAAAAAAUAGGGUAACUGAAUAAUAUUUUGGCAUGAGAUUUAAACUUUGCUCAACUUUUGUUUUGUUUUGGCUAGGCGCGUAGAGAGCUUAAUGAUCCUGAGAACGCUCUAAUUGGUGCAUUUGCUGGUUCGUGAACGCUUUUAAAUACAAAACUUCCGGAUCCAUUAAGUUUUGGUAGAUGUUGCAAAUUUCCCCAUAAUCUGACCUGAGACAGUUAGUUAGGUUUAAUUGACUGAACUGAAAGAAGACUCUGUCUGGUCCAUUAUAAUCAAAACGUUGCUUUGUAUCUUAACAACUUGUUAUUACAGAGGAACCAGUUAGUGACAGUGUGUGAUUAUUAAGUAUAAACUUGGUUUAUGCAGGUGCUCUGACAGGAGCAGUUACCACUCCGCUUGAUGUUAUCAAGACAAGAUUAAUGGUUCAGGUAGUAAUAGUUUUAUCACAUCUUAAAAAGUCUCUCCAAGUUCCAAUCUUCUUUCUUCUUCUUCUCAGGGAUCAGCCAAACAAUAUCAAGGAAUAGUUGACUGUGUUCAAACAAUUGUAAAAGAGGAAGGAGCUUCUGCUCUCUUAAAGGUACGUACACCACACGCACACACUAGUUACCACUUUAUCAUAAGUUGAGCAGAGCUUCUUUUAGUUACUACAAAAACGCUAAUCCUUGGACCACGAUUAGGGUAUUGGGCCAAGAGUGUUGUGGAUAGGUAUUGGUGGUUCAAUAUUCUUUGGUGUGCUCGAGAGCACGAAGAGAACACUUUCCCAAAGACGUCCCAAGACGGUUAAAGAAUCCAAAGAGGAUUGAGUUUAUUUCAGCUUAUUAUGAUUCUUGAGGACAAUAAAAUGGUUGAAAGAUGAUGCUGUUUGACAUUCAACCGAGUCCCUUUGUGUGAUCAGACUUUGUCAAGUACUUGUGUUCAUUUCAGCUUUCAUUCAAUAAAUAAAAUAUCAUUUCUUGAAAAUAAUAAGCACACUAUUCAAAUAUUAUUGAAGCUUAUUAACUUUAUAUGUUAAUCUUCGUUUCUAUGUGUACGAUAGUUUUGUUUCAAAAAAAAAAAACGUGUACGAUAGUUUUAUAAUAAAAGAGUAACGUAAAUUCUUGGCCGUUGAAUCUUGAACAAAUAUUUUCGGACCCUCCCAAGAAAAUAAAGGAAAUGGAUAACUUGUAAUGGCAAACAUAAGUAAUAAUAACAUAUGACUUUUAUGGUAAGACCUAUUGUUUAUAUUCAUAUUAAUUCACCCUGAAUUGUGUCAUAUUGAUUGGUGCAGUUAUGUCCAAUCAUUUGAUGGUCCCUCCAUGUUAGGGUUUUCAAUUUCACUUGAUUGUUGUUUAAUUAGUGUUCAAUUCUUUUCUCAUGUUUUGGUAUUUGUCACUGAUAGAUAUGUUUUUUUCUCCUCUCUUUUUUACUCCCAAAUGCAUAUCUUUUUCUUCGUUGUCUAUAGAGAUGGCUCCAAAAACAUGUCUAAAUCCAUGCUUAUGCUACCUUGCCUAUUCUCUUUUUCUUCUUUUCUUAUACAACAAAAGAAAAUGCAAAGAACCACGGGAGGAGAAAGAUGCAUAAGGAAGGGCAUUAAGAGAGGGGGUCGUCAUAAAGUGACAGAGGAAGGACAGAACAAAAACAGCUUUGGAUGGUCGGAUCAAUAUAAUGUUGUCAAAUUAUAACACUUAGAGCAUCUCCAACCCAUUGCUAUUUUCACCUCUAUAAUAGUAUUUAGAGGUAAAAUUGCUCCAACCCACCUCUAUUUCUUCCUCUACAAUAGAGAUCUCUAUAUUUUCCUCUAUUUAUAGAGGAAGAAAUAGCAUUUCUCUAUUUUUUACUCUAUAUUUUAGAAAUUGCUAUUUUAGGGGAAUACAUUGGAGCAUAUCUCACCUCUAUUAUAGAGUUUCCCUAUUUUAGAGUUAAAAAUAGCAAAAUACAUUGGAGAUGGUCUAACAGACGCAGAGUCCCCAUGUUGCCAUCAUUUUUCUUCGUGUCCCUUUUUGUGGUUUCUUUUCCCCCAAAAAAAGAAUAUUCUUAUUUCUUAGUUUUUGUUGCCCUUGUACUAGCUAGAUUAGUCUUUUAUAAAUUGAUAUCAAAAUGUUACAUAUGUAUGUGUUGUAAGAUGUAGAGUUAAAGUUCAUAUUGUUUCCUUUUUGGGUGUGACUUAAUUAGUUGUGUGCCCCUAACGAGAAGUCAACUUUAAAUGUUUCGAAGUUUGUUUAGAAAGUCAAUGAGAUUAAUGCCUUUGGGAUUUGAUACAUGCGCAGACAGUUGAACUUAUUCGUCCAGCCUCACUCUAACUCGCUAAACUGAGUUGUUUUCUUGGUUAUUUGAUCGAAAUUUCCUUUACCCGUUUUUAUGUUUUGUAUGUUUAUAUUAUAAGUAUAUAUGGAAUUAAAAAAUUGAGUAGCUUUUUUCAAAAUUAAAAUCGUUCGCUGGUUCAGUCUGAUCACCUCUUUACUAAACAUGUAUGGAAUCGAGAUCUAGAGUUUGGUCUACAUUAAAAUUGCUAUCUAGGUCGACUAGAUUAUGUCUAAUAUUUUUGAACUGAAAACCUCUUUAAUAGUCGAUAUCAAACUUGUAUGAAACAGAAAUAGAAAUAUGAAACUUGAGUAGCAUUAGAAAUUGUAUGACUAUUAUUUUAUUUUAUUUUGUUCAAACUGUAUGACUAUUGUUUUAACUUAGAGGCAACUUCAAUAAAACAUCGCAAGUUUUGUUUGUCUAUCCGAUCUCAAAUAUAUAGGAUCGGACCGGGGCUAGACUAGUCACAGUUACAGCUUUACACUAAAGAUAAUAAUGCUUGUAAUGAAACUAGCAGUUGAACAGAGAUCACUGAGAAUAUAAUUAUUGAAGGGGGUAAAGAGAGAGGAAGAAGCUCAAGAAAGGUGAUGGUAUGAAAACAAAUAAUGUAAAUUUUAAAUACAUGCGGAAAAAAAUGAAAUGAUUACCUUCGCCAACCUACACUCCAGUCUCUUCCCCACUUCUGAAGGUCCAUUAAUCAGAUUCAUAUUAUUAUUUCACCCAAACAAAUAAUAUUACCCUUUCUCUCUUUUUGGCCAGAUGUAUAAAACGAAUUGUGAAAUAUUAAACGCCCACACACACACACACGAACAUUAAUGUGUAAAAAAGAAAACGAUCUCAUUACGAGUUACGUGUAUUUUCAUUCUACUAUCAUUCCCACGGACCAACGUGAUGCCAUAUUGACGUUGUUCUUACGGUAUCACGAGGCUAAACUAUAUAACUACACAAGAAGAAAUAUGGUGGAACCGUUUCGCAAAAAAAAGAUAGAAAUUAUAAAAAUAUAUAUUAUUAUUAAAAAUGUAAAGUAAUCUAGAUUUCUAAAAUUUCUUCUUGUGGAACCGUUUCGCAAAAAACAGAUAGAAUUUUUUUUUUUUUUUUAAAUAUAUAUAUAUAUAUAUUAUAAAAAAUGUAAAAUAAUCUAGAUUUCUAAAUUUUUAAAAUUCGGUUAUACAAAAGGAAAUUUAUAAUCAAUCACUCAAGAGUCAAGAGCAUGCAAAGGUGCUAGAAAAAAUAUAAUUUAUCAAAACUAUAAAAACUAACUAAUAUAAUAUAACACGGAAUUUGUUUUUAGAAACAAGUAUAAAUUACACAAUAAAAUAUAAAUCAUUAUGUAAUAUUUUUUUCUCUCACUGGCACUCUUUUGUUGAGCACGGGCUAAACCUGGCAUUUUCAGUCUAUAAUAUUCAACAAUAAGUUAACGACAAUACGAUUCCGUAAUAACAUAUUAAAAUAAGUCUGUGCGGGUAUUUGUAUUUUAAAAUAAAAACAUUUGAAUAUAAAAUAAGUUAUGAAAAUAUACCUUUUGUAUUAAGUUAUGAAUAUACCUUUUGUAUUAAGUUAUGAAAAUAAAUUUUUCUGCACGUGAUAGUUAUGGUCCUUAAAGAAUAUUCUUCCUCCCCAAAAUUUUAAUGAAAAGGUAUUUUUCAUAACAUAUUUUCAGUUGUUAGAAUAUUGGAUGAUACCAAAAUACUAGUGGAUGAUAAAUACUCUCUCCGUUCCUAAAAAAUGUAUGUUCUGGAAAAAAAAUUUGUUUUAAAAAGAUACAUUUUUUACUUUUUCAAUGUAUGAUUUUAUGAAAAAUUGUAAGUUUCAAAAAAAUUAAUGGUGUUUAUUGAAUUUCUAUUGGCUUAAAGUUAUGGAAAAUUGUUAUUCACAAAAAACAAUGCAUAUUUAAUGAGUUUUCUUAAUAUAUGUGAAAAAUCUAGAAUAUGCAUCUUUUAAAAACAGAGGGAGUACAUAAUAUCAAGGAAUGUUUGAAAUUUAAACAGAUCUCGUAAUUGUUAUGAUAUAUGCAAUGUAAACGGCGCCAAUUUCCGAUAGUGACAAAAAAAAAUACAAUGUACUGUUAUACAUGCGAUUAAUAGGAUUUCCAUUGUUAAAACGAAAAAUCCACAUUAAAAAUAUAUAAAAGAUUCGAGUAAUAUAAAAGGAAAAUGGGCUAUAUAUCCAUUCACCCCAAUAAUCUGGUCCAAAAAAUGGCUAGUUGAUGGCUCGUAAAAAGUUUAGUCCCGUGAAGAUUUCUAAAAAAAUAAAUUAUUGAUUCGAAGGAAAUAUGAUAUAUUCUGCAAAAUUAAAAGUUAUAUGUAUCAUGAUCUUAAAGAAUAACCUAUAUUAAAAAUAUGUAAGGAAUUUAAGUAAUAUAAAAAAAAAGAUUUGAGCUACUCCAUUUAGUCUCUGAAUGGUAACAUCCAUCCCGCAUCGCACCGCAGUUAACAGUAACAAAAAUCUUUACAUAUACUAUAUAUUUAUACGUUUUUAUAACUGUCAGAAGCGCACCGCAGUCAAACCGCUUGUUCCGCACCGCUCAAUCCGCUGUUACCAUUCGUAGCCUUAGUUUUAAGUUGUUAUUGUUAACCAUUUAACCAUGCAAAUCAAUGUUUUAAGAACACUGCUGAAAAUAGAAGGCAUUCUAUAUACAAAGAAAAUAUAAAUUCACUGACUAACUAAAUUUUUCCUUUUCUCUUAUUUUUCCUUCAUUUUUCUCUCUAUUCUCUCUCUCAUAAUCUAAUUUUCUAUUUGUGGUUAUUUGGCAAAUAAAUCCAAAAUAGAACACUUGGGUCAAAGUGACAUAUCCACGUUAGUCCAAAAAAAAAGUAACAUAUUUACGUCGUAUAUAUGAAACCUAAUUGUUUUUAAUAGUACUUUUAAAUUUUAAAGUUUCCUGGUUAAUGAUAAAUUUUGUGUAGGCAAACAAGACGUGUAUCAAAACGGUACUAUCUAUUGCCAGAUGAACGAUUUAUUCAGGAUUUCUAGUUUGAAGAAGUUUUUAUUAAAAAGGGGAUGUAAACAAACAAGACGUGUAUUAAGUUGUUGUUCAAAAAGAAAAAAAAUAGACGUGUAUUAAGUCAAUUUAUGUUUUUCGACCAGUGUUAUUUUUGUUUUAUAAAAGUGUUUCUUACGCCAAAAGGGUUUAUUUUUAGCUAAUAAAGUAAAAAGACGAAAGAUAAUUUUUUUACUAUCAGCUGAAAACAAAAACAAAAUAUAUUAGAAAAAAAAAGAACUACCUAAUAGUUUUCUUUUUCAACCAAAGUAUGCUGAAUUGUUCUGUUUUAAACACACACCCCCUGCUGAAUUGUUCUGUUUUAAAUUUCCCCCUGUUUUUGACAAACCAGUGAGACUUUGUCAAAAAAGACUGCCCCCUAAUGUGAAAAGGCUAUAAACAUUUGAUGUUAUUUUAUGGAUUGUUUCUAUUAAUUUUAGAAUAAUCUAACAACAAUUAAACUAUAUUUGAUGUGUGUCUUAAUAAAUGAAUUAACAAACAGAUAUAUUAUUGGCAUACUAGUGUGGUAACAACGUUAUAAAAUGUUCAAUAGGACCGUAUAAACUUCUUUAUGCUAAGUUACGUUCAAUUACAGCUCACAAUAUUCCUGAAUUAAUGUAUGAAAUAACUAACCAAAGUCAUAUUUUGUUAAAUGGUUAUAUGAAACAAAUAUCCUCUAAAAUGGAUAAAGAAAUUAAGGAGGUACUUUGAUGUAUGAAAAAUAUGAAUUACUUCAACUAUAGAAAUAUACAUAUGCGUUGUCAUAUAACUAUGGACGUGUAGUUAACCUAUAGUAUAUAAUACAUAAAAGUACUUUGGUAUGUUAGAAGAAUGCGGAUAUGGGUUAUAUCAUGCUUGUAUAUAUAUAUGCACAAAUGUAUACAUAAAUGAACAAAAAAUAAGUUGGCUUGGAAUAUGAUAAACGGUGGGGUUUCUAAACUCGAUGAAACUAUUACAAAAUGCAAAUCUUGCAAAAGGUAAAACGAGAAAAAGGUAAGAAACUUUUCUCUCUUGUAUGAUUGUAUUUUUUAUGAAUUUAAUCUAUCUCCCAUUAUUAGGUGCAUUUUUAGACGAGAAAAGGUCAAAUAGGAGCCUAAUUCAUCAAAUCAUAAUCAUGACAUCCUCACAUAGCAUACAGAGGAAUAUAUGCACCUAAGAUUUUUCAUCAUUGCUCCUCCUAAUCAAUAUAUUCCUUUUUGUAUUCCCAAAACAAUACAAUCGUAUAAAUAUUUGGGUAGUACAUCAUUUUGCAAGAAAUAUGAAAUCUUAGCUAUAAGAAAGUGAUAGAUGUGUGUAUUCCCAUCACAUCUCCAACCAUUUUUUCCAUGGAAAAUGAUUUCAGAAUUUAAAUAUAUAUAUAUUUAUACGUGAAAAGAAAAUCUUGUAGAAAACGCCAAUUCUAGAGAUUUGGAUUUGUUUUUGGGAAACAAUGAUUACAGAAUGGUGCAAUUGUUCCUCUAUAUUCUUUCAAACUCUUCAAAUAUCACAUAUAAGGAUUUUUUUUGUCAAAAAGGUAAAAGUGCUCGACAUGUAAUCUUCAGUUCAUAGAUUUCAAAACAUGUCUUUUGUCCAACAGAUUGUAGUGCCUUUGUAUAAGUAAAAUAACUAGAAUUUGGAUUUCAUUAAUUAGUAUUUUGUAAACCGUAACAUAGUUUUUUUAUCUACGUAAGCAACACACCAUAUGAACGCCGUUUCAGGGACGUAGCUGGACGCCGUUACAGAAGCUGGCUGCCGCUUAAGCGACACGACGUUAACUCGCACUAUCUCUCUUCAUCUUUCUCUCGAGUGCCCUGACGCGUUUUCUCCUUUCUCUUCUUAUUUCAUUUUUCUUUUUCGUAUCACAUCAACAAAAUAUUCCAUUUUCCUUUCUAAACGACAUUAGUUCAAAAUAAUGCAUCUAAGCAUCUCCAAUCUUUCUCUAUUUUUUUACUAUAAAAUAGAAUUUAGAAUAAAGAUGUUUCAUUGGUAUUUUAUUUUUCACUUUAUAAUAGAGUGAAAAAUAGGUUUACUCCAAAUAUAGAAUAACUUAUUUUUUUUUUUAUUCAUCACUUUAUUUUUUACUCUAAAAUAAAAUACCAUUGAAAUAAACUCGAACUUUAUUAUUGAGUUACUCUAUUUUAAAGUAAAAAAUAUAGUAAAUUAUUGGAGAGAGUCUAAAAGUUGAAGUAACGCAUAUUUAUCUCAUGCAAUUCGUAACAACUCUCGUAAGUUGGCAACUAAAAACACUUAUAUCUAAAUUAACUUUUACCCUUUAUUUUUAGACAAAAUUUAAACUGAAAUCAGCUGUUUCUGUAUUGUAAAAAGGUUAAGUAUAUAUUGCUACAGAAUAAUCAGUGUUUUACACACACACACAAAAUUGAUCUUAAGAGCGCAAAAUCAGAUUAAUCUUUGUUUGGAAAAGCUAAGUGGACGACACUGGUUCUACCUAUGUAGUUUUUUCACCAGAACAAAUGAAUCUCUUUUCUUUUUUUGAACUUCAGAACAAAUGAAUAUUGUUAUAUCGAAGUGAAAGUUGCAAGGCCAUUGAACCAACAGUUUUUAAAAAUAUUAAGAGAGUAAAUUGAUAUUUUUAGUCAUGCAGUACGUGUGAAUUAGUUAGUAAAAUCUUGUAACAUCAACGGCCUAAAACUUUUACGUAAUACCGUCAUACCAAAAGGACACUAUAUACAAAUUUAUAGUAAUUUUUUGGUUGCUCUGAUAUCGCAACAGAUAAUAGUCCCAUAGAUAAGGCAUCGUAAACACACAAAAAUAUAGAGUUUACUAUAUGGAUAAUCCAAAUCAGUGUUAAAACUUUUAAUUACAAAUAAUGGGAAUUAAAAGAUGUAAAUGUUAAACAAAGCCAAAUCAAUUGGACCCACCUGCAACUUUCUUUUUCCAACAUUUAUAUAUUUAUCGAAACACACACAUGGAUGGAUUGGCUUGUCACAACCCAAAAUCGAACCAAAUAUCCACCAAACCAAAAAAAAUCCCUCUCCUCUCUCUUACACACAAUCUCAUCUCCUUCAAACUUUUGCGUCUCCUUCAAGCUUUUGCGUGAAAGAAAGAGAGAGAUGGGUACGAUAAACCAAGGAGUAAGCUUGUUCGAUGAGCCACAAAACAUCAUAAACACUAAUAAUACUAACACUCUAGGUUUCUUUUUCUCUUCCCCUAAUCACACAUUAUCUUCGUCAUCUUCUCCUUCUUCUCUUGUGUCUCCGUUUCUAGGUCAUCACUCCUUCAACUCAUUCAUUCACAAUAACUCCCCUUCCUUUGUAACUCAUCCUCGAGAUCCCAUCAAUCCCAUGGCGAAUCUCCCAGAAACCCUAAUCUCGGUCUCCUCUUUAGCCUCAUCAAAACAAAGGCAUGAUCAUGAUGGUAUUGUUAACCUUGAUCAGCAUCGUCUUACCGGUGAAAUAUCAACCCAAAGACCGUCUUUAAAUCCAUGGUAAGCUUACUUUCGAAAAUAAUAAAGUAAUUUAAGUCUCUAUGGAUUUAUUGAUCUAAUUAUAUAAAACAAAUAAAAAUAUAGGGGCCAGUCUAUAGGUUGUCUAUAGCUACCGCUUUUUUUUUUUUUCCGUCAAUUUAAAUUAACAUUCAACAGGCCGAGGCCCAAUAUUUUCACCAAAUACACAGCUUAAAGCCCACAGAAAAAGCAAAAAAUAAAACAAAAGGCCUAGGGCCCAAACAGCUAGAACCUAACCGCCUGCUUGCGACCCAAAACCGAAAGGGGUCGGACACGUGUUCGCAUCAACGCGAUCUCACCCUGUCCACCGCAACUUGAUCGACGCCGCUUCGAAAACGGCGACACUGUAACCGACGAUUCACCGGAGCUCGUAAUACCGCCGAGCCUCCAUAGAAACCAACUCAACGAACUCGUACCGAGUCCCCAGGCACCCUCCCCAAAAGAGCGACACCGCAAAUCAUCUCACUCCAUUCACGCUUGUCUAAAGAUCGGAUAGUUCAAUCGAUUAAAUCGAGAUCUAAUCCAGAAAAGUGAAGCCGCGAACCACAGGAGCCAAGAACCAGGAACACAAACCAAACAGACCAACAAACGGGAACAAACCCUACCUUACGACAAGAAACCUAAAGCCGGCGGCGCAAGACUAUGGAAGCCUUCACCCCCCGGAAACAGAGCCGGCGAUGGCUGAGCUGCGGAAGCCCCUACCUCCCGGAGACUAGGACCGGCGGCGACGGAUCUGAAUAAGCAUCCAUCUCCCGGAUUGAAACUAAAGACUGACAUGCCGACUUCACCAUGCCGUGACCCUCCACACGCCCGCGUCGUUACUCCAGCCGGUUAUCCACCGUCGCUAUCGGAACUUCACGAGAUGAUAACGACGAUUGGGGACUAAGCCAGAGCUCGAACAAGGCGGUCGGGGAAGGCAGACCAGUAGAAGCGGAGGAGGAACAUCUUGGCGAAGGACAGAGGGCUCCGGCGACGGCACGCUCGCUCACGCGCCGGCCGUCCGCCGGACCCAGGUUAGAUCUACUUUCUCUCUCUUUUCUCUCUCUCUGUUGAACUUGAUAGUUUUUCCUAAUGACUAUGGACACAACCUGUCUAUAGCUACCGCUUUAUAUCUGAAGGAUCUCAUAAGAUAAAGAUAUUGAUUCCCCUUUACCAUGGAUUUAUCACAUAAUAAAUUAUCGACUAUAAUAGCUAGGGGGAAUUAGCUACAAGUUAUCAAGAGCUUACAAUUCGAAGUGUUUUUAGUGCCUUCUCUAAAGAUUCAUAGCAUAGCUCAUAUAUAUAUAUAUAUAUAUGCACACGCCUACUAUACAUUCCGUCAUUUAAAGUGUACACACUUUUGUAUUCGAAGAAAGCAAAUUUAAAUUAUAAAUUUCAGAAAACAUUUUAAAUCCUAUAUAUAGCAGAAUUUUUAAUUGGUCUGAGUUGCCAUGCACACAUUACACACUAGCUUAUGUCAAAUGCGUUUUGUUAAUGUAAUUUAGGGCAUGGAGUAGUCAAGCAGGAUACGAAUACAACAAGAAAAAUAACCAUACAAGUGAGAUUGAUGUUGAUCAUAAUAUUGAUGAUGAUGGUUGUGAUGGUGAUGACGGUAAUGAUGAUGAUGAUCAUCAACAUCAUGAGACUCGUCGCCACAAAAUUAACACGUCACCAUUGGGAAUAAUGUCUACUCUGAAGAUGAAGAAGCCUAAGACAAGAAAAAAAGUGAGGGAGCCUCGGUUUUGCUUCAAGACACUAAGCGAUGUUGAUGUCUUAGAUGAUGGAUAUAGAUGGAGAAAAUACGGCCAGAAAGUUGUCAAGAACACUCAACAUCCCAGGUUUUUGUUUCUCUUAUAUGAAGUUAAUUACAUAGCUAGUCUUUUUAUAAUGAUUCGAAACUGGUUUCCAAGUUUUUAAUCUAUUUCAGUCUUUGUUUAGUUAAUAUCAUUUAUACAUCCGUUAAAUAUUUUCCUUUCAUUAUUGCUUGGGGGUUAACGAUGACUUAUCAUAGAAACUUACGGGCUUGAGAGCAUCUCCAAUAUAUAUCUCUAUAUUUUCCUCUAAAAUAGAGAUCUCUAUUAUAGAGGUGGAUUUGCUCCAAUGUAUGCCUCUAUAAUAGAGUUUCUCUAUUUUAGAGAAAAAUAUAGAGGAAUCCUACUUUUAAUUCUAUAUUUACAGAUGAAUAUAGCAAAUCUCUAUAUUUUCCCAUAUAAAUAGAGGAACUCUAUUAUAGAGGCAUACAUUGGAGCAAAUUCACUUUUAUAAUAGAGUUUCUCUAUUUUAGAGGAAAAUAUAAAGAUAAAAAUAGAGGUGGGUUGGAAAUGGUCUAAAUCAGUAGAUUUUUCAAGUUUCAACUUUUAAUGUUAACUAAUAUGAUGAGAAUAUGAAUAGUCUCUUAAGAGUUUGAUUAUGAGCCAUGUAAAUACUGAAAGUUGCUUCAGGAUUUUGCUUAUGAAUUGAUUUUUUUAGCAGAAUCUUGUUGGUGCUUCUCUGUAUUAAUUAUCGGAUAUGUUAUAAGAAGAUUAUUGGCUCUGUGGGAUUAAUAGGUAAAAGUAAGAAAAGAAGAUAACCGUUUACCAAACAAAAAGAAAAGUAAAAUGAUUUCAUGUGGAAGCAUUUGAGUAUUAUGUGAGACAUAUGGGGUUUCCGUAAGAUUCCUCUCUCUCAAGUUGAUAUUUGACAUUUACCAACAAUGAUUUGUUUGGGUAAAGUUCCAUUUGUCAUCAGUUUAAUUGGUAUAUAAAUGGUAUAGUUCUUGAAAAUUAUGUUUUCGCUGUUUUGUAAAGUUCCAUUUCUCAUCAGUUUCAUAUAGCACUAGAUAUUCGGUUUUCCAUACGUAAUCAUAUUUUCCCCAUUAAAUAAAUUCAUUUUCCCAUAUAGCAUGAUUAUAUAUGUAUAAGGUUGAUACAUAAAUCUUGAUUCAUUUCAUAACAUGAAAUUGUUUUCUUUGGAAAUAGAAAGAAAACUAUCUUCUGUUUGGAGGAUUAAUAGAUAUUAAUCAAAUUUAUAAUGUAUUAAUGCACUUUUCAGUAAGUUUUGAUUAAAUUAGGCUAACUAAGUAACUAAUAUUUUAAUUUUAAAACGUCAGGAGCUAUUACAGAUGCACACAAGAGAAGUGUAGAGUGAAGAAGAGGGUGGAGAGAUUAGCAGAUGAUCCAAGAAUGGUAAUCACUACUUACGAAGGACGACAUCUUCACUCUCCUUCUAAUCAUCUCGACGACGAUCCUCUCUCCUCGUCUCACCAUUCUCCUCUCUCCAACUUUUUCUGGUGAUGUUGUAUUUUUUUGAAUCAAAAACUAUUCAUUAUAAAUUUCAGAAAACAUUUUAAAUCCUAUAUAUAGCAGAAUUUUUAAUUGGUCUGAGUUGCCAUGCACACAUUACACACUAGCUUAUGUCAAAUGCGUUUUGUUAAUGUAAUUUAGGGCAUGGAGUAGUCAAGCAGGAUACGAAUACAACAAGAAAAAUAACCAUACAAGUGAGAUUGAUGUUGAUCAUAAUAUUGAUGUUGAUCAUAAUAUUGAUGAUGAUGGUUGUGAUGGUGAUGGCGAUAAUGAUGAUGAUGUUCAUCAACAUCACGAGACUCGUCGCCACAAAAUUAACACGUCACCAUUGGGAAUAAUGUCUACUCUGAAGAUGAAGAAGCCUAAGACAAGAAAAAAAGUGAGGGAGCCUCGGUUUUGCUUCAAGACACUAAGCGAUGUUGAUGUCUUAGAUGAUGGAUAUAGAUGGAGAAAAUAUGGCCAGAAAGUUGUCAAGAACACUCAACAUCCCAGGUUUUUGUUUCUCUUAUAUGAAGUUAAUUACAUAGCUAGUCUUUUUAUAAUGAUUCGAAACUGGUUUCCAAGUUUUUAAUCUAUUUCAGUCUUUGUUUAGUUAAUAUCAUUUAUACAUCCGUUAAAUAUUUUCCUUUCAUUAUUGCUUGGGGGUUAACGAUGACUUAUCAUAGAAACUUACGGGCUUGAGAGCAUCUCCAAUAUAUAUCUCUAUAUUUUCCUCUAAAAUAGAGAUCUCUAUUAUAGAGGUGGAUUUGCUCCAAUGUAUGCCUCUAUAAUAGAGUUUCUCUAUUUUAGAGAAAAAUAUAGAGGAAUCCUACUUUUAAUUCUAUAUUUACAGAUGAAUAUAGCAAAUCUCUAUAUUUUCCCAUAUAAAUAGAGGAACUCUAUUAUAGAGGCAUACAUUGGAGCAAAUUCACUUUUAUAAUAGAGUUUCUCUAUUUUAGAGGAAAAUAUAAAGAUAAAAAUAGAGGUGGGUUGGAAAUGGUCUAAAUCAGUAGAUUUUUCAAGUUUCAACUUUUAAUGUUAACUAAUAUGAUGAGAAUAUGAAUAGUCUCUUAAGAGUUUGAUUAUGAGCCAUGUAAAUACUGAAAGUUGCUUCAGGAUUUUGCUUAUGAAUUGAUUUUUUUAGCAGAAUCUUGUUGGUGCUUCUCUGUAUUAAUUAUCGGAUAUGUUAUAAGAAGAUUAUUGGCUCUGUGGGAUUAAUAGGUAAAAGUAAGAAAAGAAGAUAACCGUUUACCAAACAAAAAGAAAAGUAAAAUGAUUUCAUGUGGAAGCAUUUGAGUAUUAUGUGAGACAUAUGGGGUUUCCGUAAGAUUCCUCUCUCUCAAGUUGAUAUUUGACAUUUACCAACAAUGAUUUGUUUGGGUAAAGUUCCAUUUGUCAUCAGUUUAAUUGGUAUAUAAAUGGUAUAGUUCUUGAAAAUUAUGUUUUCGCUGUUUUGUAAAGUUCCAUUUCUCAUCAGUUUCAUAUAGCACUAGAUAUUCGGUUUUCCAUACGUAAUCAUAUUUUCCCCAUUAAAUAAAUUCAUUUUCCCAUAUAGCAUGAUUAUAUAUGUAUAAGGUUGAUACAUAAAUCUUGAUUCAUUUCAUAACAUGAAAUUGUUUUCUUUGGAAAUAGAAAGAAAACUAUCUUCUGUUUGGAGGAUUAAUAGAUAUUAAUCAAAUUUAUAAUGUAUUAAUGCACUUUUCAGUAAGUUUUGAUUAAAUUAGGCUAACUAAGUAACUAAUAUUUUAAUUUUAAAACGUCAGGAGCUAUUACAGAUGCACACAAGAGAAGUGUAGAGUGAAGAAGAGGGUGGAGAGAUUAGCAGAUGAUCCAAGAAUGGUAAUCACUACUUACGAAGGACGACAUCUUCACUCUCCUUCUAAUCAUCUCGACGACGAUCCUCUCUCCUCGUCUCACCAUUCUCCUCUCUCCAACUUUUUCUGGUGAUGUUGUAUUUUUUUGAAUCAAAAACUAUUUCAUCGUGCCUCGAAUUAACCAUCGCUAUAGUAAUCAAUGCCUUCAUAAAAGAAAGGAAAUAGUAACUACAUAUACGUUCUCGUUAAGAAAAGGUACGAUGAUGUUUUUAUAUGUAAUGUGUUCGUGUGGUUGUUUAGGUUUGUCUCUUGUAAGAUGAUUAAUGUACCUUUUUCAAUCUGAGGAUUAUAUAUGUGAAUGUGUCCGGAGGGUGGAGACGACUUGUUAUUUGUUUCUGAUAUGAUUGGAAGUUUAGAGCUUGUAUACUUGACAAAAUUAAAAUUUUAUUUAUUUUAAAUUACAGUUAUAAUAUGAUGUUUGAAUUAAUAAAAUGAUUACAUAGUUGAUAAAUAUAAUUUUUGAAAAUAAGUUAUUGCAUAACAAAUACAUAACUAUAUGUUAAGAAUGAUAUAUAUAUAUAUAUAUAUAUAAUGCUUUUCAAAUUUUUAUGUUUCACUCGCUAACAAAAAUUUGAUUUUGUCUAGUGUUCUAUAAACGCCGUGCAGGAGAGUGUCUAAAACCAAAAUUGACCAUUCGAGUGAUUUAUGCAGAAUUUAAAUAAUUUAAACACAUAAUAACUUUUAUCAAACAUUAUAUGUCUACAAAGAAUUAAGUGGAUUUGAAGCAUUAUAAAUUUAAACAUAUAUUUAAAUUUAUAAUUUGAAACCAUUUAUAUACCUAAACUAAACUAUAUUUUUUAUUCAUAAAUUUUACAUUUAAAUUAUAUUUUAAUUUCAAUUUUCUUAAGCUAAAAAUAUGCUAAUUUAUAUACAUAAGAUAUAUUGUUUAUGUAAAAUAUUUUUUCGUAGUUAACAAAAAUAAAUAGUUAUUCGUCUAGGCUCUGUUAGGUAUUCACGUAUAGGCUAUAGACGUACGGUGCUAAUGAUUCGUUUAACAUCUAACAAAUGCAUGACGAUUUAGAACAUGGUUUUGACUUUUUUUUUUUUUUUUGUUGUUACAUGGCUUUCUUAUAUAAAUGCAAAAAGGAAAUGAAAUGUUUUACAAGCUAAAGCUUUAGUUAACCGGGCCUAGCCCAUUACAUAUGACACAAUAAUGUAUCUUUACUGGGCCUUAGUUAGUCAUUGUUGGGCAUAUAAAUAUACUAUCUAAAUUAUAAACUGAGUGCUGAGCCUACGUUUGACAUUAAUGGGUUUCUUAUGUCUCUUAAUUCAUAUGUAUUCAUUAUAAAAAAAAAAGUUUUAUCUUAGUAGGCCAGAAGUGAUUAUUUAAAUGGUCUUAGAGUAAGUCAUGGCCUUCUUAAAGAGCUUACACUUGCGCAUCAAAGACAUUUUUUUCGAUGGCCCGGUAGACAUUUCUAAGUCCACGAGCAUAUGACCACGUGGCAAACCGAGAAAGUUGGCAAAUGGAAAAGCGUCAAACCACGUGAGCGUUAUGAUUCCCAAAGUUUAAAUAAUUUUUAAAAGUAGUAACACGUUGAUCAACUUAUACUUACGGAACCUAUAUACUCAAAAAGAAAAGGAACAAUAAAAUAAUUAGUUACGAGGACAUGAAAAGAUGUGACCCGUUUGCUCCGCCGAUUUCGAGGGAGACUCCCACGUGAUUCCCUCGUGGACCGCACGUCUCCCUUAUUCGAGCAAGGUCCUAUAGUUUUUAUACUAAUUACUAUAUUUAACAAAAUUAAUUGUGACACGUUGAUCAGCUUAUUUAUUGUGUUACAUCAUCUCAAGUUUUCGAUAAAUUAUUUCUCGUAAUUUAUUUAUUACUACUAACUUAACGACACUCUUCGAGCAAUUCUAACAGUUGGAAGCAAACGUAAACGUGAUACUGACUCUCUUUUUUUUUUUACUACGAUACUGACCAGUGGCGGAGUCAGAAACUUUUUGUACCGGGGUCGGAAAAAAAAAUCAAAACAUAAUGUUUAAAUGACCAAAAAACUACAAAUGUAUUAUACCAAAAAAAAACUACAAAUAUACUCUACGCUCACUCAUAGCUUGAAACCUUUUUAUAACAGUUUCAUUGGCUACAUCUUCAAAUAUAUUUUUUUCAAUAAAACAAAUAAGACAAUCACUUAGAAACUGAUCACCGAUGCGAUUUCGUAAUACUGUCUUGACGAUCUUCAUUCCUGAAAAACAUCUCUCAACAGUUGCAGUUGCAACGGGCAAAGUCAAAGAUAACUUCAAGAGCCUAUACACCAAAGGUUGAGAAAGAUGUUUCUUGGUUUCUACCAUUAACCGCGAUAGAUCUCCAAGAUGUUUCAAAUCAGCAAACCUUUCAUCUCCUCGUACAUUAUCAAUAUAAAUGUCAAGUUGCUGCUUAAGUGAUAUGCACUCCAUAACACUAAAAUCCUCAGGAUAGAAUUUAGCCAGUCUCAAUAACUUUUCUUUAUCAAACUCACGGAAUGAACCAGUAGGACUUAAAGCUGAUGUGCAAACGAGUAACUCAGAGUUUACCUCGUUAAAGCGACCAUUAAACUCUUGAAGCUCCAUAUCCAAUACUGUAUAAAAACAGUUGACUUGAUAAUGAUGCAAGUUGGUAAUGUUGGUCUUUUUGCGUGGCUUCCUUGGAUCGAUGAAAUCGUCCUCCAUGUUGAGAAUACCAGUGUCAUGUUUGUUACAAAAAGCUCAAACAUCAUUCACAAAAGAAUUCCAGCCAUCAUCUCUGAACUUCUGUAGUUGCCGCUUAGUGGAUUCUACUAAUGAGACAGCAUUUAGGAUGUCUUGAUCUUUUAGUUGCAAGGCCAGUGACAAGUUCUCUGUGAGCCCCAAAAUGUGCAACAUCAAAUGUAGGGUAGAACACACAAUCAAAAGUAUGGAUAUAUUUGAGAAGACCAUUUGCUUGACUUCGCUGGGUAAUAUCAGCACCUUCAUCCUCGACGUACAUAAGCAUCUCAUCCACAGAAGAAAACAUCUCAACUAACCGCAGCAACAUUUCAUAAUGAGAACCCCAACGUGUACUCCCUGGUCUUGGAAGAGAAGACUCUUGAUUCAGUCCUUUUCCAUUCUUGAUUUCACCACUGCUUAUUCCCUUUUCAAUUAUAUCCCGCUGAAUUUCUCGCAUCUUAUCUUUCCUUUUACAAGAAGCUGCAACCACAUUCACUAACAAAGAAAUCUUAUCAAAGAAAUCUCUAACUUCAAAAUGUUUCUUCGCGACAGCAACAACUACCAAUUGUAGUUGGUGAGCAAAACAGUGUACAUAGUAUGCCGAACUGUUUUCUUUUGAAAUCAAUGCUCUCAGACCAUUAAAUUCACCUCUCAUAUUUUCUGCUCCAUCAUAGCCUUGUCCUCUCACCUUUUUCAGACUCAGACUAUAUUUAGCAAGCAAUGAAUCAAUUCCAGAUUUCAAAGAUAAAGAACAUGUAUCCUUCACAUGGAUAAGACCAACAAAUCUCUCUUUGACCAUACCGUGUUUAUCGACAAAGCGAAAAACUAUAGCCAUUUGCUCUUUCAUAGAACAAUCAGCUGAUUCAUCCACCAAUAAAGCAAACACAUCAUUGUCCAUCUCUUGAACUAUGGAAUUAAUUACUUCUUCCGAAAAGCAAUUAACAAUGUCUUUUUGAAUAGGAUGAGACACCAUUUGAUUAUUUCCAGGAGCAUUCUUCAGCACAACCUUGCUCACAUCUUCAUUCUGUGCAGCAGUAUAUUUCACUAACUCCAAAAAAUUUCCCUUGCUGCUAGAAUCGACUGUCUCAUCAUGAGCACGAAACGGUAAUCCUUGUUUCAGUAAGUAUCUAGCAGCAUCGACUGAAGCAUUUAGUCGGAUACGAUACUCUUUUUUUACAACAUCGGUUUGCUUUUGAAAAGCAUGUUUGAUUGACUGACCUUGUCUCAUCAAAUCUUCACACUUCUUUUUGGCUAUGUUGUGAAAGCUAUUUACCGCACCUACAUGGCCAGCCAAUCUGUCAGACUUAUUCCAACUAUCAAAUCCCUCUGUGACAAAUCCAACACUUCCACUUUUCUUCUCGUUGCUGAAUAAAUAACAAAAGAAACAAUAUGCCUUCUCUUUCUUGACACUGUAUUCCAACCAAUCACCAUACUGAUCAAACCAAGAAGGAUUAAACCGCCUUAAUGCACCUGAGAUAACUCUUUGCUUAAAACUAUGCCCACGAGGUUGACAAGGUCCUCUAGUCAAGUACUUGCGUCUCACCUCGUCUAUUUGAUUAUGAUCAUAUUCAUGAAUCCCUUUUCUUUCUCCGGGAUCAUGCGGCAUGUCGUCUAGAUGAAUAUCAUCGGUUGAUGGAGAUUUUCUUUUCAGAUUUAGAAAUUUAUCCAUUAGCUUUCUGUUAAAUAAGAUAGAUUAGUCUUUUUGAGAUAUAAAACUAAUCAUUAAAAAUAUUCAGAUCAUGACAUAAAGUAACAAAAUAAACAAAAGAGUAGAAUAUAACAAAAAAAAGUAUAUAAAAAACGAACCUGAAUGUGGAGAGCUACUGACUCUCUAACAUUAAAAUACUGAAUUAAGUAACUAUUUGUGUGAAACAAAAUAAAUUGUUCAAAGGAGAUUGGGAAUCAAAAGCGAGAAAGCUGGGACUGCGAGGAGAUGAAUAUAAUAUUUGAAGAAUCACUAAACGAUAUCGGCGAAAUCUGAGCGGUCACUUUUUGUUUCUUUGUCUCUUCUUCGUGAAAAGAAGGAAGAUUCCAAGGGAGAUGAAUCCACCGAUUAAUUUGAGUAAACUAUCUUUACCAUAUGAAAAGUACAAUUAAUUAUCUCUUUAUUAAGCUGUAAUAGUUGUUUUCAGAAGUCUUAGCAAAAUAUAUAUAUGGCAGAGAGCUCACACUCGUGGGAAUGGGUUUGCAAACAUUUUUCUUAAUUAUUGUCUUUUUGUAGCUUUGUGUGGUUCGUACACCGUCGAAACCUCAGAAUUUGUAAAGUAGUUAUUUAAGAACGAGCAUUCGCACGUGAGGGAGAUUUGUACGUGAGAUAGAAGCCUCGAGUAUGAACAGAAGUACGAUUAAAUUAAUUCAACUUCAGAUUUCUCAGUCCCAUAUGCAGCUGUAUGUAUAUAUACCGUUUUGUGUAGUACGUACACAGUACACAUCGCAAUCCUCCACUAAUAUCGAUACAGAAAAAUUUAAAUGCAUAUCUAGAGGAUGUGAAUGUACUUGUAGUUAACAUGCAGAUACAUGAAUUUCAACGUCAAUAUUUGAUUUAGACAAUAUAAAAUUUACGAUUGUAAAAUGAUAGACGGUUUGUAUUAUGUCAAUUGCCUUAUUAUAUGGAAUCGUGAAUUAUGUUCAGGUAUUCUGUAAUUUACCAACUUUAUGAUAUACAAGAAACAUCAUUCUUCCACGAGUUUGCAAACUAAUUAUGUUUCCUAACAAGGUAACAUACAUUUUUAAUAUUUCCUAUUUAUCAAGGUUUUGUUUAAAGGCUUUUUAUUUUCCUAAGGCUUACCUUCAAAUUCUCAAUUUUCUAUAAAUUUUAUCACUUAGAAGUUUUUUUUGUGUGGAUGACUUAGGGUGUUUAGGCCGAAGCUUAGACUAAUUCUCAGAGAUCGGUUCUCCGAUAACAUGUAAACCCGAUUAUUCUACGUGGGAUUCAGAUAUACAUGUUUUUGAAACUAUGACACUUAACACAUUUUUGAGUUCGCCGUACCAUCCGACUACAUUCGCAUGUUUAUUUGCAAGGUUAACAACCUGCUAUUAGUAUAAGACAUAAUUUUGUUGGUUAGUGGAUGUCCGCAUUGUGCUUAUUCAUGAAAUUAAUUAUAUGACUAUUUCUUGAUAUCAAACAAAGAACAAUGAAACUCACGUACGUGGCCCCAAUUAUUCCGCGUUAGUAACAGUAUUAUUGACAGUUGACACGUUGUCAACAUAAUACAGAAAUCUUAGGCACAUGAAAAAAUGUAUCAAGAAUAUCUAUUAGGAUUUAGGAAGAUAAUAAGUUAGUUAAGAAAAUUGUAUGGAUGAGAAAGAAACAUACGUGGGAGAGAGAGAAAGAGGUCCAUUCGGUGGAGACAGGAAAGGGACGGCAGUCCACGGCGGAGGGAGACGUUGUUAUGGGAAGUUACCGACAAGAACAGCUUGCAUGCAUGGUGGUCCACGUGCUUCGUACCCACCACCGUCGCGCGUGUUUAAGCUUGAUAGCUACUCAUCUGAGUACCUCUCUCCCUCUCCACAAUUUCACUAGUUAAAAGCGAGUGCGUUUAAACAAUAUCUACACGCGCGUACGUCAGAGUGUCGUCUAUACACAAUUACACAUGAAGCCUGUAGGUUGGUAUGUAAUGUAUGAUACAUAUAUGUAAUUAUCCGUCAUUUUCCAAAUAUUAUGUUCUUGGAAUAUACUAUGGGUUAACUCAUAUUCAUAGAGGCAUGAAUAAUUUAUUCGUAGGUUAUAUUAAUUUUAAUACGGCUAUAUUAAUUUUAAUACGGCUUGCAGUGAUUGAUACAGUUGUCUAGACUCUAGACUAGUCUAGCUUCCGAGAAAGACACAAAUUAUUAAAUAUAUAGGUUUAGAUCUGUAUGAUGAUUGGAGGAUUCUGCAUUUACCUAAUUUUUUUAUAUAUAACUUAGCACAGCAGAAAGUCUGAUUCAAUUCAGUUACAAAAAAAAGGUCUGAUUCAAUAAAACCAAAAAAGACAUCACGACACGAAAACAUCUAAAAUGAAAUCGUACAGACUUGUAAGAAAGACGGCACCCUAACACAAUGGUAUUGAGUUUGUUAACGAAGAGGUAUUUAUAUAAGAAGAGAGGAAGCGUCCGAUUAUUAGGGUUUUCUUCUUUCUCACAUGAUCAACGGACCAGAUCGACCCGGAAGACAAUCGAGAUGCAUAUAGUAGUAAUGGGCUCUAUUGAUUUUGUAAGGCCCAUUUUAUUUGGGCUGAAACACAGUCACUUGUAUCUUUAUAUGCCCAUAACUAAAUAUCUUUGCAAUUGUCAUGUGUGUUAAUAAGAAAAGACUCUGCACAUAUGUAAUUUACUGAACAAAUGGUUGGAAUGUCGUCUCUGAUGAAUUAACUUUGUGAAACUGUACAGACUAUUUCGACUGGUGAAACUCUUAACAAAGGAAUUUUAUAAAAAAAACCUUGAGAGUUUAUUACUAUUACAUAGUUUUAAAAGAGACUUGUUAAACUUUCACACACGAAUAACAAGACAAUCUUAUACUCCUAGAAACUAGAUUACGUUAUAUUGUACUUAACACUGCACAAAUCAACAGACACAAAUGUAAAUGAGACGCUUUUUUGAUCGACUUUAUUGUUUCUUCUCUACUGUUAAUGUUUUAACUUCCACAAGAGAGACAGUCCUCACGGUUUGUCAAAGAGCAAACCAUCUGUGCCAUCUUCGUCUCAUUGUCUUCUUCUGUUCCUUCAUCCUCUUUGGUUACUUACAUCUGGCUUCUCCUGCAUCACACGCAAACGUCAAUUUCGCUGUCCAAGUAACAACAGAAUUAUCACAAAAGAAUUGAUGUGUCUACUGUAAACUUAAUUGCAUCUGCUGCAGCACACGAUCGCAUACAUUUAGAAAAAAUUAACAUAAUACAUACAUUUAGAAUACAGUAGAAAAAUACAAAACGUAGACCAUAGGACUGACCCUUGGAUGAUUGAUGUUCUAAAGAAUCAGCUUUGGCUGUGUCCCAACUCUCAAAACUUUCCUUCAGGAACUUCUUUAAUACUCAUAUCGACCAUCUCUAAUGAUCCAAUGGUGGACUGUGAAUCUAUCCCCAACCCCGUCUGUAUCUCCUUAAACAUUGCCAUGACAUCUAACAUGCUCGGUCUUCUCCAAGCCCUAUCAUCCAAACACGCAACCGCAAUUUUCAAGUGUUGUAAAAGUUCAAUCUCUCUCGCUGGAUCUUCCUUGAUAAGCUGAGGAUCGAACACGUCCUUAAUCUGGAGUUUAGCAUGCUGUCUCACCCAUCCAACAAGGUUAUUAUCUCCAAAAUCCGGUGAAUCGGUUGGCCGUCUACCCGUAAGCAGCUCGAGCAAGACCACACCGUAACUAUAAACGUCUCCUUUCGUUGAACACCUGAAGCUUUGGUAAUACUCAGGAGGGACAUAGCCCGGCGUACCGGCUAACGUACUGACACUCAAAUGCGUGUCCAUGGCGCUCAUCAGCCGCGCCAUGCCGAAAUCCGAAACCCUAGCUUCCAAGUUCUCGUCCAGCAACACGUUGCUCGACUUCAUGUCUCUGUGGAUGAUAUGUGGGAUGCAGUUAUGGUGAAGAAAGGCAAGCCCUCUAGCCGCUCCGAUGGCGAUCUUCUGCCGCGUGAACCAGUUCAGUUUCAGGCCAGCUUUCUUCUUGGGGUCGUGCAGUACAUCUUCUAAGCUACCGUACUUCAUGAACUCGUAGACGAGAAGCCGCUCUUCUCCGACUUUGCAGUAGCCGAGAAGCGGAACGAGGUUCCGGUGUUUGAUCUUCCCGAUCGUUUCCAUCUCCGCCAUGAACUCCCUAUCGCCUUGACCACUGAUCUGGAUCAGUUUCUUGAUAGCCACGGCGGUUCCAUCUUUCAAAACCGCUUUGUAGACAUCUCCAAACCCGCCGGAUCCAAUCAUACUGUUCUCAUGGAACCCGUUUGUAGCCUUGAGAAGAUCCGCGAACGUGAGUUUCCGCAACGGCUUCUCGAACGCUGCGAGAUUAAUACUCAACGCUUCUCUCGCACCAGUCAGCCUCCAAUCCGUGUUGUUGUUAGCUGUCAUUCCAUCACCGGGGUCCUCCAUCGCCGCCUCUCUCAUCCUCCGCCGCCUCCUCAUCUCUCUACCGAAGAGUAUCAGCCCACAUAUGCAUACAAAAGAGAACAACAAACCCAUCGCCACGCUCCCCGCAAGAGACGGCUGUUUCCUUCCGUGAGAACGGUGUGCAAUCGCGUCUGCCUUUGCAUCACCGCACCGCGGAAGCGGAUAACCGCAGAGACCAGAGUUGUUCAAGAACUUCCCGGGCGGGAAAGUCUCGAACUGCCCCAUCUCAGGAAUCGGACCGGUUAACAAAUUGUUGGACAGAUCAAUCUCCGUAAGCAUGGUAAGAGCCGACAUGGACUGAGGGAUCCUCCCGUCCAGCUUAUUACUCGAAAGAUCGAGAAUGUUCAGCCCUCUCAGAUCACCAACCUCUUCAGGGAUAGAGCCAGAGAUGAAGUUAUGACCCAAGUUGAGAAUAAACAGAUACGGCAUCGAACCGAUCUCCUUCGGUAUGUACCCAGACAACAUGUUGUAAGACAUGUCCAAGAACAUCAUCGAGCCGUUGUUAUCAAACGUCGGCUGAGUAUGACCUCCGUAAACUCUCGUGAAAUUACACGGGUUCCGGGUCGAAACCCGGUUAAGCUGCUCCGGUCUGAUUCCUUGGAACUCAAGCAAGUUACCAGCUCCGUGGCACUGUUUGUUCAUCCCGUCGUUUUUUAUGUAAACGUAUCUCUUCCCGGCGAUGAAAUUCGCAGCUAUUUUACCGGACUGUUUGAACAUCUCCGGAGGGAUCGUGCCGUUGAAAUAAUUAGUGUUGAGAUCGAGCCAGAUUAGGCUCCGGCAGUCCCCCAGCUCAGCAGGACUGUUACCGUUGAAAGAAUUGUCGCUUAGCUUGAGGAUGGCGAGAUUCUCUAACCGUCCGAUCCAUCUAGGAAUCUGACCGGUUAACCGGUUAUUGGAAAGAGAAAUCCAAUUCAGAUUGGUACAGUUGCUUAAACCGAAAGGGAUUUCUCCGGUUAAGUCGUUGAAGUCGAGGAUCAGAGUCUCCAAGGUGGUGAGAUACAUGAGCUCUUUAGGGAUCUCUCCUUGAAGCAUGUUCAUCCACAGCUUCAAAUCUCUGAGCUUCGUUAGAGAGCCGAGACUCGACGGGAUGGUCCCGGAGAGGUAGUUGAAGCUCAGGUGGAGGGAAACCAGGUCGGAGCAGUUGCUCAACGUCGGCGGAAUCUUCCCGGUGAAGGCAUUGUUCUGGAGGUAAAGCUCCUGGAGCGUGUUUUCGCCGUUACGGCAGAGACUCGGGAGAAUCUGACCGGAGAAGUUGUUGGAGCUGAGGUCCAGCGUAGUGAGUGAGAGAUUGGCCAGAGACUCAGGCAGCUCGCCGGAGAGCUUGUUGAAAGACAGGUCGAGCACCUUGAGCCCUCUCAUCUUCAGCAGAGUAUCCAUAGGCAGCUCGCCGGAGAAGUUGUUGGUGGAUAAAACGAGCGACUCGAGAAGAGAGCAGGAGGCGAAGAAAGGAGGAACCGUGCCGUGAAAGUCGUUUCGGGAGAGAUCGAGUCCGGUGAGUGUACCGCACGCGCCGGAGAGAAGCUCCGGGAUCUCGCCGGUGAAUUUGUUAUCUGUUAGAGAUAGAUACUCGAGGCUUUUGAGCGGUAGUGAGGAAGAGAUUGGUCCUGUGAAUAAGUUGCUGGAGAUGUUCAAAGACCUGAGAGAGAUUUUUUUAAAAAAAGUGUAUUUUAGUUUACAAAUAAUAAAACAUAAUUAAUUUUUUAUUUUUUGAAACGAACCUUAGGUUUGUGCAGGAGGAGAUAGCAGUGGAGAAGUCACCGGAUAGUUUGUUACCGGAGAUGUCGAGGUGUUGAAGAGCGGAGCAGUCACCUAGAUAGGGAAUCACAGUGGAGAAAUUGUUGGAGGAGAGAUCGAGAAACUCGAGAUUCACGCAAGGAGAGACAUCCGCAUCUCCACUGAUCUUGUUCCCGCUUAUAUCCAAGUGCUUGAGCUCUCCACAGCCGCCGGAGACAAUCCAACCAACGAGGUUAGCACCGGAUAGCAAGUUCUUGGAGAGAUCCAGAACUUCCAAGCUGCUGCUGCUAAGCUUCAACCCACCACCUGAGAUUUUCCCGGGAAAUUCCAGAGAGUUGGAAGACAUGUUAAGAGACUUCAGUGCGAUGCAAGAGCCGAGGCUCGACAAGGUUGACACAGGACCGGAGAUGGAGUUUCUCGACAGAUCCAAGGUCGUGAGAGAAGCAGAGCACUUGGUACCAGAGACGGAGCCGUUGAUGUUGGUGUUCGAGAGAAACAGGGACUCUAGUCCCGUGAGAGACAGUAGAGAGGAAGCCACGGCGCUGAAUCCGAGGUUGAGUGGCUUGGAACUGAGAUCAAUUGAGGAAAUCUUGUCGGCUUUGCAAGUCACGCCCUCGAAGGUACAUGGGUUCUUGUCGGGAGACCAGUCUGGGAGUAGAUUCUUGUCAGGAAGAACGUUUUUGAAGCUGAUAAGGUGAUGUAUUUCUCUGUACAGAGGAGAAGGAUAAGGUUAGAAGGAAGAGAAAGAAGGUUGGGAAAGUUUUCAUUCUCAUGAUUUUGAGAGAUAAGUUGUGGAAGUUUGAGACUAAGGAAAGAGGGAUCUAGGGUUUUGGUUCCACCAUUAGAGAGGAAGUGGGAGCUCUAGAGAGAGAAGAGAGGAGAAGAGAAGAUGGAUGAAGGUGUUUAAUUAUUUUAUCAAAUAUCAACGAUGGGAAGAGUGGUCACAGCUGUGCGCUCACAUGGCAUGUCACCUCUUCUUCUGACUAUUACUAUUAUUGAAAUGUUAAUUUUAAUCUUGCUAACAGAUACAAACAAAUAAUACAACUUUUCAUUAUUGAAUGUGUUAAAAGAAUAAUCAAUGCAAGAGGAUACAAACUAUUAAUAAGAUAAUGGCAUCGCAAUAUCCUUAGUCUCAAAGCUUUUUUUAGUUAUGUUAAAGAAAUGACGCACUUGUAAGUACCUGUGAAAGGUGUUUAAUUAACGUGAGAUUUGGGGAUGGGAUCAAGUAUUUCACAAGCUAUAUAGCAUCUUAAAUCUCAUCUUAGACUUUAUUCAAUUAGUAUAUUCUACCUCAAUCACCUAGCUGUUUCCAAAAAGGUUUAAUACAAGUCUAGUGUGAUAUUUUGUUUGGUGCUGGUUUAACAUUUUUUUUUGUUCCAACAUGAGAUACCAACAACUAACUAACUCCACAUUUGUGGAGUAAUAGUUAAAAUUUCAGUGAAAAUGGAACAUAGAAUCUAAGUUAUUUUUAUUGAUACUCAUAAGUACAACAAGAUUUGAGAGGCAUUGAAUGUGAUGGUAAGAAAAAAGUUGAAAUUUACUUUAAUGCUAUGUAAUUUACAUUAAUAGUUUUACAUGACUUUCACACCAACCAUAAACAUUUUAAAUCUUUUUUUUUUUAAAUCAAUACUAGUUUCUUGUUCAUUCGCACUUGUGUCUGGAAAAAGUGGAGGAGAGGUUGUCUCUCUAGCUUUUUACAAAAGAGAGAGAGAAAAAAACUAGCGUACGUGUGAGCGACGAUUGGGACAUGAGUGUUAUCAAUGGCAGAUUCCAUCUCUUUUUAGUAUAAAUUAUUAAGUUUGUUAUGCAUACGGAGGAUAUUAUUAGUCUUUGCUAAUUAAUUAUUUUUCUCAUUAAUACUAUUAUUACUUUAUUAUCUUUGUCAAUUAAUUCACUAAAUUAAUCCCUCUUUCUUUUAAUUUCAGGCCUCAUUCGUGUUCUCUGGCACUUACGUAGACGGAUAGAUUAGACCAAACUUUACAUUUUCUAUUAUCUUUUUCCUUUCUCGCAGUUUUUAUAAAUGUUUCGUAAUUAUGCUCAAAACCCCACGUGCAGCUGUUUUUGGUGAAUACACGCAUUAUAACAAAUUUGACAAUAUUCUUUUCAGCUUAAAUAAUCCUCCGGCUUUUCUCAAAAAAAAAAAAUAUUUUCUAUAUUUUUGCUUAAUUUUUAGAAUAUACUACUAUUUUCCUAAUUUGCUGAGAAUUAAUGAUACUCUAUGUAUGAUACAUACAAGCCUCUAGCAGGUGUACGUUCGGAUUCGGAUCGAGUAUUUUAAAAUUUCUGAUAUUUCAGUAUAGAAGUAUAGAAAUUGUUCGGAUAUUUCUACAUUUCUGAUCAAAAUUCAAAUAUUUUAAGUCUGAAUUCAGUUAUUUCAAGUUGGGUUUGGAUAUUUAGAUAUUUUUUUUUAAAUUAAAUUCUUCACUGUUUAAGUUCUUUUGUAUUUAAUACUUUUAACUCAACUGAUUUUCUAAUUUUUAAUAGAUUAAACUAUUAAUAAGUUUGAAGAUAACAUUUUAAAAAUAUAAAUACACUAAUUUAAUUGCUAUUUUAAUAUUUCAUAUGCAACUUUUGUUAAUCAAAGAAAUAAGUGGUUGACAUGUAUUUUAAAUGAUUAGCAAAUAAUUUUGUCUAUAGUUAUAUGAAUAUUAUAUGGUUUUGAGCCAUAUGCAAAAUCAAUAUAAAUAUUUUGAAAACAAUUAAAGAAGUAAACUAAAAAUAUAUAGUCAAGUAAUCAUAUAUUUGGUUAUCUUCGGAUAUUCAUUCGGGUUCAGAUAUUAUAUGUUCGGGUUUGGAUAUCCAAUCUUUUCUCGUUCAGGUAUUUUGCUAUUUCAGUUCAGAUUUUGGUUUGAUUUUCCGGGUCAUCUACGAUACAGAUUCGGAUAUCGAGUAAAAUACCCACCCCUAGCCUCUAAGAUACUAUAUAUAGUGAUCUAGUACUAUGUUGGUACAAGUAACCUUUUUACACAAACUAAAAUGAAAAGUGUGUUUACUGAUGUAUUUAUUUUGUAAGUAUUUGAUAAUAGAACAUUGUAUUGUAUUGUUUUUUUUUUUUUGAAACACCGAGCAUUGUAUUGUAUAUAACAUCAAAGUUAAGUAAAAGGCCAAGAGAUAAUAGAUUCUUAACUUCCGGAAGAGACGAAGCUGUCCUCCCCAUACUGAUUAAGAGCAUCUCCAAGGGCACUCUAUUUUUUCCUCUAUAAUUUACAUUAAAAUAGAGUAACUCUAUUAUAGAGUUAAAUUUGCUCCAAUGGUUCACUCUAUAAUAGAGUUACUCUAUAAUAGAGUGAAAUAUAGAGUAAUCUUAUUUUUUUACUCCAAAUAUAGAGUGAAAAAAUAAGAAUACUCUAUAUUUCACUCUAUUAUAGAGUAACUCUAUUAUAGAGUGAACCAUUGGAGCAAAUCCAACUCUAUAAUAGAGUUACUCUAUUUUAGAGUGAAAUAUAGAGAAAAUUAUAGAGUACCAUUGGAGAUGGUCUAAGCGUUCGUGUGGCCAAACACCCACACUCUCUCUUCUUGCGUAAGACACAGACGAUGUCUCUAAGGACCGAGCUAUUACAACGACGUGUGUGUUACAGGCGCUCACGGAGCCGAGUUUAAUUGGUGGAUAGUGGGUCUAACUAAAGUGUGACUAACAUAGACGUUCGUAAAUGUUUUCAGUGCAGUGUAGUACACUGUACGAGAUGGUCCCCAACGGUCUAAAACCAAUCCCAGCCAUUGAUGUCAUCUCAGCAGUAAAUAAAUGCUGAUUUGCGUUUUCAUUCUUCCUCGGUUCCUCGGUGAAUCUAAUGUAACAAACCGUUAUAUGUAUCUAGCAGUAAAUCUAGUGACGAUGUUGCUGACUUAUACUAUACUAGUAUUAACCCCGUGCAUUCGCACGGUAUUAUUUUUGUUAAAAAUAAAACCUAAGUUCAGUUAUACAUAGAUAACUAAAAUUACAUGUAUAAAAUCAAAAAGAGAUGAGUAUACAUAAAAAUUGUUAACACACUUUUAGUUUAAAGUUUCCUGUUUUAUUUAUUUUUGUCUUGCCUUUCAUGUUUAACAAUUAACAUGUAGUUUAUGGCUUCUUUGGUUUAUUAUAUCCAUUAAUGUAUUUACUAUUCCAUCUUCAAAUGAAAAAAAAUCUUACAAAUCCAACUAAAAAUAUCAGCAUGUAACAGAGAAACAUCAAUCUAUGAGGCAAAUUAAGAAGUAAAAGUCAGUAAACAAUGAAAAAUAAUUUCAUCUGAAUAUAUAAGAUAAAUGAUAAGGAAUACAUUACACUUGACUAAACCAUGCAGACUCUAGUAAAUACUCUAAAUAUAAAUGGUAUGUUGAUGUGAAAGCAAAGUUGAGAAAUUAUAUACAUAGAGAACCGUCAAAAUACCUUUGAGAUUAAGAACAUUUAUGAAUUUGAUUGUUUGAACGCCUAUUUUCUGGAAUUUAAGAGGAUGCACUAAUCUGAAGAAUAAUUUGAGAUAUCAAACACCUGAAACAAACAAACAAAAAAAUUGAAUGCAGCGAGAUGGACACAUUUACCAAGAAACUGAAACAAUUAACACACAUGUAGCUAAUAUAUACAGAUAUCUGUUAAUUUGUUUUAGAAUUUAAUCAUUGUUCCUAUAGCAGCACCAUUGUCAUCUUCAACACUUCACGUUUCUCUUGUUCCUGCAACCGUACAUAAACCUGUUUAUUUACAGGAAAAUCUGAAACAUUGAAUUUACAGGGGAAUAAUGUUAUUCCAAAAGUGUUUUCAAGAUAUAUCUUUGUAGUAAAAAUAUCCUUUAACAGUCUGAUCCUUUAAGUGGUGAAUUAAUAGAACCUCUUUAUUUUUAUAAAAAGGCCUUCCUGUGAUUUUACCACGUAGUCUGCUUUUUAUCUUCUUCCUCCUCUCUUUCUGGCGGGUCUUACUGAAUCUCCAGCCUGUUCUGAUGAAGCAAUAAGAUAGCGUCACUGCUAUAUAUGAGUUGUUGAGAUCCCUUUACUCCGAAAUUGAACCGUGCUCUAGUUCAAAACAUUCAUAGGUUUUGAAAUAGAAGAAUGAGCAUAUCUCUGUUACGACUGAUUUGGAGUUUUUCUUUUGUUUACGUAUUGAAUCUGGAAAAUAUAGGAGCAAUUAAAAUUGAAAAGCAUAAGAUCGUGGAUCGUGGGCUGUUUCAAGAAAUAGAUACGGUUAAUUUUUUUCUUAAGCACUUUUUUCUCCUUAAGCAUUAUCUGGUUUGAUUAUUAUUUUUUAAUUAUAAACAUAUCUUACGUGGCAUAAUUUGAUUGGCUAGGUGACUUGUGCUUUAGUAUAUAAGGGAUAAUAUGAUUAAGAACAUCAGCAUCAUUUCUUAUGCCCUUCAGGAGCAAUUUGGAACAUCAGCAAAAGUCUUUCUUCGUCUUUUUUUUUUACUGGCACAUGCCUUUUUUGUUACUAAACAGCGCUACUUACUGGCAAACGCAUCUUAUUGUUUUCAAAUAUUUUUCAUCUCAAGAUUUUAAAGUUUAACUAUUUAUUGACACUAUCAUAAAAUAUCCUUGAUAAAAUUUGGAAUUCCCAAAAAAAGGGCAAUUUUCUCAAAUAGUUUUUUUUAAGUUUUUGUCACAAAAUAGUCUUCAAGAAAGAAAAUGAUCAAAAUAACUUUUUUAUUUUUAAAUAUUAAAUAUUUAUUUUUUAUUUUUUAAAUUUUGAAAUUCUAUCCCCAAAAUCACACCCCUUAACUUUAAGCUCUAAGUCUAUAUUAGUUAACCCUAGGGUAAAAAUACAUUUUUACCAUUUAAUAAAACAUAUUUUGGUCAUUUUUUUUCAUGAAAUGCUAAUUUUGUGACAAAAACUUAAAAAAAUGUUAUUCUAAAGAAUUUCUCAAAAAAAAAUUGGAAUUCCCAUUUAAAACUUUAUAUGAAAACUUUAUUACAAACAAUAACCAAAUUUUUUAAAAAAAAAUUAGAAACUUUAAAGUACAUGUUGGCCACUGCAACGAUCAGACUAGAAUAAAUUGUCCACGAAAAAUGCGUGAGCCUAUAUUGGCAGGCGAUAUAAUAACAUAAAGUCAACAAAAAUCUAUACAUAAUAUAUGUACCCCUUGAUUAUAUGCGUAAUGAUGGUAAACAAUAAUAAACGUUUUUUCUUCUUAAAGUGCAAUCUCUCAAUACACCGUAUGCAGUUGUGUUUGGACCAAAUUAUAUAAUUAUUGAUCAAUCAUUGUAAUAGGAAUCGCCGUCAAGCACAAUUGUAAAUAACCUUCUUUUCUGCUUAAGCAAAUAACCAAUUGUUUAAUUUUCUAUCGUGGUAUAGUAAAGAUAAAUUAACACCAUAAGUCCAUAAGACCCCCGAUCUUAAUCGAGAUAGCUGGCUUAAAUACAAAACCACAAAAAAAAAACAUUGGUAGAAAACAUUUACAAACUAGCACCAGAAUAAUAUGAAUUAUCAUUUUAUUUCAUAUGCGUUAUACCCACAAACGCAUGUUCCAGUUUCAUAUUCAAAUUAAACUAUGUGCCAUGAUGGUAUCUAAUGCUCAAUGAAGCGUCCUUUCAAAUCAAAUUUAAAUAAUGUUCGAGCUGUUUCCAGCAAAAGCAUUAAUACAUAAUUUUUAGGCCAGAUUAGAAUUUCGUAUGAAAUAUUAUAUUAAGAUCCCAAACCCAUAUAAAACCAAAUGUACUUCAGGUUAUCGAAUAAUACGUUCAAAAACAACUAAAAUAGUACAAAUUAGCCUCCGUAUAUUUUAACUAUAGCUAACAUGUAUGGUACAUAUUAUCCAACUAAUGCUAGCUCAAUACAAGUUGACUUUUAAUAUGGGUGUGUAUAUUAAAGUAAUAUUCUUUUUUGUUUCCUAAAAGUUGUUAUUUUCCUAUCAAAACAUUAUUUAAGCUAUUUUUUAUAACUGUUGAACUUAUAAAAUAAUAUUAAAUAUUAAAACACGGACUUAUGAUAUUCUGAAUCUGAUUUAUGCAAUUCAAACAAGUGUUUUACAACUCAUUUAAUUGCCUAUGUCGGAUGAAUCUCUAUAAUAUUAUUUGAGAAGUCAGUUUUUAAUGUGUUGUGCUCACGUUAGUUCUUACUAUGGUUUAUUAUAUUGUUAACAUUAAUUAAUGCUAUUUUUUUAAUUGCCAUUAUCAAAAUUUCUAUUUCAGUUUUUUAUGAAUAUUUUGUUUUUUAAAAAUAAAAAGGAAAAAUAUCUAUAAACUAUUUUUUUCGUUUUUAAUAUAUAUGUAUAUAGAUAAUCAUAUCAAUAUCAUAAAAGAAAUUUAGUAUCAAAAAGAAAGUAACUUAAAAGUAAAAGUAAAUAGCGAUUUGUUAUAUUUAAAAUAUGUAAUUUGACAAUAAGAAAAUUCAUUUUAUAUAAAUCUCAAUUUCAUAAACUAUUUUACUAAUUUCCAUUACUAAUAUUAUCUAUUUAUAUUUUAUUUUUUCUUAAUAUGUUUUUAUAAAAUCAUAUAUCAUAUAGAAAUUUAGUAUCAGAAAAAUAUUUAAAACAAAAAUAUAGUGAUUUUUGAUAUUUAAAACAUAUUAUUUAAAACAAAUGAAUUUCCAUUUAUAUAAAACCUCACUCCAUAAAAGUUUCUGGAUACUUUUUGUUCAAGAACAUUUUUCUAUGAUUGUUAAUAACGUAAGUUAAAUAUUUUUCAUUAAAAUAUAAUAAUUUUCAUAAGAAAAAGUCAAUUUAUUUACUAAAUCAGUAUUUACUUUACUAUACUAAAGAAAGUUAUUUUCUCUUAAUUAUAAAUUUUCUUAAGUAAUAUUUAUUUUUUGGAUAUAUUCAAUCUCUUAUUUUAAACAAAUUCUCUCACAAUUUUAUACAAUUUUUCUUUUCACAAUUAUAGAUUUCCAAGCCUAAUACUACGUGAAUGUUUCAAUAUCUAUUAAAAUAAACAAGUAAUUAUCUCAAAUCCAAUUCCAUAAGCAAAUUGUUUUCCUAUGAAUGUGCCAAUGUGGUAUUUAAUAAAAGUAAUUAGAUUACUUUUAAGUUCUAAAACUCUAAUGAUCGACGUGGUUUUAAAAGAUUUCAAUUUAAUUCACUUAUACAACUUCUGAUAAACACUUCAAAUUUUUCUCAUAAAUUUAAGCAAAACAAAAUAUAUCAAUUAUUAAAUACAUAUUUAGAAAUUUGAGAAAAUAAAUUUGUUAUAUAUAAUCUGAUUUAGUAUAAUUAAAAUUCUUUUGGAAAAUAUAUACAACUCAACAUACCAAAAAUAACUUAACCGAUCUAAAUUAUUAUACGUAAAAUCAAAUAUUUAAAUAAGAUAACAAAAUAAUGUAAUUUAAAACAGUAUUAUAUCUGCCUUUCUAAAAUAUAAACUACAAAAUAAGUUAAACUUAUCAAUAAAUAAAAAUAAAAUUUAAUCAAUUAUAAUGAUUUUAUUAUUUUGUAACUGUUUGCAUCUGUGUACGGAAAAAUCGUCUAGUAACCAUUUAUUUCACAUGAUAUCUAAAAAUCCAUUUAACUUUUGUUUCUUUUUAUCUGUAGAGACAAACUCAGGUUCUUUUCAUUAGUAUGAAAACAUGAUAAUUCGUGUGGGCUUCCAUCCAAUAACGGGUAUAAUUUUCCCCAAAUAAAUAACGGAUUAACGGGUAUUAUUUUCUCCAAAUAAUAAAGUGUCACACAUUUUGUCCUUCAAACAAUCAAACGUCAAAUAACAGACGCACGUGCGAGGAGAGAUCCGUUCUAACACUACACGCACACGUAAGCAGACUUUUCCCAGGCAACGACCUGUUAAACUGAGAUUUACCCGUGUCAACACCGUUCCUUCUAUCUCCAGUCUCUGUCUUAAAAGUUUCAAAACACGUAUUUUUUCUUUGUUCAAAAAAUACGUAUUUAAUUAAACAUCUCUCAACCCGACGAUAACGGGGCGAGUCCAUGUGCUUGAUAUAUAAAAUUAUCUUUUUUGCUUAAUAGAAAAUCAUCUUCGAAGAGCUAUUUUUUGGUGCAAAUCUUCAAAGAACUUUAUACUAUAUUAUAUUGUUAAUGAAAUAAGUAAAAUGUUACGUAAAUUAAACACCAUGAUAUCUCCAACCAUAUAUGCAUACAACUUUCAAGGAACCACUAUAAAAUUCCGUUCAUUUUGAAUGCAAGUAUUUCUUUUAGGAUGAACACUCAUUGACCCAAUAAAUAAAUAUUCACGUAACAAAAGAAACGUAGAUACUGAGGGUGAGGACAAAAAUUAACAUAAAAAAAUAAAAUUGAGAUUUUAUUCAGUAGCAUUGUUGAUAUUUCUUGUGUGAGAGAAUUAGUAAAAAAAAAUACAAAAUGCAAAGGCCAAAAUUGAUAACCAAAAAAGAAAAGGCAGAAAACAAAAUGCUAUGUAAGAAAAGAAAAACAUGGUCUGGUAAUUAAAUAAUUAAAACCCUUUGUUUGUAAAUAUUCCAUAUGAUAUUUUCUACCUGUUUUGUUUGUAUCUGAGACGCUUGUUCUUGUUUCUAUGUCAAAACGAUCACUUCUUUCGUUUAGACCUUUCCAUCAGACUCAGAUGUUUCAGAUAACCCGCUGAGUUUCUGUGCCUUGGUUACGGGGAUAGAGAGGCUACGACGCUCUUACCUCCCGGUUUAGAAGAUGCAUUACCGUACCAGAUCAUACCGAGAAUCGCAAUGAGCAUUCCAAGCACCACUUGCAUGUUUAAACCUUCCUUACCGAAGAAGGUGAAUCCCAAAACCAAAACCAGGAUUGUCUUCAUGUGACCAAGUACUUGGAAAGACACCGCCGUGAAUCUUCCUAUACAAAUGAACUGACUCAGAUUGGUCCCGACCGCGAUACUACACGAGAGUAUCAAGAAGAACUGCCACCAACAAAAAUUGAAUUAGACCAAUCUCAAACGUGCCAACAACUAAGAGCCUAGUAUGCAUCUUUUACCAGAGAUAUGAAUGAAAAGUUGAAUGCAUCAACUCUUUGGUUAGUCAACCAGUAGUCUAGAAAUGGCCCGACCAACAGCAACGAUGCAGCUUGUACUGGAGCGGUAUGCGCCAGUAAAUUGAAAGAACCAAGCGAAUAUUUCCUCUGUAGAUAAUGUACAUACUGCAAAACACAACAGUAUCAUUUGUUAGAGAUCAUCAGACCUCACUAUGUUUUUGGGGUUUACAAGCCAAUUAAGGCUUACGUAUUGCUGAAGGGCGGUGCUCCAGACAGCAAUAGCGGCAGCGAGGAAGCCGUUGAGGUUGACACUGACAUCGGUAACAGUGCAGACGGCAACACCAGCAAGAACCAACAAAAUGCUAAGCUUUGUAUCCCUCGAAUACCUGACGUUGUCAAGAACAACUUCUAGAAGACAAGAAACUGGGAUCAUACUCAGCUUCGCAAUCUGGUAGAAGCCAACGGAGUUCCACAUGAGGCUGACGUUCAUCCCAACGAUCGAGAAGUUAGCGAACAAAACGAACUUGAGAAGAUCGGGCCAGGGAAGCUGAGAAGGUUGGAUAUAACCAAGCCACGUCAAGAAAGUUGUCAACAGUGUCGUUGUUCCGAAAUGCAAACCGGUUAACGUCGUAGCUGUGCCAAAACCAGAUCUUAAUCAGUUUAGUCAUGUUCGAAACCGAGUCAACACCGUUGACUAUUAAGAUAAAAGAGACAGACCGAAACUAAAGCCGUAAGUAGCCAUCAAGGCUUUGUUAACGAGGAUGAUUCCAACGGAAGUAACGACGUUGAAGAGCCAUGAUGCAAUGUCUAAAGCCGCUUUUUGAUCCGUCUUGCUUGUUGCAGCCAUUUUUUUUUAUUUUUUAUAAAUAAAAUCAAUUCAGAUCUCUGCAGAAGAUUUAAACUAGGCCUUUUAAUUAGAAACAUAUGAAGAGAGUAGAAUCAAAGUAAAAAAAAUCUUAUGAUCAUCAAUUAUGAACAAUCUCAAUUCUAAAAUCAUCUGAGGAUCUAAAAGCUCCAACAUGAGUCUCUCUAACUAUAAAAUUCAAGCCAGAUCUGAUACUCAUACGAAUCUCAGACAAUCACGUAUCUUAAUCGGAACGACAGAGAUAUGUGUAAGUCUUCAGGAGAGAGAGAGAACAUGUUUUUUUUUACCAGGUAACGGAGAUAGACGACGGUCGCUACCGAGGCGGCGGUGGGGAGACGGAGGAAGUCAAGGCUAAAUCAACAUGAAUUUUAGAGAGAGAAAUCGUGGAACUUCGAGUGAUUUUAUUAUUAUUUUUUUAUUUUUCAGUUACGGAGGACUUCUUCACAUGAGAGUCUCCUUCCUGCCAUUUUAAGAGAGAGGACAGAGAGUAGAAUCUUUUUCUCUUUUUUAAUUUUUAAUUUAAUUUAAUUUUAUUUGUUUCUUUCCCUCGCUUUCUUCUUUAAAAGCUAGCGACAUGAGUUAAAAUUUAGAGAUUUUGUAUAGAUCAUUUAACAAAAAUAUAACACAAGUGUUCAGUAUAUUUAAGAGGUGUAUUUCUUAUGUUUAAUUUAAAUUUAUGAAAUAGCUAAAUAAAAUAGCUAUAUGUUUAGAGUAGCAAAAAAAAAACAAAUGUUAUUUUCAUCACAUAAUCACACUGGUUUAUUCGAAAAAAAUUGGAGAAAGUGUAUAAAAGUGGAAAAAGUGGAGGAGAGAUGGAAACGAGAAGUGUGGAACUAAAAAGGCGUGACCAGUUUUCUAUUCGACAAAAGGACAAUCUAUGUAGUGUGGGACAACCCCAAAAAUUAAAAGACAGAGGUUCCGUUUGGUUAAAGAUCCAAACACACACUAAACUUUCUUGUGAGUUUCUACUUUCUAUAUGCAUAUUAUAUUUUUUUCAAUUUUUAAUUAAAAUUUGUGUGUUUUGUAGCUCCGUUAAGUAUCUGAGUCUCGUUGUCGCUAUUCGAUGCUUUUCACGUGAACUGUUUUUCUUUUCAUGGUGAGUUUCAGUUAGAUACCAGGCGUUAUUAUCAUAGAUUCAUAAUACAAAAGUCACAUUCUGUGACCGUAUGAAAUACAUGUGUUUAUAUCAAACCUGACUGUUUUUUUUUUACAUAAGCUAGUACAUCAUUUUUAAAGUCCAAUAACAACAAAAAUAUAGAAUGGAUUCCGUAUCCGCAUGAUGAAACUAAUGAAAUAUAUUGGUCCUGGAACACAAAUUUUGGUCAGUUAAACUAUGAUUGGUAGACAAAAGAAACUCUAUGGACUGAUCAUUGCAAUCUUGAAUUAAAUUGCAACCAAGUGUAUUUUAUUCCUAUUGAAUAAAUCGCAUAAAAUCAAAUUAACCAUGAUUCCACAAAUAGUUUUUGAAAAUGACGUCGAAUUGAUAUACUUCACAAAAAUCAAUUCCAGAGAGAGAGAGAGAGAGAGAGAUCACAUACCAUAGUUUUAACUUUUAACUAAAAGCUUACAUUAUGGCGAAAGAAACUCAUACGUAUUAAUGGUUGCUAUAUCUUCCUUGUUAGUACGUCAAAGUGUGAAGCAGCAUUGAAUGUGUCAACCAAAUUAUACUGUCUCGGAAGCAACCAAUCUGCUUUAAAUUUAAAAAACAUGUCAGUCCUUGAUGUGUUAAGCUGGUGGACUAAGAUUUUAAUUAACGGGCCGCACAUUCGGCCCAUAUAAACAAACCGACCUCAAAUUAAUUCUGAAUAUCGUUUUGAUGGUAUAAUAGAAAAAGCAAUGGAGGGAGGAAUUUUAUUUUCAACAUUUUCAUUCCCGCCCUUACUUUUUUCCCCACUCCCUGCUCUCGGAGAUUUUUUUGCUAAUCGCCUCUUCUCGAAGGACUUCGUCUGACAGCUCCAUCGUAUUCUCCUUCAGUAAGCUCUCUUUCGCGUCUCGGAUUCGAUAACCGAUGAGGUUUGUGACUGUAUCGAUCUCUCAGAUACGUUUUGACUUUUCUCCACCGAUCGUUCACCUGUUGAUUGAUUUUGAGAUGUUACCGUAAUUUCUCAUGCUCUCUAGCUGUUUGUUAUAUCUGGUUACGAAUUUUGAAUUUCGUCAUGCCUAAUUGAUUUUGAGAUUUUCGUUCGGUUGGAUCAUCGAGCUCUGGAUUUCUAGGGUUCCGAUUAGAACCUAAUUUUGAAUUUAAUUAUCUCUGGAGUUUUCGUUCGGUGGUGGAUUAAGUCGAGAUUUGAAUUUCUAGGUUUUGGAUCCUGAGUAAUCGGGGAGGUUUUGCUACUGAAGAGCACGACGAUUUGAUUGUGUUUAUUAACUGUGUGUUGUUUAACAAUUCUGAAUUGAUUUUGAUUGUAACUAUUUGUUUAGGAUUAGUUCCGUUGUGGAUGAAUCUAGAUCUCUGCGAGGUGUUUAGAUUUUGAGUUUUGAUUGUUUUUUUAUUUUUCCAGAAUGGCUAGAAAGAAGACUGAGAGUUCAACUGAAUCCUCAAAGGAGAUCAAAGCCAGAGGAAAAUUCACCAGAGCCAACAAGUGUAUGAAAACAACUACUAAGAAAGUCAACGAGUCUGGUAAUUUUAAAGUUAUUUUUACCAAAAGGAUGACAGACUUGUAUUGUUUUUUAUCUUCUUAUCAAGGAUUUGUUGGCAUUGUUAUAGGAAAGCAUAAUAGUAAAAGAGAGAAGAGGAAGUCCCCUUCUGGUUCUCCAGACGGGGCUCAACAAGUACCUGUUCUUGCUCUCCAUUCGGACAAAGAGGUUAGACGUUGUGGCAAAAUGAAGUUGCAGCUUUUUCCUGUGGAUGCUCAUACACGUCAAGGAUUAGAAAAGGUAAAAAAAGUCUAAGAUUUGACUACAAGACAUGGACUUAAGUAUACACAUUCUGGUGGAUGUUUUUCUAACUUUGUUUGUUUUUUGAAACUUUGUAAGGAUGGCUUUCACCCAUAUUUGGAACUCACUCUUAGCUCACGGAAGAAGGUUUCUUCAGUGCUUCAACACAUUCACAGUAAAUGGGGAAGCUCAGAGAUAGCUCGGGGAGAUCCCACCUUGUACCCAUAUGAUCAAUCGAGACACACUUCUGGUCCUAAAUGGACACCAGACAGCAGCAUUACGAUAAGGGAUAUCUAUGUGGCUAUUGGAGCUCCGUCCCUAUUCCGCCUGAGGUUUGCAUCUGUAUUUCAACGCAACUUUAUAAGUAUAUCCGCGUCUUACGAGUGUUUAUUUCUUUUAGGUAUGGAUGGUCCUCUGAGACUUGUAAUAAAACAGAUGAAUCACCAUCUCCAUCAACCCCGGGUAUCACUUGUUUUCCAGAUGUAGAACCUCAGAACAUCUUCAGUAACAAAAGAGAGAAUGGAAAGAAGAUGUUUGGUUUAGAUAACCUAACUCAAGUGACUGAUCCGCCUCUCUCUGAACACACUCCACCUGAUGGAUCAGUCGAGUCAGCAGCGGUAUGCUUAGUAAAAAAAAGUUUUGUUUUUUUUUUCUCUUGUUUUUGGACUCAAAUCUUAUAAUCAUGGUAUACAUCUUGACAACUUUUGUUUAACCAGGAGAAGAAGAUGAAUGAUGGAUCUGGACCAACAUUUUUUCAAUGGGAUGAUGGUUUAACAAGCUUAAGUAUUGGCGGCUUACUUUCUGAAGUAUCUUUGAAGGGGAACUUCGGGAACGGUUCUAAAAAUUCAAACGCGAACCCAACUCUCUGGGACGAAAAUCUUACAAACAUAAGCAUUGGAGGUCUGUUUUCCGAGGCAUCUUUACAAGGCAGACGCUGUAAACAAGAUUCAACUCAAAAUAAUCAGCAAAGUGUUGGCAUCGGAGCCUUACUUUCUGAAACAUCAUCACGAGGAGUGGGGAGGUUUAGUGACGGUAACAAAACAUGGGAGACUAGGGGAGCUACCUCACAACAACCAUUACCUCUAAUCUCCGAUUCAUUAGAUGCUUUCUUCGUGAACCAAACAACAGAUCAGCCUCGAGCACCACCUCCCGAGGUGUCACAUUCGUCUAUACUCGACGCAGAAGACACAUGCCAUGCAUUUUCAUUCCGAAAGCGCAGUACAACCUCACCCAAGGUUCUUGAGCAGGUUAAAACCUUCCCCAUGUUAUUCUGUGUUUAUGUUUUUAAUUUUCAGUAUGCUUAUCUGAUUAGUUAAUAACUUGCAACUCUUGUUUAAUGGAUCUGAGUUCUGUCAGGUAAGUGAAGAAAAUAAGGAGCAGCAACAGAAGGAUGAAUCUAAACCUGCAAAAGGGUUGUUUGGUUCCGGGGUGUUUAAUCAGGACAGCAGCCUUGGAUUUUCCGGAAUCAAGUGGGUAAGUGAGAUUUCUAACUGUCUGGUCUCUCUGCUUUAUUUGCUGUAUAAGUAAAUACUUAAAUUGGAAGACUCAUCUUAAUCAAACAAGUUACUACAGUUUGGGUUCCGAAUAAUUGAUAUAUGAUUUUCUUAAAUGCAGGCUGACUCACGAGGACCCUUUGAUUUUGGCUUAUCUUUGUCGUCCCGAAAGUUUACAAAUGGAGACAGCGUAGGCUUUGGUGCUGCGGUAAAAGAUCUGCAUGAAGUUGAACCUUCAGAAGAGAAAAUAAAGCAGCAUCAUUGAAGGCUUGAAGCUCAUUACAAUGAAUCCACAGGUAAAACAAAUCAAUAAAUACCGAAAGAAAACGGUCUCAAAAACCCUUGGAAUUUGCUUGCAUUUCUAGUAACACCCUUUGGUAGUUGCAUAUCUUUAUGACUCUAUCUUUAUUACACAUACCUCAUUGUGUUUUUACUUUUUUACAGGAAUGUUUCAUAGGACCUCAACCUCACUAUGAAUGAAAACAACAGGGGAUAUUGUAUUUACAUUUAAUUUUUGCUAUAUAUGGAACACACAAUUCCCUUUUAUGUAAGGAACAAAAUGGAAUAUAAUAAAAUCUGGUAGAUAUAUGUUAACUUAAAUUAUUAUUUUUUGUCAAUAUAUGUGGUAUUAUACCUUUCUCGGCCCUUUUGGCUAAGAUCAAGUGUAGUAUAUCAGUAGAUGCUAUCUUAAAUUAAAACUACAUAGAAAAUAUUCUUUCUUUUUCAUAAUUUAUGAUGUGUGAUAAAGUUUUUGAUAUUUCAAAAGGAAAAUAUUUUAAAAAUUUAAGUUAAAUUAAUUUUAUUGGAAUUUAUUUAACCAAUUAGUCUUUUCUGUGAUUGGUUAAUUUUAUUCAACCAAUCUAUUUUAAACAUAAUAUCUUACAUUAUAAAACAGAGCAAGUUACAUUUUUGUCUGAAGUCUCCCCGUCCAUGCUUCCAUUAUAUAUGUGAGAAAUUAUAAUAUUCACGUGAAAUAUUCUUAAAAAUGGGUAGAACUAUUGGAAGAAAACUCAAUUUUUUAUUUUCAUUUUACUUUAUUAUCUUAUUUUUCAAAAAAAAAAAAGAAUACAUUUGUGUUAGACUACAUGAGAAUCCAUAAACUCAUGUUAAAUAAGAAAAACACUUCGACCACUAGUUAUAUAAUAUUCACCACGUCUAAGUUCACAAAAAAUAAACUUGGAAACACAAGAAUCAAUACUCAAAUCCAAACGAAUCACCAAAACUGCCUUCUUGAUUAAAGCUUCUCAUAGAAGAGCAAGCUAGCUUCAGCACCAAGAACAUCACUCUCCGAUACUCUGCCAACUUCUGAAUCAGAUAUACUGAACCACCUCGAUUCCUCACAAUCUGCAUCUUCUUGUGAUGCUACUCUCACACUUCUAUAAACAGUAUAGUGUCCGCUUCCGGUCAUACCAAAAUGUUCCACCACUGUCACAAGCCUAUACAUGCCACCAUGGUUUCUUGAUGAUGCUUCUGGAUUUAAGUACUGUGACACCUCAUUCUUUUCUAUGUUUAAUCCUAUUGAAGACUGUGAAAAUAAGGAGAGGUCCAAGACAAGCGGGAAAGCGACAUGUCCCUAUAUUCAUAAACUCAGAUUAGAACACAACUAGUAGUAGUAGUAAAUAUGACUCAUGUAGAGAGGCAAAGAGUCUCUACCGAUAGCUUGACCGACUCUCCAAACAUGUUCAAUGAAGCACGUUGCACUUGAACGCAUAGAAGCUGUAAACAAUUCAACACUUUCUCAGGCUUCAAUCUAAAUUUUCGAGUCUAGUUUCAGUAAGUAAAUAAAUACCUUUGGGAAACGGGCAAUGGUUAAUUGCUUUAAUAUAAAGGAAUAGCUGUUUGACCAUGGCAUUCUAUGAAGAUGAUGAGAAGCUUUACAGUCACAUUUGUCGUCUCCACCACAGUUCUUGAUCUUUUCGAUAUCUGUCUCAGCUGCUCUCAUCGCAGAUGAAUAUUUCACAGCAGCAACAUGCCAGCAUCUAUGGCAGAAGUAGUUUUCCACUUUCUCCGCGCCAAGAAACUUCUUCAAGCAAUUCUCCAAAGUGCAUCCCAACACCUAAGAGCAAACCGAAAAAAGCUUGAGAAAAGUUCUUUCUGAAGAAGUUUUAAAUUCCACAAAAAUAGUAAUAAAAAAUGAAGAGAAUGGACCUUCCGUAACACAUACAAUGUUGGAACUACCACUAUAUAGUAGAGGAGAAAGAGGCAACGUAUGAAAAAACUGAAACUCCAACGAAAUCUACAAAAAAUCCAAGAAAAAUAUUAAGAGAAUAUUAAAAGGGUGAGAUUGAGAUUAUCUAAAAAAAAUAAAGCCUAAUCACCUGAGAAGAACAAGUUCUACACAUCAACGUACUACCAAGAAUCCCAUCGAACGGUCCACGCAAAUGUUUAUGCCAUCUCUUCAAAUCAUUGAGACCGUCUUCACUAGGCGCAGCAACCAUUCUCAAGUUGCGAGAAAACAUUAUAUCCGAAAGAUUACUAGUUUUGGUAGGACGAUAACAAACAACAAUCUCUUCUUGCAAAGAAGAUAUUAGAUGGAGAAGCGCUUCUGCAGCGUCCUAAUGUUUCAAACAAGAUCAUUAGCUUACAGACUAAAUAUAUGAUCAAACUCAAGUAUUUAUAGCACCUGUUGGCAAGUCAAAUUGAAGUUUCUGACGUAAUGAGUCAAUGCCAACAUGACUUGACGAGGGCUAGAUACAGAGUGACUUCUUCCAACAGUGCAGAGCUCUGGCAGUAAGAUUAAUUAACUGUCAGUUAAUACCAUUUUCUAACUCAAAAGAUAAAGAGAGAGAGAGAGACAGACCUUGUAAUAAAUCAGACAAAGCAAGCGUAAGAGGGAACUGUUCAUCAGUUUCACUAGCAUCAUCUAUAACCCAUUGAAGAUAACUCCGAAAGUCUUUGCAGCUCGCAAGAGCCUGUUUAAAGGUAAAGAUUACACAAAAAGAUGGAAGAGUCCAUAAUCAAAAUACUAUUCGAGUACCUGAAGGAUGACGUUGAGGAAGCAAUUGUUGCCGAGAUUUUGAAGGCCCGGUACGAGCAUAGCAUCAUCAUCAUCAUCAUCAUCAUCUUCGUCGUCUUGUCUUGUACCGGAGAAUAAGAGAUUUAGGUUGCGGAAUCUACCGGACUUUAGGGCGUAUAAGAAGCCAGCUACUCCGAGUAGAGAGGCGACGGACAGCUGCGAAGCCCUGAAUGUUUGGGUGAGGAUACGGACAAUCGCCUUUGUGUCGGAAACUCGACGAGGAACCAUUGUCAAAACGUUGGAGAGAGAGAGAGAGAGAGAGAGAGAGAAGCUCUCUAAUCGCUUGAGAAACCUAAAACCCUUCAAGUCAUCUGGAAGGUUAUAAGAAAGCUCGACUCUCUUUUGCCUGUACGGUAUCGGUUACGCAAACGUCACGGUAAAAAAUAAAUAAAUUCCGGGGGUAGUUCGAGUGAAUGGUUUAAAAGAUUUCUCAUUUAGAGGUUGAGUAAAAAUUUAGAGGUAAAUCCAUCUCCAUCACGAAAAUUAGACAUGGGCAUAUUUCCCAGAUCCGAAGAUCCGAAUUACCCAAAAUCAGGUUUCAGAUCAGAUUCGGAUACAGGAAAAUACCCGGUUGGAUAAAGUUUAAAAUUUGGUCGGAUACCGGAUUAGAUACAUGUAUAUCGGGGAUCCGUAUGGAUAUCCGAAAGACCUGAAUUAAACCUUAAUUAAGAUAACCUUAGAAAUCUAUUAUGUUUGUUUUCAUUUUGGAGAUUAAUCUUUGUUUUGGUUAUAUUAAAAUGGUUAUGUUAUGUUAUCGUAUUAUAAUUUUAGUUAUCUUUUAACUCUUGUUUAUGUUUUUCGGAUAUUUAGAAUAUUUUUGGUUCUUUUGGAUUAUAUUCGGUUCUAUCGAAUUAAAUGGUUUGGUAAAGAACCGGAUCGAAUCCGUUAAUUUUUUGGUUACUUUGGAUGUAACCGGAUCCGGCAGGUACCGAACCGUAUCAGAACCGAAUUUUAAAUUAUCCGAUCGGUACCAGUUUCUCUAGUUUCGAAAUAUCCAAAAUCUGAAAAACCCGAUCCGAUCUGAACCGGUUAUCCGAAUGCUCAUGCCUAACGAAAAUACUCGAUCUUUUGACACAUGAAAGCAAAAGUAACCUUGUCAGACAAUAUAAAUUUCAUUAAAACAGUUAGGUAAUUGUUUUUUAUUAAUAUUAUAUAGAGAAAUUUUCAAGGAUAGCAUUUUAAGUUUUUGCCAUUAAAAUAACCUUCAAUGAAGAAAAUGACCAAAAUAAGUUUUAUUAAAAAAUAAACAUGUAUUUUUAUCUUAGGGUUAACUAAUCUGAACUUAAAGUUUAGAGUUAAAAGGUGAAAUUUUGGAGAUAGAAUUUUAAAUUUAUAAAAAUAAAAAAUAAAUAUUAAAAAUUUCAAAAUAAAAAUGCUAUAUUGGUCAUUUUCUUGUUUGAUUGUUAUUUUGUGACAAAAACUUAAAAAUGACUAUCUGAGAAAAUUGCCCUAUUAUAUAUACUAGACCUGAGUUGCCGUAAGCAAUUUGUACUCUUUCCAAAUUUAUGUAAGCUCCGGAAAAGGAGCAUUGGGAUGCAGCCAUUUGUGUGGUAGGAUAUAUGAUAUGGAACCCAAGACAAAGAAUGUUACUUAAGGCAAUGCAGACUUUGACUUUGAGUGCUUGGUGUGAUGCAGAUUGAGGAGCCUUUUCCAUCACACGAAAAUGUUUUAAACGGCAUGGUUUAUUCAGUUAGUUGGGUCAUUGGUUUCUUGGAAAACAUUCAACACAAGACAUAGACUUUCGCUCGUAGACGGAGGCAGAAUAGAAAGCAAUGUCGGAUACAAUUAAAGUGAUGAUUUGGUUGAAGAGUCUAUUGACUACAUUUGGCGUCUGUUUUGACAAACACAAACCAAUUAAGAUUCAUUGUGAUAACACUUCGGCUAUUCAUAUGAGCAGCUAAUCCCAUUUUCCAUAAAAGGACAAAGCAUGUUGGAAUUAAGUAACAUUUGAUAGGAGAUUAGGUGUUUUCAUGCACCACUUUUAGAAUUUAAAUUAUAUUUUAAAAGAACAUUUUGAUAAUUUUAGAUUUUAUUAUUUGCUUUAUUUUAAUAAUAUUUAAUAAUAUUUAAAAAAAUAUUUAAUAAUAUAUCUCUCUCUCUCUCUAUAUAUAUAUAUAUAUAUAUAAUUUUGAAAAGUUUUUACUCAAUAAUAUUUCUAAACAAAUUUAGAUAUUAAAAAAACUUAUGGUAUUGAGAUUAGAAAAUGACCAUUUAAAAAGAACUGCAUAAAUUUUGAAAAAAAAUUUAGUAAUAAAAAUGAUAUAAUAAAUCAGACAAAGCAAGCGUAAGAGGGAACUGUUCAUCAGUUUCACUAGCAUCAUCUAUAACCCAUUGAAGAUAACUCCGAAAGUCUUUGCAGCUCGCAAGAGCCUGUUUAAAGGUAAAGAUUACACAAAAAGAUGGAAGAGUCCAUAAUCAAAAUACUAUUCGAGUACCUGAAGGAUGACGUUGAGGAAGCAAUUGUUGCCGAGAUUUUGAAGGCCCGGUACGAGCAUAGCAUCAUCAUCAUCAUCAUCAUCAUCUUCGUCGUCUUGUCUUGUACCGGAGAAUAAGAGAUUUAGGUUGCGGAAUCUACCGGACUUUAGGGCGUAUAAGAAGCCAGCUACUCCGAGUAGAGAGGCGACGGACAGCUGCGAAGCCCUGAAUGUUUGGGUGAGGAUACGGACAAUCGCCUUUGUGUCGGAAACUCGACGAGGAACCAUUGUCAAAACGUUGGAGAGAGAGAGAGAGAGAGAGAGAGAGAAGCUCUCUAAUCGCUUGAGAAACCUAAAACCCUUCAAGUCAUCUGGAAGGUUAUAAGAAAGCUCGACUCUCUUUUGCCUGUACGGUAUCGGUUACGCAAACGUCACGGUAAAAAAUAAAUAAAUUCCGGGGGUAGUUCGAGUGAAUGGUUUAAAAGAUUUCUCAUUUAGAGGUUGAGUAAAAAUUUAGAGGUAAAUCCAUCUCCAUCACGAAAAUUAGACAUGGGCAUAUUUCCCAGAUCCGAAGAUCCGAAUUACCCAAAAUCAGGUUUCAGAUCAGAUUCGGAUACAGGAAAAUACCCGGUUGGAUAAAGUUUAAAAUUUGGUCGGAUACCGGAUUAGAUACAUGUAUAUCGGGGAUCCGUAUGGAUAUCCGAAAGACCUGAAUUAAACCUUAAUUAAGAUAACCUUAGAAAUCUAUUAUGUUUGUUUUCAUUUUGGAGAUUAAUCUUUGUUUUGGUUAUAUUAAAAUGGUUAUGUUAUGUUAUCGUAUUAUAAUUUUAGUUAUCUUUUAACUCUUGUUUAUGUUUUUCGGAUAUUUAGAAUAUUUUUGGUUCUUUUGGAUUAUAUUCGGUUCUAUCGAAUUAAAUGGUUUGGUAAAGAACCGGAUCGAAUCCGUUAAUUUUUUGGUUACUUUGGAUGUAACCGGAUCCGGCAGGUACCGAACCGUAUCAGAACCGAAUUUUAAAUUAUCCGAUCGGUACCAGUUUCUCUAGUUUCGAAAUAUCCAAAAUCUGAAAAACCCGAUCCGAUCUGAACCGGUUAUCCGAAUGCUCAUGCCUAACGAAAAUACUCGAUCUUUUGACACAUGAAAGCAAAAGUAACCUUGUCAGACAAUAUAAAUUUCAUUAAAACAGUUAGGUAAUUGUUUUUUAUUAAUAUUAUAUAGAGAAAUUUUCAAGGAUAGCAUUUUAAGUUUUUGCCAUUAAAAUAACCUUCAAUGAAGAAAAUGACCAAAAUAAGUUUUAUUAAAAAAUAAACAUGUAUUUUUAUCUUAGGGUUAACUAAUCUGAACUUAAAGUUUAGAGUUAAAAGGUGAAAUUUUGGAGAUAGAAUUUUAAAUUUAUAAAAAUAAAAAAUAAAUAUUAAAAAUUUCAAAAUAAAAAUGCUAUAUUGGUCAUUUUCUUGUUUGAUUGUUAUUUUGUGACAAAAACUUAAAAAUGACUAUCUGAGAAAAUUGCCCUAUUAUAUAUACUAGACCUGAGUUGCCGUAAGCAAUUUGUACUCUUUCCAAAUUUAUGUAAGCUCCGGAAAAGGAGCAUUGGGAUGCAGCCAUUUGUGUGGUAGGAUAUAUGAUAUGGAACCCAAGACAAAGAAUGUUACUUAAGGCAAUGCAGACUUUGACUUUGAGUGCUUGGUGUGAUGCAGAUUGAGGAGCCUUUUCCAUCACACGAAAAUGUUUUAAACGGCAUGGUUUAUUCAGUUAGUUGGGUCAUUGGUUUCUUGGAAAACAUUCAACACAAGACAUAGACUUUCGCUCGUAGACGGAGGCAGAAUAGAAAGCAAUGUCGGAUACAAUUAAAGUGAUGAUUUGGUUGAAGAGUCUAUUGACUACAUUUGGCGUCUGUUUUGACAAACACAAACCAAUUAAGAUUCAUUGUGAUAACACUUCGGCUAUUCAUAUGAGCAGCUAAUCCCAUUUUCCAUAAAAGGACAAAGCAUGUUGGAAUUAAGUAACAUUUCAUAGGAUAUUAGGUGUUUUCAUGCACCACUUUUAAAAUUUAAAUUAUAUUUUAAAAUAACAUUUCGGUAAUUUUAUAUUUUAUUAUUUGCUUUAUUUUAAUAAUAUUUAAUAAUAUUUACAAAAAUAUUUAAUAAUAUAUCUCUCUCUCUCUCUAUAUAUAUAUAUAUAUAUAUAAUUUUGAAAAGUUUUUACUCAAUAAUAUUUCUAAACAAAUUUAGAUAUUAAAAAAACUUAUGGUAUUGAGAUUAGAAAAUGACCAUUUAAAAAGAACUGCAUAAAUUUUGAAAAAAAAUUUAGUAAUAAAAAUGAUAUAAAUUUUAAAAAAUAAAAUAAAAGAAUAUUUUAAAAAAUUUUAAAUAUUAUUUAUAAGAAGCCAGCUACUCCGAGUAGAGAGGCGACGGACAGCUGCGAAGCCCUGAAUGUUUGGGUGAGGAUACGGACAAUCGCCUUUGUGUCGGAAACUCGACGAGGAACCAUUGUCAAAACGUUGGAGAGAGAGAGAGAGAGAGAGAGAGAGAAGCUCUCUAAUCGCUUGAGAAACCUAAAACCCUUCAAGUCAUCUGGAAGGUUAUAAGAAAGCUCGACUCUCUUUUGCCUGUACGGUAUCGGUUACGCAAACGUCACGGUAAAAAAUAAAUAAAUUCCGGGGGUAGUUCGAGUGAAUGGUUUAAAAGAUUUCUCAUUUAGAGGUUGAGUAAAAAUUUAGAGGUAAAUCCAUCUCCAUCACGAAAAUUAGACAUGGGCAUAUUUCCCAGAUCCGAAGAUCCGAAUUACCCAAAAUCAGGUUUCAGAUCAGAUUCGGAUACAGGAAAAUACCCGGUUGGAUAAAGUUUAAAAUUUGGUCGGAUACCGGAUUAGAUACAUGUAUAUCGGGGAUCCGUAUGGAUAUCCGAAAGACCUGAAUUAAACCUUAAUUAAGAUAACCUUAGAAAUCUAUUAUGUUUGUUUUCAUUUUGGAGAUUAAUCUUUGUUUUGGUUAUAUUAAAAUGGUUAUGUUAUGUUAUCGUAUUAUAAUUUUAGUUAUCUUUUAACUCUUGUUUAUGUUUUUCGGAUAUUUAGAAUAUUUUUGGUUCUUUUGGAUUAUAUUCGGUUCUAUCGAAUUAAAUGGUUUGGUAAAGAACCGGAUCGAAUCCGUUAAUUUUUUGGUUACUUUGGAUGUAACCGGAUCCGGCAGGUACCGAACCGUAUCAGAACCGAAUUUUAAAUUAUCCGAUCGGUACCAGUUUCUCUAGUUUCGAAAUAUCCAAAAUCUGAAAAACCCGAUCCGAUCUGAACCGGUUAUCCGAAUGCUCAUGCCUAACGAAAAUACUCGAUCUUUUGACACAUGAAAGCAAAAGUAACCUUGUCAGACAAUAUAAAUUUCAUUAAAACAGUUAGGUAAUUGUUUUUUAUUAAUAUUAUAUAGAGAAAUUUUCAAGGAUAGCAUUUUAAGUUUUUGCCAUUAAAAUAACCUUCAAUGAAGAAAAUGACCAAAAUAAGUUUUAUUAAAAAAUAAACAUGUAUUUUUAUCUUAGGGUUAACUAAUCUGAACUUAAAGUUUAGAGUUAAAAGGUGAAAUUUUGGAGAUAGAAUUUUAAAUUUAUAAAAAUAAAAAAUAAAUAUUAAAAAUUUCAAAAUAAAAAUGCUAUAUUGGUCAUUUUCUUGUUUGAUUGUUAUUUUGUGACAAAAACUUAAAAAUGACUAUCUGAGAAAAUUGCCCUAUUAUAUAUACUAGACCUGAGUUGCCGUAAGCAAUUUGUACUCUUUCCAAAUUUAUGUAAGCUCCGGAAAAGGAGCAUUGGGAUGCAGCCAUUUGUGUGGUAGGAUAUAUGAUAUGGAACCCAAGACAAAGAAUGUUACUUAAGGCAAUGCAGACUUUGACUUUGAGUGCUUGGUGUGAUGCAGAUUGAGGAGCCUUUUCCAUCACACGAAAAUGUUUUAAACGGCAUGGUUUAUUCAGUUAGUUGGGUCAUUGGUUUCUUGGAAAACAUUCAACACAAGACAUAGACUUUCGCUCGUAGACGGAGGCAGAAUAGAAAGCAAUGUCGGAUACAAUUAAAGUGAUGAUUUGGUUGAAGAGUCUAUUGACUACAUUUGGCGUCUGUUUUGACAAACACAAACCAAUUAAGAUUCAUUGUGAUAACACUUCGGCUAUUCAUAUGAGCAGCUAAUCCCAUUUUCCAUAAAAGGACAAAGCAUGUUGGAAUUAAGUAACAUUUGAUAGGAGAUUAGGUGUUUUCAUGCACCACUUUUAGAAUUUAAAUUAUAUUUUAAAAGAACAUUUUGAUAAUUUUAGAUUUUAUUAUUUGCUUUAUUUUAAUAAUAUUUAAUAAUAUUUAAAAAAAUAUUUAAUAAUAUAUCUCUCUCUCUCUCUAUAUAUAUAUAUAUAUAUAUAAUUUUGAAAAGUUUUUACUCAAUAAUAUUUCUAAACAAAUUUAGAUAUUAAAAAAACUUAUGGUAUUGAGAUUAGAAAAUGACCAUUUAAAAAGAACUGCAUAAAUUUUGAAAAAAAAUUUAGUAAUAAAAAUGAUAUAAAUUUUAAAAAAUAAAAUAAAAGAAUAUUUUAAAAAAUUUUAAAUAUUAUUUAUUUAUAUUUCUACUAUUAAUGAUGAUCUAUGAGUAGUAUUUCAAAAACUUUACAGAAAAUAGAAAUCAACAUUAAAUGUAAAUGUUCAUGACACAAUUAACUUCAAGUCAUGUUAGCAUUGUUAGUAUUCUAUGUCAUAAUUUUUUUUUUUCAAAAUAAAUGUGAUGAUGACACAUGAUAAAUCACUUUUUAAAUAAUGUCUAAGGGAUGAGAUCGUGAGAAGUUUUGUUACAACAAAACAUGUUUCGAAAAAGAAGCAACAUGCAAAUAUUUUUGACGAAGGCACUUGGUAAGAAAGAAUUUUCAGUAUUUCUUAUCAAGUUGGAGUUAGAAACUUACACUCUCCAACUUGAUAGAGGGUAUUGAGAUAUGUACAUAUCUACAUUAGUGAUGAUUGGAUAUGAUCGUAUAUUAUGUGUAUAUCUAUAUUUUAGGAUAAAAGCCUUUGUUAAAAUAGAAGGAUUUUAGACCUAAGAAUCAAUACAGAAAAUUUCCAUGUACUUUGUUUUCUAACAAAAUAUUUCCAAUUUUUACUAAUUCUUUAUAAGAAAUCCAAACUUUUCAAAAUUCUGUGACUUACCCACAAAAAUGUAAAUUCAGAAUCAACAAUAUAUGUGUAUAUAUAUAUAUAUAUGUAUAUAAUUGAUUGCUAGGUAAAACGAAAAAGAGAAGAAAACUUAUAAAGACUGAAAAGUUUGGUGAACGAAAAAAAAGUAGAAAAUGAAUCCAACUUUCAUCCCAUUAUUAGCCAUUGCCGCGUUCGUUGUGCUACUCAUCAUUCUCGUGGGUAUUGCAAUUUGCCUUGAUUGGUGCAAGAGUUAAAAUCGAGGACUGAAUAACUAUUAUUUUGUUACAAAUUAAUUAUGUCUUUUUUGUUAAUUUUCAAUCAAGUUUUGUUUUGUUUAAUGAUAUUGUAAUUCUAUUAUAUUUACAUAAUUGAAUUAUGGUUUGAUGUUUUAAACCAAAAUCAAAUGAUUUUUUUGCUUGCUAUUCAUGAGAACUCAAAGCUCACAAUUCCACGAAUAUUGAAAGUGAAAAAUAUCAAAAACAUUAAAACACUUUCAGAGUUAUCUCGACUCUAGCCUGACCAGCACGAGAACAGAGGAUGAUAUCAACAAUAAGACCGUAGAGCGAAAGUGCUUUAGCAAAGAUGAGAAUCAGAAUCAUUCCACAAAGAGCUUUGGUUGUUGUGCAUUCGCUUUGCAACCACACAAAAAUCACGUCACAUUAUUACAAAGCCAAACACAUAUCUCUAAGUGGCAUAUGACAAGCAACACACAUGACACAUCACAACAACGAUUCUGUUCAACUUCAUAAACAUGAUCAUUAAGAGAACAUGGGUUUUAUCAAUUACCUGAUACCGGCAUCGCCGACGAUUCCAAUAGCCAUACCGGCAGAGAGACCGGCAAGACCACAAGGAGACCGGAAGAGAGAUGGGCAUAGCUGAUGGAACAUGCCUUUGGAUUGAUUCCAUUACUGAUGAAUGAUAAUCACAGCUAUUGGAAUCGUCGGCGAUGCCGGUAUCAGAGUAAAUAUAUCUGUUGAAUUUAAAAUUUGCUAUUAUAUAUAGAUACAAGGAGAUCGGAUCUUACAAUGAUACAAUAAUUGUUUUAUUAUAUCAUCCAUUAUUAUAUUACAAUCUACAAAAGUACAAGAAACCAUAACUCUUGUUAAAGAACUUGAAAGGCAACAUGGCAAACGCACAAUUGAGCAAACAUAAAACAAGAGAGAUGUGCAAGCAAGAAUGAUUGAAUUAUCUCAGACAUGCAAGGAAGGAUAGAAGCUCGUACAAUCAGGCAUGAUCUUGUUAGCAGCAUAAUUAUAUAUUUUUAUCAUUGGCAGGUAGUUUCAGCUAGAUAUGACAAAUAAAGGACCGGGAGGCGCUUUACAUUAGCAUUAGAAAGAAAACGAUAACUAACGUUAGAAUUCGAGUGAGGUUUUAUAGGUUACAUCGGUCUCAAUAAUGAAUACUCUGAAUAAUUAAAGUAUAUAAGGAUAUGGAUCUUACAAAUGGAAGAUUGUCGACUAUAGAUACAAAAAUAAUUUUCUUAUUUAAGAUUUUAUAUACAAGAGAUGGAUUUUACAAUAUACAAGUACAAGAAAAAGAAAUUUUAUUUUCUUCUUCAAUCAGCAAUGCUAGAAAAAUUGCAAGAGACUGCAAAGCAACGGUGCAAACAUCGAGAAACACCUGCACAAUUGAGCAAACACAAACAAGAUAGAUAAUAUACAAUAAACAUCAAAACUAGAACAGAAAACUAUUUCAAAAACGAAAGAUCUCAGACAUCCAAGGAAGGAUAGGAGCUGCAUUAGCUCUCAAGCCCGGCGAAAGGCGAAAGCUUUAGGCGGCCACUGCGAAUGUUUCGAGAAACAAGCCUUAAACAUUUAUCCUCAUAGAUCUUUCAUUAAACAAGUACACAACAUUUAUAGAAUAAGAAUCGGUUUCAGACAUCCAAGGAAGGAUAAAAGCUGCAUUAGCUCUCAAGCCUGGCGAAAGGCGAAAGUUUUAGGCGGCCACUGCGAAUGUUUUGAGAAACAAGCCUUAUGGUUUAUCCUCAUCAACCGAUCACAAAAAAUAAUAAAAACAACAAAAAAAAGAAAAUAGUAGUCUCAGACAUCCAAGGAAGGAUAAGAACAUCAUAAGCUCUCAAGCCCGGCGAAAGGCGAAAGCCUUAGGCGGCCACUGCGAAUGUUUUGAGAAACAAGCCUUAAACGUUUAUCAUCAUCGACCAAUUAUACAAAUUCUAAGAAAUCAAAAUCAUAUCCCAUCAUAAAAUGAUCAGCAAGACACCAAUUAAGUCUGCUGACAAAGUGAAACAGAUGGAUUACAAUAUUUGGGACUUUGUUCAAUCCUAUUAGCACUAAGAAACCAAAUUCAGCUAAAAUAGAACUUAAUAUUAAACUAAGCCCCAAAUGUAAUAAACUAAAACUAAUGCAAAUUAGAAUUAAAGACAAUAAUACUAAGUUUCAGACAUCCAAGGAAGGAUAGAAGCAGCAUUAACUCUCAAGCCUGGCGAAAGGCGAAAGCUCUUAGGCGGCCACUGCGAAUGUUUUGAGAAACAAGCCUUUGGAUUUAUCAUCACUAACCAAUCCCAAAAAUCGGAUUAUAUGAUAACACAACAUAAAACAACUACGACACGAGAACAUACUAGAUGAAAUCAGACAGACUUGUAAGAGAGACGGAACACUAACUGAAUGGUUUUAAGUUUAGAGAAGGAUGAAAGUAUUUAUAUAAGAAGAGAGGAGGCGUCCGAUUAUUAGGGUUUUCUUCUCUCUCACAAGAGGAACGGCCCAGAUCUACCCGAUUUUUUUUUCCCUUCCUUUUCCUCGUUGAACAAUCGAGAUGGUUGUAGUAAUGAUGGGCUAUAUAUUAAUUUCGAUAAGGCCCAUAUUAGUUUGGGCUGAACACACAUUCACUUCUAUCUUUAGAUGCCUACAACUAAAUAAUUUUUUUAUUUAUUUUUCAUGUGUUAAUAAGAAAACAUUUUUGAACAAAAAAAAAAUUAAAGUGUACAUAUAUAAAUUACUGAACAAAUGUUUAAUUGCAGAAAAAAUAAUUAUAAGAAUUACCCUCAAAUCUCAAUCGUUAUAUAUGGCUCGUGGCUAUCGUUAUAAUAGCAUAAUUAUCCAAUGUUAAAAAAAAACGCCUUGUACCUGUUUGUUUUUUUGGUCAGCCUGGCGGUAGAGGUUGAUUCUUGUUGUUCGGUACGUUUGGAUUUUGAUGGUUAUAUGGUUCUUCCAAUAUGAUGAACGGGUAAUUUAAUGUUUUAACAAAAUUGAUAGAAUAACGUAUCAGAUACUAGAGGUAUAAAAUUUGUGAAACUGCAGGACUAUUUCGUUUGGUCUAAUUCCUAAAACCAAGAUAUUUUAUUAAAAAGAAAACGAGGACAACUUCUUACUGUUACAGAGUUCUAAAAGAAUGACACUUGUUUAACUUUCACACAAGAAUAACAAGACAAUCUUAUAGAAACUAGAUUACGUUAUAUUGUACUUAACACUACACACAUCAAACACAAAUGUAACAGAGACGCAAGCACACUUGUUUGAUCAACUUUGUAUCUUAUUCUGUUUGUGUUUUUAACUUCCACAAGAGAGACAGUCCUCACGGUUUGUCAAAGAGCAAACCAUCUGUGCCAUCUUCGUCUCAUUGUCUUCUUCUGUUCCUUCAUCUUCUUUGCUUACAUCUGGCUUCUCCUGCAUCACAAGCAAAUGUCAAUUUCACUGUCUAGGUAACUAAGACAGAACAGUGUUGGUUGUUUACCUUUAGCAUUGCUGUGUCUACUGUAAACUUAAUCGCAUCUGCUGCAGCACGUGAUCGCAAGUAGUACAUUCCCGUUUUCAAACCCUUUUUGAUAUUCACAACAAUAACACUUGUGAGAUCGAUUGAUGCAAUCACAUUGAAACAUUCCUACUCGCAAUAAUAUCGAGAGUUUUAAGUACAGCUUAAAGAUAAGUUGUUACCUUUUUCCAAGUGUGGAAGUGUAAGGAAGUGAGUUUCGCAAAGUUGGGUUUGUCCAUGUGUAUAUUCAAACUUUGGCUUUGAUCUAUAAAGCAUCCACGAUCAACUGCCAUAUCAACCACUGUUCUCUGCUUAAUCUCCCAAACAGUCCUGAAUCAAUUUUUGCAAAAUAGGUUAAACAACAGGAACAGCAUAAAGUAACCAGAGCAUAAAAGAAUGAGCAAAAUCUCUACCUGUAAAUUGCUUUUAACUCAUCAGGAAUCUCUGGGACGUUAAUAACAGAACCAUUCUCAUAUAUUAUCUUGUUUUUCAGAGUAGGAGACCAGAGUCCCAUGUCAGUCAAGUCGUGAAGAAGAUGCUUGUUCACAACUACGAACUCACCACUGACAAUACAAGGAAAGACCAUGAUUAAGCCUCGGAGAAAAGCAUAAACAUAACUUUGUGAAACACUCUUAUCUGCUUGAACAACAACAUACCUCAAGACUCUGCGACUAUAAAUAUUUGAGGUAUACGGUUCAAAGCAUUCAUUAUUCCCAAGAAUCUGGCUGGUUGAAGCAGUUGGCAUUGGUGCUACUAGAAGAGAAUUUCGAAUUCCAUUCUUUGAUAUCAUAUCCCUGAGAGCAGCCCAGUCCCAGCGGUCAGAAGGAGUUACAUUCCACAUGUCAGGUUGAAGAAUACCCUACAAAAAUCAUCCCAGACGCCAGCCAAGCAGUUAGCAACAAGAAGAGCUUAUGACAAUGUUGAACAUAUUUUUUUUUUUAAAUGCUUGUUCAGAUUAUGAUACAUACCUUACUCACAGGACUUCCUUGGUAUGUCUCGUAUGUACCUUCCUUAGUAGCAAUCUCUGAAGAUGACUUGAGCGCAUGGUAGUAUAUGGUUUCAAAUAUGUCUUUGUUCAGUUGUUGAGCCUGAGAUUAUUGCAAAAAAAGCUGCUCAGACCAGAGAACAAAACUACUCUGAAAGCUUGAUUCACUUGUGCUAGAAGUUUACCUCAGGGGAAUCAAAUGGCAUUCCGAGAAGGAUAAAUGCAUCUGCAAGACCUUGUACACCAAUACCGAUAGGCCUAUGACGCAUGUUUGAAGUUUUGGCCGUCUCCACAGGAUAGUGAUUCACAUCAAUAAUCUUAUUGAGAUUUACAGUAACGGUUGCAGUCACCUGAAGAUACAGAUUAUAGCAAAAACGUCAACAUCAAAAUUGCAGACAUGGAAGCUAAUCGAAAUGAGCUAAAAAAACCGUGCUGACCUCGGCUAGCUUGUCAAAAUCAAAGUAACGAUUCUUUGAGCCCAAACUGCCUACGAUCUUCGAUGGAUGUGAGUCCAAGGGGACAUCCUGUUGUGAGAUGCAAGAUAUGUCAAGAGUCAAGCACUAAGUAACAAAGCAAUAUCAAACACUAAAACACCAUUUUCAACUCACCUUCUCCCUGACGAACCGGGGUAAAGCAAUAGAUGCAAGAUUGCACACAGCAGUCUCUGUUGGACUUGUGUACUCGAUGAUUUCAGUGCAUAAAUUAGAAGAUUUUAUGGUCCCCAGAUUUUGCUGGUUGCUUUUCCUGUUACAUGAAUCCUACAGUAAAUUUUCAAAAAGAAAGAGUGAGAAGCUGAGGUUAUAUAAUUAUACAGAGUUGCUACAUAGUUACGACAGUGCUUACCUUGAAGAGCAUGUAUGGUGUCCCUGUUUCUACUUGGGAUGUCAAGAUUUCGUACCAGAGCUGCUGUGCCUGGACAACUUUCUUAGCCUUACCCUAUAGAUAAAAACAACCAGAAAUGGUUCAAAUCCAUGGAUUAAGAAAUAGCUUGUAUUAUGCAAGAGUUUGAAUUCUGAAAGUGAAGUAGUAUAACCGAAGAUGAAAUCACUCACCUCUUUUUCAUACUGAGUGUACAACCUCUCAAAAUCUGUACCCCAACAAUCUGCUAGACCUGGAGCUUCAUUAGGACAGAAGAGUGACCACUGCCCAUCACUCUGGACCCUUUCCAUGAAAAGAUCCGGUAUCCAAAGACCAUAAAACAAGUCUCUAGCCCUGUGUUCUUCCUGGAAUAGAACAAAUAUAAAAUAAAUAAUGUGAGAGUGAAUUAACAAAUUCCAAACUAUAUUGUAGGGAANNNNNNNNNNNNNNNNNNNNNNNNNNNNNNNNNNNNNNNNNNNNNNNNNNNNNNNNNNNNNNNUUGUAGGGAAAGUGAGUGAUCUCGCGAGGGUACCUUCCCAUGAUUCUUCCGGAGUUCCAGAAACUCAAAAAUGUCAGCAUGCCAUGGCUCCAGAUAUACAGCAAAGGCUCCUUAACCAAUUGCAAAAUAAAUAUACAUAAGACAAACUGAACUAGCAAUUCAGAAACGAUCAUGAUAAUACUGGGCCAUGAAAUGUAUACCCUUUCUCUUUCCUCCUCCUUGGUCAACGUAGCGAGCAGUAUCAUUGAAAACACGCAGCAUUGGAAGAAUACCAUUAGAUGUUCCAUUUGUGCCACGAAUGUAACUUCCUGUCGCACGGAUGUUGUGAACUGAAACACCAAUACCCCCAGCUGAUUUACUUAUAACUGCACACUCCUUCAAUGUAUCAUAAAUUCCCUCAAUGCUAUCGUCCUUCAUGCAGAUCAGGAAACAGCUACUUAGCUGCAAAUCCAAACAUUUCAAAACCGACCAUCAGUAAAACGAACGCAAAUAAGAGUUCCAGUGUAAACAAAUAUAUAGGAAUAUUACCUGAGCCCUUGGAGUUCCUGAAUUGAAGAGAGUCGGAGACGCAUGAGUAAACCAUCUCUGAGACAUUAAAUGGUAAGUUUUGAUUGCGGAAUCAAUAUCUUCUUUGUGAAUGCCAACAGAAACCCUCAUGAGCAUAUGCUGAGGUCUCUCAACCACUUUCCCAUGGACUUUUAAGAGGUAUGAUCUCUCAAGUGUUUUGAACCCAAAGUAGUCGUACUCAAAAUCACGAUCAUAAAUGAUUUCACUGUCUAGACGUGUAGCAUUCUGAAAAAACCAAAAGAACACAAUUCAGCAAACUAUAUCCAUCUAAAUCCUCGUAGAAUCAAGACUGAGUGUCAAAAUACCUUCAUAAUGAUCUCAAACACAUCAUCAGCAAUUAGAGGGGAUGCAAGUCCAGAUCUCUCAUUGACAUGAUUGUACAUAUCCUUAAUUCUGAAGAAGAUACCCAAAAUACAUCAAUGUCAACUCAUAUCAAUCACUGAUAUAAAGAACAAAAACAAAACUCACGUCUCAGAAAACGACUUCUUAGUGUUCUUGUGGAGAUUAGAGACAGCAAUCCUUGCAGCCAACUGAUACAUAACCAUUGAAACAAUCAAAAAGCUUGAUUACAGUUCUCUAUUGGGUACACAUCAAUCAACAAUCAAAUCAGGAAGAUGCAAUCUAGUAUAAUCCAAUUGAAAUUUAAAAAAAAAAGGAUUAAGAACUAACGGAGGCGUAAUCAGGAUGAUUAGCGGUCAUAGCAGCGGCGGUCUCGGCGGCUAGCUCGUCGAGUUGAGUGGUGGUGACGCCUUUGUAGACACCGGCGCAGACUUUCUGGGAGACGAGGACAGGGUCGCAGUGGUCAACGCUGAGGCCAUAGCUAAGCUUCUUAAGACGCGCGGUGAUCUUGUCGAAGUGGACAGUCUCCUGCCUUCCGUCACGCUUCACAACGUACAUCUUUCUUCUAUCGAACAGUUGGUGGGCGUGUGUGUGUGUGUUUGAGUGAGUCUGGUGAUAAGAGAGAAGAGGGAACGUCACGCACAGUGUGCUAAAUAGAUUUAGAGUGGAGAGAGGGAAGGAGCACAAGUGGGUGGGCUAGGGUUUCUUUGUGCCUUUUGUUUUUGUUUUUUGAUUUGACUUUUUUGCCCCGCGCGAAAGUUUUGAGAUUUUCCCGCCAGCUUCUGGGAUAAGGAAACGUGAGAGCUUCUCUUGGAAGUCAAGUGGCGGGUAAAUUGAUAAACAAGAGAAACUUGAAGCGCUGAAUGUGGGUCCCCCGGCUCAUGGGGGAUCCGUGAAUGUGAUUUACUCAGCCCGUUGUUUCAUUGGGCCCAAUAUUAUAAGAUGAUGUUUAAGAUCUAAAUCGUAGCAAUUAAUUUUUUUUAUUUUUGUGUAAAUGAACAAUUAUAUGUUUGUAGUUUAUAACAUUUUGAGCAUUUCUUUGCGUUUUUGUCAGAGAUAAAGAUGCUACCAAAAAGGUUUUAAUAUUUCUGUCAAAGAAUUUGUAAGUACGUGAUAGUGGAACUGAACAAUCUAAAUAUGUUUUACAAAAUCUAAGAACGAAGUAUCAUAUAUUAUUGUUUCCAUUGAUCAUUUUCUGUAAUAGGUAGUUGUGACUCGUUAUUUUUUCUUAGUUGUUAUUGUUAAUCAUCAUAGCCUUCUAUUCAAUCGAUGCGACAUUUCAUGCAAUGAAAAAAUAUUAUUUUAGGCAAAUGCUAUUAUUGUAUUUUUCUGUUAGCGCGAAAACAUAUCAUAACGUUAAACCCUUAUUUAAAGCGACAGUUGUUUUUGGAAGAAAAAAUUAAGCAACAUUUUCGCUUCCAGCACAUCUUCUGAUUAAUAAACGCUAAUGGAAUCAUAUCACAUACAAAAAGCGGAAACAAUGACAUAAAACACGAUUUAGGCAACGUCACUAAAACGUAAAUAGCCAUCAACCCCAACGUCGCGAGCUAGCUACCUAGCUCAUCUCAUUCGUCGCUCUGUAAAUACUCGCGAGAGACCGAAACUUCUUUUUCUUAUUUCUCCUUAUGAUGAUGUUGGUUUCUUUGAUUGCCGUCACAAAACUUUGUCCGUCCGUAACAUUCUUAUGCAUCGUCUGUAUGCCGUCGUUUUGCUUAUUUCCGACCAUAUCAUAACUCUCCGAAUUAACAACAUUUUCAUGUCUCUUCGCAUUGCUUCCGCCUUCGCUGAUGCUCCAGCUUGUACCGCUGCAACAACUCAACGUAUCAUCUUCGCUCAACUGCACUAGCUGCUCCGCCGCUUCCAUCUCCGUCUCCGAAAACGCAACUUCUGUUUCUCCCGUAAAACCAAUCACCUCCAUUUGAUCGAUCGUUUAUAAAUCAAAUCAACAAGACACUCUUGAUUCUCGAUCGAAUAUUUAUCUCUCGACGACCCUUUUUUCUUUUGCUACUCUAAUCACUUUUACGCGUAUAGUUGUUGCUUUUCUCGUCUUUUAUAUAAGAAAAGAAAAAAAAAAUAGAGAGAAAAAAAGGAAAACUAUUAAACCAGGAAAAUGAAAAAGGAAACCACUGAAAACAGAUAACAACCGCCUGGCUGUUCUUGCACCCGAAUUAAUAAAUUUUAAAAUUUUAAUAACUUUUUGACCAAAAAAAUUAAUUAAUCACUACAUCCUGAACCGUCAAGAUUAGUAACCCGACUUUAAGAUUUGUUUAAAUUACUUGAUCCAACGGCUUCCUUUGUGUCCAUCUUUGAUGAGGCCCUUUACUAAAUUUCAUUUUUCCUUUUUUUUGUAAGAGAGAUAUGCGUUUGACUUUCAAUUAUACGAUUUGAUGGAGUCCAUGCAUAGCCAUUGCGUUUUCAAUACGGCAUAUACACGUAUUUGGGGGCCCUUAUGUUUCACCUGACGUGUUCUAAUCCGAUCGUCGUCUCAUCUUUUGCGUGACAUCCGGUGGUUUCACAGGCGCCAGAUUCAGCUUUCCUUUUGAACUUUGGCUUUAGAUGUUUUUGAGCAAGCAUUUUGAAAUGGGAUAAUCUAUUAAUAUCAAUGUUUUAAUAUUUAAUUUAUUUAGUAAUCAGCCCAAAAAAGUGAAUGGAAGUAUACUAGAAUAUCUCCAAGCCAAACCUUUUUUUUUUCUUUCCAUAAAAUAGAGUAAUUCUAUAAUAAAAUUAUUUUUUUUGAGAAAAAUAUAGAAAAUAAUAGAAAGACAUGGGAGACAAUCUUAGAAAACAGUGAAUAUAUAAAAGCUGGAAAACAUUAACAUCCAUUAUUAACAAAGUAGAAAAUAAAAGCAAACAACUCUAUCUAUGAUUAUAUAUAAUCUCCAAAAAUAAACUAUAUUAUAGCAUUAUAAAUAAAAUAAUUAAUUUAGAUGGGAAAACAGGAAAAUAAUUAAAACUUGUAAGAAAAACUGCACAUCUUUGUUACAACACAAUACCACCCAACAACCACCAACAGAGUUCACGUCAUCGUCAUCAACACACCUGCUUCCAAAUCUCCAACACAAACUCCUUCACUCUUCUGCUUUUUUUUUUUUCUUUUCGAAACACGCCUUCACUCUUCUGCUUAUAUUCAAAUCUUCACCAUGAAACAGCAUGUUAGGUUUUGUUUUACUACAGAGCUUUAAAUUCCACAGUUCAGACCACAUAUCUCCAACACUGGUCCACCUUUAGCCACAAACGGAUUACUCUAACCAAUAAGAGCGUCAAGAUCGAAUCGAGAAGAAAAAAACAAACCACAAUAAUUCUAGGCAUCCUAUCUUUCUUCCCAAGCAACCCCCUUGAGUAAUGGGUAUAAAUGAACAAAUGGACAAAUGAACAAUGACCAAAGAGCAAAGAAGAGUCUCCCAAACAGAGGUCCCCAAGAGUCAUAACCAUUGCUAAUGGCAUCCGAAAUACCGACAAUAACUCCGACGAUGUUUAUGAUCUGAAGUAUCGUCGGAGGAAUCAACAGAGUCGUCCAUUUGGAGAUGUAAAGCUCAGAGAAAGCUCCAUCGUCUGCUGCUUUUGACGUAACUGUUAAGUUAGCGUUGACUCCAGCUAGAACCUUGGGCAAACCUUGAAAGUUGAAACAGAGCAAAUAGAUGCGAAGAGUCUCCUCCUAUUACCCAAAACUGCUUGUUUCUCUCCACCAAUCGAGCAGUUUGGCUUAAAGACAUUAAAAAAUUAUAAUAUUUUGUUAUAAGAGAGAAGGAAAUAUGCAUACGUAUUUUCUCUUAUUUUAAAAACAAAAUUAUAUCAAAAGAUAUUAUCCAAAUUCCUUUGAUCAAAAAAAAAAAAAUUAAAGCCAAAUUCAUAAUGUAAAUAGGUUUUAUAGAGUUUACGGAUUCCUGACUGCAUUAGGACAUAUAUAUGAGAAUAAUAACUUGAAAUUUAUAUAUAUUGGCUUAUGAAAUUUGAUCAUAACUUUUUUGGAUUAAUAUAGAUUUUCAUGAAUUUGUAUUACCUAUUUUUUUAUCAUUCUUUUUGUAAAAUAAAUAUAUAAUUCAUAUAGCAUUAUUAUUUUUUUUUCUUUCAAAUUAAAAAGAAAACAAAAGUGAUACAUACAAAAUUAGAUUUUUUAUAUUAAAUAGUCAUUUUAAAGUUUUUGUCACAUAAAAAGCAUUCAAAGAGAAAAAUGACGAAAACAAUUUCAUGAAAAAGGAAAAAAGAUAAUUUUACCCAUUGCUUUAUAUAUUUAAAGUAAUAAAACAAUAAAAAUUAAGAAUAAAUAAGUUUCUUUUAUUAUUUUGAAUUAUAUGUUUUCAAAUUUUAAUUUUUUAAUAUUUUUUAUAAUUUUGAAUAUUUUUUUCAAAAUAUUUUCUAACCUCCGGUUUAUUCGCGUAACCGGCUCUCAGUUUUUUUUUUUGAAAUUCAAUUUUUUUUUUGAAACUAUUUUUAAAAAAUAUUUUCAAAAUACUAAUAUUUAUAAAUGUAACUAUUAAUAUUUAUAUUCAAAAUGAUAAUUAUUUAUAAAAACAAUUAUAUAUUAUAAAAUGUAAAUGUAUAUAAAUGUAAUGAAUUUUAGUUUUGGACAUAUAAUUUGGAUUUAAGGUGCAAUGUAUAUUUGGUAAAAAUAAUUUUUUGUUUUCUAGUUUUUUAUCACAUGGAUUUUGAAAAUCACAAGAUUACAUAUCAUAUUUUGAAAGUUGAGUCUUAUGAGUAAAAAUGAAUAAAAUUCAUCUUCCAAUAACACUAUAUUUUGUUAAAAUUAGAGAAUCAAUUGUAACUAAUUUUUUUUGCAUAAUAAGAGAUUUUAAUGGAUUUUGAAAUUUUUUAAACCAAUAACAACUAGAUCUCAAACCGCGCAACCGCACAUAUUUUUGUUUUCAUUUAUUUUUAUAUAAAUAUUUUGUUUUCAAUUCUAAUUAUAUUAUAAUAUAUAUGUGUCUAUAAAUUUUUAAAACAUAAUAAAUUUACAGUAUAUUUUUUCAUUGAAUAGAUUAUUUCAAACGUUCACAUGUAUUUGUAUCUUCUUAUAUAUAUAUAUAUAUAUAUAUAUAUAUAUAUAUAUAUAUAUAUAUAUAUAUAUAUAUAUAUAUAUAUAUAUAUAUAUAUAUAUAUAUAUAUAUAUAUAUAUAUAUAUAUAUAUAUAUAUAUAUAUAUAUAUAUAUAUAUAUAUAUAUAUAUAUAUAUAUAUAUAUAUAUAUAUAUAUAUAUAUAUAUAUAUUUUUGGAUUAUUAUUUCAUUAUUAAAAUCGUAACUAUAUAUAUAAAAAGAUUAGUAAAAUAUUGUUUUAUUUUCAUAUUCAAAGAUAUUGUAACAUUUCACAAAUUUAGAAAGUUUUUUAAAAAAUAAACUUUUUGCUUCAUAUAUUUAUAUUAUCGAGUAAAUAAUUAAAUAUUUAUUUUAUGUUUAAUUUUUAAAAUAAAUAUAUAGUUUAAAAUAUGCUUUCAUUUAUUUAAGGUAGUAAAGAUUAAUCAUUGUUAGAUAAUAUGAUUUAUGUUAUUUUUAAAAAAUCUUUAUUAUUUUAAAAGUUAACCUCGACAAAUAUUUAAAUAUUUAACAUAUAGAUAUAUAGUAUUACAACAUUAAAUUAUAUCUAUUUAAUUUAUACUAUCUAUAAAUACAAUGGAUCUAUAAAUACAAUGGAUCAUCUAUUGUUUAAAUCCAAUUAUUGAUAGCCAAACAAAUUUUUUUGGUAGGCCCAAAAUUUAAAUGAUAAAAUUAGAGAUUAAAUGUAACAUGACUUUUUAGAAAUAUGUCAAUUAGGUCUAUUUUUAAACAAAUCACACAUGAAUCAAGGUUGUGACUUCUGUUUUAAUAUAUAAGAUGAAUUCUACAUAGAUUUUUAAAAUCAAAUAACCAUUAACAAUGAAAUCUCAAAAUUUUCAAAAUUCAUGAGAAUUCACGUACAAAUAACCCCUAAAACUCGUGAGAUUAUGAAUUGAUAAUUCAGUAUAUAAAGACUUCACGUGACAUUGGUGGAUAGACAUAGACAAACAAAUAGGAAUAAUUUCUUACAUGAAAAAUUACCUUAGCCAUACAGAAAGAAUAUGCAUAUGGCGAUCCCUAAUUCCACAUCCAUGAAUGAAGACGAGCCACUUUUUAAAAAAAGACAACACAUGAGCCGAUCCCCACAAAAGAAGAUGUCCAAGAUGUAGGCAACAUAGCGGUGUGGAAGCGCUUGCAUGUCUGACGAAGAAAUGUGUGGAACCCUAGAGAGACAGAGAAGCGUUUCAUUGUCGGUGAGACAUUCCCAUGGCGUCGUCUCCUUCGCAGUCUCAGCUGGCUCCCAUGUUCAUCUUUCAAGAAAGCUAAAGAAACAUGGAGAGAAAGAAAGAUCGGUUGAAUGAAUGAGUUCAGAACAAAAACCGAUAUUUACUUUAUACUCAGCUGAUUUACUUUUAUAAUAAUAAUAAUAACUUUAAAAAUAAAUUGAUUGCACAAAGAUGACACAAAAUCAUAUUCAUGACUUUUAGCUGAAGAAAUGUGGCUUGUGGCCAGCGGUUGCAGCGGCUAGUAUUAGCAAAGCUGCGCGUAUUUAGAGUCAAUCUUUUGGAGUAGCAUUGCGAGAAAAACCAAUUUCUACCAAUAGGUGAUCUCAUCAUAUCUUAUCAAAGGCUUCAACUCGUGUGGCAAUGCUUCCUCGGCCAAGUUUCGGUUCUUUCUGAGUUAGUGAACCUUUUGUUUAGUUAUGUUAUUGUUUGUGUAAUUGUUGCAGUUGCUUCUUCUUUCCUCUCUUGGUAUUGUUUUAGUUUUUUUUUUCAUUCGCUUCUAGUUUCCGUUUGAAGCGUAAGGUGAGGGAGGGGGAAGAGCUAUCAAACUUUAAAGGCGUACUUUAGAAGCGUAUCUUCUGACGCAAAGAAAAUUUAAUAUAAAAUUUAACAUUUACAAACAAUAAAAAAAGAAACUUUAAAAAUAAUUUUGCACUAGUAAUAAUAAAAGGAACUAGGAUAAGACCCGCGCCUUGCGCGGGAUUAAGUUAUUAUUUUUAUUAUAUUUUGGAGAAUGAAACAAUAGUUUGGCUUCAUUUGGAUUAGGGGUGUUCAAUCCGGAUAUCGGGUUGGUUUCGGUUCGGUUCGGUUUUUUUCGGUAUUUCGGUUAGUAAAAUAUAACUACUAUUCUAAAUCCAUAUUUACUUUGACUUUAGUCUUUCACAUAUUUUUGAAAGAUUUCAACUGGACGACUAAAUUGAUCAGCCAAUCUUGUUGCUUUAAAUCAUUAGUAUUUAUAUAUAUAUAUAUAUAUAUAUAUUAUUUAGUUUGAAUAUUUAUUAAAUAAAAAUUCAUAUGCGUUAUAUUUUAUGAUCAUUUGUAACUUAUUAUACCAAAAAAAUAAUCUAUUGAUCACAAAAUUUUCAGAGUGGGAAUAUUCAAAUUUCUAAUAAUAUAUAGACGUUUUGAAAAAUUCAAAAUAUAACAUAUAAGAAAAAAUAUAAAUGUUUUUAUUAUAUAUUUAAUGUGAUUUUUUAAUAUCUUUCAAUAAUAUAAAAUUAAAAAAAAAAACUAAGAUACCAAAAUUGUUAUCAAAUAUUUAUUAUUCAUAAUAAUUAAUUUUCAUAUAUACGUGAAUCAUAUUAGGUAAUUUCGUAGCUUCUAAUUAAGGAAAGUGCAAAAAAAAAUUUGGUAGAUUAUUUAUCAAUUCGAUAGUUAGUUUAAUAAAAAAUAUAAUGUAAGUUAAGAUGGUCCAACCUAUUUUUCUAAGAAUAGUAUAUUUUAUAUAGUCAUUUAUUAAAUGAGAAUUUAUAAUCAUACAGUUCUAUGAUCAUUCAUAUCAUUUUAUAACUGAAUAUUUAAAUCAUCGAUAACAAAAUUUUCAAUGUGAAAUCUUUAAUAAGUUUAUAAUUUAUAAAUGUUUUUGAAAAUUCAUUGAAAGCUUUAAUAUUAAAAUAUUUAUGUAAUCUUAUGGUAUAUAGUAUAAUCUAUAUAUAUAUAUAUAUGUGUUUUAAAAUCAUGUGUAUCUUCUUAUAAUAUUAAAUAAAAGUUCAUAUUAAUACAAUUUUAUGAUCAUUUGUAACUUAUUAUGACAAAAAAAUAAUAUAUUGAUCACAAAAUUUUCAGAGUGGGGAUCUUCAAAUUUCUAAUAAUUUAUAGACGUUUUGAAAAAUUCAAAAUAUAACAUAUAAGAAAAAAUAUAAUUUUUUUUAUUAUAUAUUUAAUGUGAUUUUUAAAUAUCUUUUAAUACUAUAAAAUUAAAAAAAGAUCUAAGAUACAAAAAUUGUUAUCAAAUAUUUAUUAUUCAUAAUAAUUAAUUUUCACAUAUACGUUAAUCAUAUUAGGUAAUUUCGUAGCUUUUAUUUAAGGAAAGUGCAAAACAUUUUUUGGUACGUUAUUUAUCAAUUCGAUACUUAGUUUUAUAAAAAGUGUAAUAUAAGUUAAGAUGGACCAACAUAUUUUUCCAAAAAUAGUAUAUUUUGUAUAGUUAUUUAUUAAAUAAAAAUUUAUAAUCAUACGGUUCUAUGAUCAUUCAUAUCGUUUUAUAACAAAAUAUUUAAAUCAUCGAUAACAAAAUUUUCAAUCUGAAAUCUUUAAUAAGUUUAUAAUUUAUAAAUGUUUUUGAAAAUUCAUUGAAAGUUUUAAUAUUAAAAUAUUUAUGUAAUCUUAUGGUAUAUAGUGUUUAAUCUAUAUAUAUAUAUAUUUAUUUUAUUAUUAAAUAAUAUUUUUUACUCAUAUGGUUUUAAAAUCAUGUGUAUCUUCUUAUAAUAAAAAUGUUAAACCAUUGAUCAUUAAUUUUUAACAUAAUAAUUUUAAUAGUUUUAGUCAUUUAUUGUCGUUUUUAAAAAUUCAAAAUAUAACAUAUACGAAAAAAUCUAAAUUUUAUUUUUAUAGCAAAUUUGAUUGUUUAAUUUAUUUUAAUAAUAUAAAAUUAAACAAAAAAUGAUGGAGGAGAUAUAAAUUGUUAUCAAAUCUUUAUUAUUAAAAUCAUUAAUUGUCAUAUAUAUAUUAGUCAUUUAUGGUAAUUCCGUAGGUUUUAUUUAAGGAAAGAAAAUAUCAUAUCAUAUCAUUAUAUCAUAUAGUUUGACCAACUUAUGUAUCUAACAACAUAUAAAAAUCGAAUGUGGACCUACUUAUUUUUCAAUUGAAUGUAAUUGACUACCUAAUUGAGUGUCACCUAUGCAUUGGGGCCUCUUUUAAUUAAUACAAAAUUGAGGUUACAUCUUUUCAAAUGUUCCUCAAUUAAUAUAUAGGGGAUAAGAAAUGAACACAAUCAUUUGUUGGUUCGGUUGGCAUUGUUUAGCCUUAUGGUUGUGGGAGUUUAAUAAAAAUCAUGAAUAUGAUUUCCUCGAGAUUUUUGUUGUCUGAUGAGAUUUAUUUAAUUGUUUUCUUGAUUUUUUUUUUUUCCAUUAUUUAUCAAUCAGCUAAACAUUCUCACUCCGAAGUAUAGUUAAGAUUUUUUUAUACUUUCGAAAAACUCAUUGCAGCAAGAUAAAAGGAACAGCCGGUAAGUCUUUGUUUUCUUAUUACUGAGUUUAGUUUCCACAGCUCAGACCACAUAUCCCUAACACUUGUCCACCUUUAGCCACAAACGGAUUUAACUUUACAAGAGCGUCAAAAUUGAGACAAGAAGAAUAGAACCACAAUAAUCGUAGGCAUUCUAUCUUGCUUGCAACCCCUUGAGGAAGGGUAUAAAUGAACAAUGACACAAAAAACAUAAAAAAAUCUCCCAAACUGAGGUCCCCAAUAGAUUGCUAAUGGCAUCCGACAAUACCUCCGUUGAUGUUUAUGAUCAGAAGGGUAGUCAACAGAGUCGUCCAUUUGAAGAUGUGAAGCUCAGAGAAAGCUCCAUCGUUUGCUGCUUUCGACGUGACUUUGAAGUUAGUGCUAACUCCAAGAAAAUCUCCACAGAGCCAAGAGCCCAACGUAAUGGGAGCAGAUCCUUUAAAAGCUGGACGCUUUGGCAUACAGUAAUAAAGAUCUCCAUCCAUCGUAAAGAUAUCUUCUGUUCUGUAACCGAUCCGUAAAGCCACCCAAUCUGCAUGUAAGUAGUAAGUAGAAUGAGAUCACAAGGAGUUUUGUAGCUUUCUAACAUGUUGAAAACCUUGUAAUGAGGUUACCUCUUUUCCCCCAUUCGGUUUUAUCUUCGCAUCCCUAUCUAAUAACUUGAAUGGCUUCUCUCAACAAACACGCAGGGCUUGCGUUUACGAGGAACUGCACCAUCUUUCAGAACAGCAGAAGCAACGAAAACUGGAGACUAACCAAACUAAUCAAUCAUAAGCAGCUAUCUUAGUCGAUAUAUAUAUAUAUAUUUUCAACAAGAUAGAAACCAAACAUGAAAUGUUGUUUUUGUUGACCUGCAACGAUGACACCUUCUCUGAUGUUCUCAACAGCAUGGAUCUGCGUUGAUGUCUCUUUAGGUCCUUUCUUUCUCAACCCAAAACAUAGACAACACCAUUUAGGCCCAGGUUUUUCCUGGUGGUUUCUUCUUCUUUGGUGCAUCAAAACCAUGAAGUGCUUGUCUUCUAAAGACACAACCUGUCCCAACGUAUAUCGGUCCUUGUAUCCCAUCAGGACUUUUCAUGUUAAUCUGUUUUCACACCAAAAGGCAAAUGAGAAAGGAGGGACAUAAGUAAAAACAUAAACAGAAUGAAGCAAAAGACAUACAUCAAAGAACACAACGUUGCGAUUAGAGUAUCGAUCAUGGCUAUCGAUCCCGUCAAAUCUCUCAGGAAAAUGAACAUAACAAACUUUCUUUCCAGAUUUGUGGAUCCAUUAUGAAACAUAUAGCUUCUCUAAUCGCUUUGCUGUUGUUGAUGUAGAGAUCACAAUUAAUCUACGUUCAGAAGGUAGAACAGCAGAGACACGGAUCUUCAAGAAAAGGUAAACAUGAGUUCUAGCUAAUUAACGAAACUUUGAACAACCAAAAGAAGACAGAUUCAUCCUUAACAAAGAGUUCAUUGCUCAAGCUAUCUCAUGGUGCCCAAAUCCAGGCCGCUUCUCACGAGAAACACACAGUAGACGAGGCAAGGCAACUCAUUCCCAUCCGUAUCACGAACUCCACGGUGUCGGUGUCCCAAGAACACCUGCCAAGAAGUAGUGGUGCUCAAACCAAAGCGAAGAGGAGACUUAUUACUACCUGAAUCAUGCCGGGAUGGUCUCUGACAUUGUUUCCAGGCCAAGGAGUUCCAUCUUGCAUAGUCCAAACAGAAACAGUUAUCAAACUCCUCACUAUCUCUUUGCAACAAACAAAAAUAGAAACUGUACUCGCAACAAAAACAUCAACAGGUGCUAAACUUUUUGUUUCCUUAUUUAGCAAAUUUUAUCUCAAAUUUAAAAACUCAGUAUCUUCAUCUACAGAGAUAAAAUACAUGGACCAGAUAAGUACACAUGUUAUAAGUAGACGAAUACAAUGGGAUGUUUAAGCCCCAGGUGACUUUGGCUUGGAAGGCUAUUACAAAAUCAUAAACAACAACAAGACCACAAGCGCUGCCCCCAUCAUUAUCUCUCUUCAUUGGAUGUAGACUUUAGAGUAUUGACAGACCUUCCAAGCACGUUUAAAGCCGCUACACGCUGCAUCUCCCUCGCUGUCAACACAAUACUUCUUUGUUAAUACAAAAAAAAUAUUCCGAUUCAGAUGGUUCCUAGCUUACAAAUAAAAGAAUUGACUUGACGUUUGCUGGUUAAACAGUACCUUCCUCGAGAGAUAGCUGAAUGGACCUCUUCUCCAAGUCAACCGCAUGCUUGCUAAGCUCCGCGGAGGAAAAUGACCAAAGCGCUUCAACAUACAUAUAAAGCAUUCAGAAUAACAGUUUUAUAAAAAAGGCUUAAAAUUUUAUUUAAAGUGGUUGUUGGACUCUCACUGUGUAGAUGAUGAUCGGUCUGAUCAGAAUCAUUAAGCUUGUUUAGGAGCAUUUGUAGAUGGUGGUAACGCUCUUCCCAUUCCGGAGCUGGUGGUACUAUGGAUGAUGAGCUGGCCUUGGGCUGCUGCUUAGUCACAGUGUCUUUGGAUGCGUCAGUCUCGACUUUUCUACGCACAUAUACAUUUGUGGUGGUUGCUGGAGACUGAGAUGGGUUCCCUUUCUUCUCCGCGGCCUGGGGCAUUUGUUCUUUUGGUGGAGUGCUGCUUGUUCGUUGGCCUGGCUCCAUUUUGUUUCCUUCCUAAUCAGAAAUUCUUCUUCUAUAAAAAUAUAGAUGCUAAAAUAAGCUAAAUUCUGCAACAUCAAGAGAUUCACUCAGCCAGUGAAAGCCUAUCAGAAUCGGUGAGUGGAGGAAGGAAUCUUAACAUCGAUUAAUCAAAGAAGACAAUGUUUACCUCAAGGAUCAGACUGAGAAUCCCCUUUUAGUUACCAUUAGGCAGCUCUGAAGCUUCUUCUUCUUCUAGGCGAAAAGGAGCGAGAUGCGUUUUCAUUUAGGACAGUACUACUAUCUCAUUUAUUACUGGGCCUAUUAUUAAGGCCCAAUACGUAUACUUAUUUCCUUAUACUGAAACUCAAUUUUUGUUACCUUUCUUUUAUUCAAUUUUUAUUAGAUUAGUUUAAAACUUUAAAUAUACAGUUUCUGUAAUGGGUAGUAUAAAUAUUUUUUUUUUUGACUUCUUCAAUUGAAAGAUGCAAUCAUGGUGAUAAUGUCAACAAAACCAAACACGGUAAUACAAAGAAAGAGACCAACAAACUCAAUCUUAAAAAGAUUUACGAGCUAAUUGACGCUGCUUCCCUUAAGAUAAAUUUAGGAAUUUGUUUUAAAUGCUGAGUUAUUCAAAAAUAAAUUUCAAAAGUGUAUUUUUGAAUGAUUUGGUUUAGUUAACCGGACCCUAUCAUUACUGGUAACAUCAAGUAGUCUUAAACAGCAGAAGAUCAAGUGUCAAGAAUAUCAGCUAAAGUAUCUACUAAUAGUUUUAAUCCCAUUUAUACCUUGCCGUCUAAGGGUAAAAACUCACAAAAACUAGCACAAGGCAACUUGUUAACCUCCUCCUGACAACAGAAUGUGGCCAUCUUAGUUGACAUUCGAUUCACUGGGCCAAAACGUAUAAAAAUUCUAACUAAGAAACUUAGGCCCAUAUUGAAGGCCCACUACUAUCAUACGAAGGCGAGACGGAGGAUAAAAGUGUCAUCUAGCGAAUAAAGAUAUUUUUUGGUCGGAACGAGGCGUAAAAAAUCUUUAUUUUCCACAAUGCUCACAUGAUGUGGGCCUGUCCACUAACCCAACCCAUUAAACCAAUCUCUCGGCAAACCCUAGAAAAUAUCUUAACUCUAGUUUAUUAUUACGUCAGCUCUUCUAUAAAUUAUAGCCGCGUCUACUCAUCCUAAAUCACAAAUCUCUCUCACACACCCUUCGAAACUUUUAAUUAAGAAAAUAAAAAAUGUCUGGAGAAGCUGAGUACCGGUGCUUCGUGGGAGGCCUGGCCUGGGCCACCGCGGAUGCGGAUCUAGAGAGGACGUUCUCCCAAUUCGGCGAAGUAAUCGAUUCCAAGGUCCGUUACAACGAGAGAUCGGACUCCCGGAUUCAAUCGAGGCCCGAUGAUUCCGAUGGUUCUGAUCCUCGACGGAUCUGAUUCCGAUCUGUGUUUCUCUGUUACUUACUGUUACUAAUGUUCUUUGUUACUGUUACUUGAUUUUUUACCCCAUCGGUACGUUUAAUCUUCACAGCUUCUUAUGAGCUCGGAGAACGAUCGAUUUUAUUGUAAGAUUGUUUUUGCUUAUUUUUUGUUUUUUUUGUUGACAGAUCAUUAACGAUCGCGAGACUGGGAGAUCGAGGGGAUUCGGAUUCGUGACUUUCAAGGAUGAGAAGUCGAUGAGGGAUGCGAUUGAGGAGAUGAACGGGAAAGAGCUCGAUGGACGUACUAUUACCGUCAACGAGGCUCAGUCUAGAGGAAGCGGUGGCGGUGGAGGAGGCCGUGGUGGCGGUGGUGGUUACAGAGGAGGCGGUGGUGGAGGUUACGGUGGAGGAGGUGGUUACGGAGGAGGUGGGGGUGGAUAUGGAAGACGUGAUGGAGGUGGUUACGGAUCUGGUGGUGGCGGCGGAUACGGUGGAAGACGUGAUGGAGGUGGUUACGGAGGAGGUGACGGUGGUUACGGAGGAAACAGCGGCGGUGGUGGUGGUGGCUGGUAAUCGGAGAUUAAGUGGUUGUCUGGUUCUUCUGCUAUGUGUUUGGUUUAGAUUUGGUUUCGUAUCUUGUUUCUCUGGUUUUGUUAUGUUUCUGGGUUUGUUUUUGGGGUUCUACUUGAUGUAACAGAUCGUUUAAAUUAAAAGUCGUCUUUGCCUAAAACGUAAUGUUAAUUCGCGUGUUGUUCACUUAAUCAUUAACUUUAGUUUUUCUGAAUUAUCGUAUAAAUCAA